rnacentral:lncRNA from 1 species
GAGUCUGAUCCUGGUUCAUUGCUCCCCCACGAUGUUUGCUUGUACUGACGAUAUGGUGGGGCCCAGUCGUCAGUGCUGCCCUGCUGAGGUCAGGUGCAGAUAGUCGGAACCAAUGUCUAGACAAACUACCACCGAGCAGGCCAGAAAGCAUGUUAAUAAGGCAGUGGACAAUAGAAUAAAAUAAAAUAAAAUAAAUAAAUAAUAAUAAAAAUUAAAAAAAAGUUCGGGUUUGGAUUGCAGGCCAGAGCAUUGUCCACUGGGCCGGCAUCAGAGCUCGGGAGUCUGGAUUCGGAGCAGCACUUGGCCUUCCCCAUCAUGUGCAGGUGUCUUGGCUGUCCAGACGUGGAAUGCUGUGGGCCGAAUUGCUUCCAAUGAUACAAAAGCAGUUGAGUCUUAUGGGGCCCCCUUCUGCAAUAUUGCUCCAGCUGGGGGAGAAUGAUUUGCCUGCCACCGACUGCUGUGACUUGCGUAACGCAGUACAGAAGGACCUGGAGAAACUGGCUGCUAUGUUGCCAGAUGCAAAAAUAAUUUGGUCGCAGUUGCUGCAACGCCGCUUCUGGCGUGGCAGUCGCAGUCCGGCAGUGAUUUGGCGGUGAGCUUCAGUGCUCAGUUGGCGGUUAGGCAUUGGUCUGGAAUUGGUUGCUGGGGGGGUAUGGAUUCGGCUGUGCCUGCCCCCCAAAAUGCUGCUGCUGGUGGAGGGGUAUGGAUUUGGCUGUGCCUGCCCCUCCAAAAUGCUGCUGCUGCUGCUGAAGGGUUUUACCGUUAAAGGAACCCAGGGGCUCCCCCAUGCUUUUGUCCGAAACCCCCUGGCAAGGGGCUAGGGCCACGCAGGCCCUGGGAGCAUUCUGGGGAGAGGUGAGGCAUGGUUCCCAGUCCCGUCUCUCUCCCCAGGUGACUUACCCUUCCUGACUUCGCGGGGGGUGCGAAUGUCAGAGCUGUCCCCGGGCGGUGGCAGUUAGUGCUACCAAUGCCUAAGCAACCACUCACAUUGUUGUAAUUUGAAUAAAGUUGUGGCCAAAAUUAUGCCAAAAAAAUUAAACAAAAAUUAAGUGUCAAUUGUGUUUUCCUUUGGGGUGUAUUGGGGACCUCGACACGCAACUGUCGUUUUCCAGUGCCUGCUUAAACACACACAUAUAUACAUUCAGGCAUAUACAAGUAGUAAAUUUAGAAACAUUCCGUAGUGGAACAUCACAAACUUGAAAACUAUUUAAUUUUUUUAACUAUUUGUUGAAAACUUCUACCUCUCACAUGCACAAAUAUAUAAUAUGUCCCUUUAGAACAGUUACUUUCCUUAAGUUUUAUCAUUAUAUUAUUUUUUAAUUCUUUCUUUUUUUCUAUUAAGAGCUUGGUUUGGUGUUUUUGUUGUUGUUGUUUUUAGCACUUUGGUUAAGGUACUUUGGUUUAGUACCAGGAGGGGGGGGGGGGGACACAGCAGAGGGAUACUUGCAUUUCUUCCAAAGAUCCUCCUUGCCUUUUGGUAUUUGAAGCAAGAGAGUGUCUGUUUCAAGCUGAUGAAUCAUAUUCACACCGUGGAUAUCCUGUAUAUUUCCAGUAUCAUAGACUUCACCCCAUUACUCCUUCAUCUUUUUUGCCUUCUUUCCCAAACAUUUAUAUCAUCAUUAUUCUUUCUGCACAUAUCCUCAUGUGUUUUUUCUCCUGCUCCCAACACCAUAAUUGGUUGCUUUGUUCAUGCUCAAAAAUGCAGAUAUCCACAAUGCCACUUUUAAAUGCAUGUUUUAUCUAUUCUCUUUUUUUCAAACAAACAAACAAACAAACAGAAAACUAUCCAGGUUAUGAUCAAAUGACAGCCUCACUUGUGAUUGGGCCAUGGAACAGUUGCUUUGCUUAUUAUCUUAACUUUCCCCCCUGCGCUACCAGUUAUGUUCAUUCACCUUGUGCUUAGAAAUAAAAAUGUGGCUUUUGCAGGUGGGGGACAAACAACCCAGCCAAUAAUAUUUUUGCAAUUUGCAACUUGUCUCCUCUUGACAGCAGAGAGUGGCUUCUGUCCUUUUCCCAAACUCAUUUUGGUAGCAGCAAGCCCAUAGAUGAAAUUCCCGCUAUUGUAAUCGGAGACCAAUUGCUGGUACAAUCUUACAUGUUUGUCUACCAUGUUUUGACAGAUCAUGUCAGAUAUGGUUCAGUCCAGAACAUAUCAGAUGAGCCAUUCACAAAUGAAGGUGAUAUUUUGUUGUUGGUGGGAGGAGGGUAUUCAAGAGUGCAUUCCUGGGGUGGUAGGACAACUUCAUGGCAAAUAAACAGCAUUGAAAAUCAUGUAUGAUAAGCUCAGUUUUUAAAAUGCAUAUUGAAGGUUGUUGGGCUAUUGCUGGUAAGUUUUGGGAAGCUUCUGGUUCCUAUUUUAAAAGCAUUUUUUUUUUUAAUGGGCAUUAUACAUAUAAACAAUGGGUUGGACCUAGACAGGCAGAUCAGUUCAAACUUCAGGAAUCAAGAAAAAUAUAUCCUGGAGUAAAUUAUGCCAGUGUAACCUAAUUAACUGCAGAUGGUGACAGCAGUCACGAAAUUAAAAGACGCCUGCUCCUUGGGAGAAAGGCGAUGGCAAACCUAGACAACAUCUUAAAAAGCAGAGACAUCACCUUGCCAACAAAGGUCCGUAUAGUAAAAGCCAUGGUUUUCCCAGUAGUGAUGUAUGGAAGUGAGAGCUGGACCAUUAAGAAGGCUGAUCGCCGAAGAAUUGAUGCUUUUGAAUUAUGGUGCUGGAGGAGACUCUUGAGAGUCCCAUGGACUGCAAGAAGAUCAAACCUCUCCAUUCUUAAGGAAAUCAGCCCUGAGUGCUCACUGGAAGGACAGAUCCUGAAGCUGAGGCUCCAAUACUUUGGCCACCUCAUGAGAAGAGAAGACUCUCUGGAAAAGACCCUGAUGUUGGGAAAGAUGGAGGGCACAAGGAGAAGGGGACGACAGAGAAUGAGAUGGUUGGAUGGUGUUCUUGAAGCCACCAGCAUGAGUUUGAUCAAACUGCGGGAGGCAGUGGAGGACAGAAGUGCCUGGCGUGCUCUGGUCCAUGGGGUCACGAAGAGUCGGACACGACUAAACGACUAAACAACAACAACAACAAACCUAAUUAAAACUUUAUUCAGGAACAGGGCUGCUGCCAGCCAAGCCAACUGGAACCAGACAGAGGAGAAACAAAAUGGAAUUUGAUGUGUACUACCCUCCCAGUGCAACUUUUGCAGGGCUGCUAGAUUGGAAGCUGAGCUGAGUUGGGAAUAGGCCUAAGUCUCCCCAUGCCCUGUCCCAUCCCCAUAGCCCAGGAAUGAGGGACUGCAGGGGAAAUCCAUACCACAAUGUUUUUCUAUCCAUUUGUACAAUUAUUCCUCCUGGCUCAUUGGCACAUCCUAAAAGUCCUUUGGGACUUUCCAGGGUUUUUGGUUUGCUUUAUGGUUUUGACUCACUACGUGCUUUAAUGAUCAGUAUUGGCGGGAUAUGGGAGGAACCACUUGUGCACUCGCUGAAGGCUGGGGGCCUGCCAGAAGGGGCGCAGCUGCACCAAUAAUGAAUGGUGCUGCCCCUGUCCACUGCCCUUACAGGUGAUCUAGCAUUUCUCACACCAUGCAAACAGUGACUUCUGAAACAGGUGUGCGGAAUUUAGAUAUUAGGUCAGGCAUCAUGUAGCCACCAAGGACUUAAAGGGUUUAAAGUAUUUAAAUCUCCUAGAUGGGGUCAGAGCUUUGAGCUGCAGGUCAACAUGGAGAAAUCUACAGCAAGACUGGCCCCAGUUACCCAGCUGCCAGAACUGUUGAUCUUUGCAUCCCACUUCCCACUAAGUCUGCUCCCAUCCUGCUCUUUUCCAAACAAUCUUAAACUCCAUUGGGGAAGCCCCCCCCCCCGCUCUCUGUGCUCUUUGCUGGGCUACAUGCAAAGCUCCCCAAGACUUGGAGACAAGGCAGCAGGGGUGGGACGGGACCAGAAGGCUCCUGUGAAUCUGUUGCAGCCUCAGCCCCCACCUCCCCAUUUAAAAUGUAAUUCUUAAUAAAGUGGAAAAAUUAUUUGGGGAGAUAGCUGUCUCUAUUUUACUUGGUAUGUGUAUUCUUUAGCUCUUACUCAUCCACUCUUGUUACAGCAACUACAAGUUGCUCUACUUCUGUACUUCAGGACUCUUAGCAGCUCCAAAAUAAUUCCCUGAUUCUGUUUUGUUUUUUUUAAAUAAUAUUAUUUUUCCAAAAACACUGAUAAAAAAGGCGAAAAAAAGAAAAAGAAAAACAAUACAAUACAAAACAUCAAAUUAACAAAACAAGACAAAAACAAUAAAAUAGAUCAGACAAUUUCAUUAUCCCAUCUUUCCUUCACUUAUUUCCACGACCUCCUCACACCUCCCUUUUUGUAUUCCACUUCUGUUAAUUAUUUCAGCAAUUCCUUUCCAUCUUCCUCUGUUUUCUAUCCUAUAAUUAUCUUAACUCAUUCUAACCUUAUUCCCCCCCUUUAAUACUCUAUUAACCUAUCUGUACUUAAUUCCUUAUAAUAUUUCUACUAAAGCCAUAUAACUUCAUUUCAACAUUUUUCUAACAUUCAUUAAUUUUACAAUAUUUCUGUAGAUAGUCUUUAAACUUUUUCCAAUCUUCUUCCACCAACUCCUCUCCCUGGUCUCGGAUUCUGCCAGUCAUUUCCGCCAGUUCCAUGUAGUCCAUCAACUUCAUCUGCCAUUCUUCCUGGGUGGGCAAAUCUUGUGUCUUCCAAUACUUCGCGAUAAGUAUUCUUGCUGCUGUUGUUGCGUACAUAAAGAAAGUUCUAUCCUUCUUUGGUACCAAUUGGCCGACUAUGCCCAGGAGAAAGGCCUCUGGUUUCUUCAAGAAGGUAUAUUUAAAUACCUUUUCAUUUCAUUAUAAAUCAUCUCCCAGAAUGUCUUAAUCCUUGGGCACGUCCACCAAAGGUGAAAGAAUGUGCCUUCAGUCACAUUACAUUUCCAACAUUUAUUGUCAGGCAAAUGGUAAAUUUUUGCAAGCUUGACUGGUGUCAUGUACCACCUAUAAAUCAUUUUCAUUAAGUUUUCUCUUAAGACAUUACAUGCCGUAAAUUUCAUGCCUGUGAUCCAUAACUGUUCCCAGUCAACCAUCAUUAUAUUAUGUCCAACAUCUUGUGCCCAUUUAAUCAUAACUGAUUUCACCGUUUCAUCCUGAGUGUUCCAUUUCAACAGCAAGUUAUACAUUUUUGACAAAUUCUUGAUUUUGGAAUCUAACAAUUCUGUUUCCAAUUUUGAUUUUUCCACCUGGAAACCAACUUUUUUGUCCAAAUUGUAUGCCUCCAUUAUUUGGUAAUAAUGGAGCCAAUCUCACACUUUAUUUUUCAAUUUUUCAAAACUCUGCAGUUUUAGUCUGUCUCCAUCUUGUUCCAGAAUUUCCCAAUAUUUCGGCUAUUUGGCCUCCAUAUUGAGUUUUUUCUGUGCCUUCGCUUCCAUUGGUGACAACCAUCUUGGGGUUUUCUUUUCUAACAAAUCUUUAUAUCUUAUCCAUACAUUAAACAGUGCUUUUCUGACAAUAUGAUUUUUAAACACUUUGUGUGCUUUUACCUUAUCGUACCACAGAUAUGCAUGCCAACCAAAUACAUUAUUAAAACCUUCUAAAUCCAACACAUCAGUGUUUUCAAGUAGCAGCCAUUCUCUCAGCCAACAAAAAGCAGCUGAUUCAUAAUAGAGUUUUAGGUCUGGCAGGGCAAAUCCACCUCUUUCUUUAGCAUCAGUUAAUAUCUUAAAUUUUAUUUGAGGCUUCUUGCCCUGCCAAACAAAUCUGGAAAUAUCCAGAAUUUGUAAUGUUUGGAACAAGAACAACAUCCUUGGCAGCACAUUCAUUUUUUAUCACAGCAAUUCGGCCCAACAAUGAUAACUUCAAAUUUGACCAUAUUUCUAAGUCUUUUUUCACUUCAAUCCAACAUUUUUCAUAAUUAUCCUUAAAUAAAUUUACAUUUUUAGCAGUCAUAUUAACCCCUAAAUAUUUCACUUUCUUAACCAAUGUUAGUCCUGUCUCUUCCUGAAAUUUCUCUCUCUCAUUUGCAGUUAAAUUUUUCUCUAAAACCUUAGUUUUCAUCUUAUUCAGCUUAAAACCUGCUACUUGCCCAAAUUCUUGAAUCAGUUCCAAUACCCUUUUUGUGCUAGAUUCUGGUUCCUGUAGGGUCAAUACUAGAUCAUCAGCAAAUGCUUUCAAUUUAUACUGUUUAACUCCUACUUGUAUACCUUUGAUCUCUUGGUCCUUUCUUAUCAUAUUUAACAAAACCUCAAGGACCGAUAUAAAAAGCAGUGGAGAAAUUGGGCAACCUUGUCAUGUCCCUUUCUCAAUCUUAAACUCUUCUGUCACUACAUUAUUCACAAUUAAUUUUGCCUUUUGUUCUGAAUAAAUUGCACCUAUACCAUUUUCAAAACCUUGGCCUACCCCCAUCCCCUGUAGGUUCUUCUUCAUAAAGCUCCAAGAAAUGUUGUCAAAGGCUUUCUCCGCAUCCACAAAUAUCAAGACAGCCUUGGUAUUAAUAUUCACUUGAAGUUUUUCUAAAAUAUUAAUUAUGUUCCUCGUAUUGUCAGACAAAUGUCUGCCCAGGAGAAAGCCCGCUUGAUCUUUAUGAAUUUCUUCUACUAACACCUUUUUUAAUCUUCUGGUCAAAAUGUCUGCAAAAAUUUUAUAAUCCACAUUUAGCAGCGAUAUGGGGCGGUAGUUUUUGAGCUGAAUAAUUCCCUGAUUCUGUGGCAGCUGAUCCCAUAGAGGUGGAAUUUGGAUCUUGUUCUUGCAACCAUGACUACUAAUCAGCAUAGGAAACAUCAUCUGAGAAUAGAAUCCAGAGACUGCUGAGAUCUUGGCACACUGCUAUGAAGCACCACUAUACCAGGCACCCCAGAAGGUAAAGGGGAGUCCUUUCUCUUUCCCUUGUCAUGGCUUGACAUUGGAGAGGAGCAGUGGAACACAAACACCUCUCCUUCCCUGUCUUUCUGACCCACCAGAAGCCUGGUAAAAGGCAUGGGAGCAUGGUGGCAGCUGAUGCCCCUUGGGACUGGUAGAGGAGAUGUGAGGGAGGCCAACUCCUUCUCUUCCCUGUGGAGUGCCCAAAGGGCAACACUGGGACGGAGGAGGAGAAAGCCAACCGUCACACAUGCCCCCCUGGACUCACUGUAAGAAAGAAGGCAGGCAGGUGGGGUGGCUGGCUGAGAUUUGUGGGGCAGUGCCCCAUUCACCCUAAUGGACCAGCCCCCACUGUGUGGAAGCUGAGAAAAGGAGUGGCUUGUGGGUACAUAGGGGCUGGGAAGGAGGGAAUAAGUCGAUCUAUUUCCUCAUUUUUGUUGUUGGGGAGAAGGAAGAAGCUCAACCUAUUUCUCAGUGGGGCCCAUGUCAGUUGGGGAAAAUUUGCCCAUAUCUAGAAAAAAUAGGUUGACUCAGGCCACAUGGUGUGAUAAUGGCUUCUUAAAUCACAUGGCUCACACCAGAUUGACAGAAGUUUACUGCAGUCACUAGUUGGUAUCGGGAAUUCAAUGGCUCCCCCUCAAGCUUAGGAGUUACGAGCAUCCUCACCACCCCCCUCAAAGUGCCUUGGGGUUUGCUUUCAAGGCUUCUCCGCAGGCCUGCUGCUGCUGCUACUUUGGUGGCAGUCACAAGAACACAGAAGAAGAGCCUUCUUGUUUGGAGCUGCUGCUAGAACAAGUUGCACUGCGGCCAGAACUGCUUUUGCAUAGCAAAGAACAGGCUCAGGCUUUUAAAGCAGCAUAGAGUUCAUUGUCCUUUAGGAUCGGAGGUGGUAUACAGGAUAGCCACUAGUAUGCAGAAUUCUGUAAACUCUAUGCUUUCCUUUGUGUGUGUGAUUUGUUAGAAAGUUUGCUUUAACCAAGCUACUAGGACUUUCAUGAGAUCGUUCCAUCCCUCAACCUAAACUGUUGAUUUUUCAAGGGAAUUGUAAUAAAAAUGUGCAUUCUUAACUAAAUGAAAGUCUGUACUAUGCAAAUAAUAAUGAGUCUGCCUUGCAAGUAAUUCUUGCCUCUGUUCAAAAAUUACCCAGGGAAUAAAAUUUAAAGAGAGAGAAAAGGGCUAAAUGAGAAAAGCAAAAACUCCCAUUUUUUGUUAGAAGCAAAUGAAACUGAUAUUGAAAAAGUUUUCCAUUCCUCCCCAGAACUGACAGACUAGCACAGUUCUUCCAGAAUGACCAAGUUCAGGAUCCAGUAGUAUGGCCUAAGCCUGUAGAAGCACAUGGAUUUGUCCAGCAGGGACACCACUGAGUGGAUUUGGCAGUGAGGUGUGAUACCUCCAGGAAUCCUCUGCAUCCUCCUCCCCAUCACAGGCAGACUGGCCACCUGGACGCCAUCUUGAGCAGGGAGCAAAGUUGCUCCUCCACAUGCACAAUGUGAACACAUCAGGCCCUCCUGGAUGCUCCCACUGGCCUGGACCUUCUCUCUGUUGUCACAAUCACUCCUGCAGUGGGAUCAUUUUUAUACCCUACCCCAUUUCUUAUGUAUGUUUCCUUUUAAACAAUCAAGAUGGCUCUUUCUCUAGCUAGCACCUGAUCAGGGUGGUUUAUAGGCAAAUUACACUUCCAGAGUUCAAUUUAAGACUUUUGCAGCAAAACCAACAAAGAGUCUUGUGGCACCUUUAAAGAGAAAGUUGAUGGAGUGGCUAAUGGCCCUUCAAAGAGCUCUCUAUGGCUGUAUUUCUAAGCCUGCCUAGUCAGAAGUAAGUCCCAUUGAAUUCAAUGGGGUUUGUUCCCAGGUAACUGAGAUUAGGAUUGCAGGCUACCUUGCUAGCCUUAUUUCACAAUUCAAAAUAAACUUGUCAUCUUGUCUCCUUUCCAGCACUCGGGCACUAGGGACUGUUUAGCAAGCCUGUUAGUAUUUUGCUCUUUGUGUCCUUGAUUGUAUGAAUUACUCCUUCACACAGCUGUAGUGCUAUUUAACCACAUAUUUGUUGUUGUUUUUAUUGCAACGUUUUAUUUUGUAAAUGCAUAUUUUAUUUAGAAAAUGUGUAUGUACAGAAAUAUAUCACUCAAACUAAUUUAUAUUCCAAAUAUUGGAAUUUGGCUGAGAAGUGGGAUGAGAUUUUAAAUGGACACAAAUUCAGAUGGGUCCCCCCAACCCACCCCACUUUGACAAAGUGGCUCAGACUUUUAACUGAGUAGCACACAGAUCAAGUCUACAGGUAACAAAAGAGAUCACCUCUUUCAUGUGAAAAGAGCAAUAAUGAAUGCUGAAUCCCCCUGGCUUUUAAAAUUCACAGUAGGAAGUAGAUUAAGGAUGCAAUCCUAACUCAGUUUACCUGGCAGUAAGCCCUGCUGAAUUCAGUGAGAAUUGUGUCUUGAGUAGGCAUGGUUAGGAUUGUAGUCUUGGUGCAUACAGGCUGGCUCUGUCGAAGAAACAAUUUAUACAAAGUCAACAAACAACACGUCAGAAAAACAGAAAGCAAUAAGGAACCUGUUAGGACAGUGGCAAUAAAUAGGUACUGUAAAUAAAGUAGAUUACAAAGUGAGUUACAUAUCUAUUUUCACAUAAUGUGCAUUUUAAGACCCCAAUAGCAACCUUUAUUUGUAAUCAAAAAGUAUUCAUAGCAAGUGAUGGGGAUCAAAUGGGUGGACAGAAGGAAAUCCACUUACAGUUCAUUUUCAAUAGAUUCCUCUGACAUCCCUUGGUGGCAGUUAUUUUUGGCAGAGGGCAUACCAAUCUCCCUCUGCCCCAACUCAGGAUGCUGUCAUGAUCUAGGUCUGUUUGUGUGCUUAUGAAAGGGAACAAAGAAUAGAGAAUGGAGUUAGAGAUUUGGUGAGAGGAAAGCAGAGACAGUGCCUUCUGAAGCUCUAAUGUAGGCUGGUGUGGUUGACGGUUGGAGCAUUUCAGCUGGCUGCCUCCGCAUGCAUGCAGCCUGCAUAUUUGUGAAUUAACUCCACUAUUAUAAAAGGUCAUCAUGGGCUUUCACUGACCUUCUUCCCAACCAAACCUUGUAAGUCCUUGGAACUCCACUGCUUGGUGAAGGUCCUGAAAUAAAUUCUUCAUACAUACGGACUUCCGGGUUAGCGCCAUCGGCGAAUGGCGGAGUUCCUCCGACCGGAGGAACUGGCUCCGUGGAAACUGGGUCUUCCCUCCGCAGCGAAGGUGGGGACCCGCUAGAAAUCCCAGGCGGAAGAAGCCUGGGAACGUGGGGUUCAGCAGGGCACCUACUCACGGGGAACCCCUUUUUGGGAUUCCGGAGUGAAGUGGGGUGAGCAGCGCGGUGCUGCGAACUGACUGCUACUUUCACGGAGUGAAGCCGCACAGCCAUCGCCGGAGAGCGCUGACUUUUUCCUGUGGACAAUUGGAUUUAAAACAAGUACCCGUGAGUAGAAACGGAAAAUUAGAUCAAGAAACAUCUUAAUUUGACAUCGAAGCGGGAAGGUUCAAAACAGGAAGUCCACCUUCCGCUUUUUGUAUAUAGACUAAAGCAAAAACCUUGUAAGCUAAAGCCUGGAAAGUCGUUAAAAAAGCCUAAAUUUCCUUCAUUUAUAACUACUGAAACCCCUUGGAAGCAGGAGAAAAGGGGGGACUUUGUGUAACGCCUGCAGGAGAGGGAGUGAAGAAAGAUAAGUUUCCACCGUCUCUAACCUGGGAAUGGGGUGUCAGAGACAGAAAUUGUUGGAGAGGUUCAUUGACUGUGAAUGGAAUACUUUGACAGAUAGCUGAAGAAGAGAAAUAAACUGAUUCCAAUGUUGCCUUUUGCAUUCCAAAGAAACAAAAUAUCUGAAAAAUGAAAGUAAUUUUCCUUUGUUGGACUUGCCUUGAAAAAUGGAUACAAAUAGAAAUUGUCUCCUCUAGAGGGAGCCUGCUAAAUUGUUGCUGCAGUCUACUUGAGGAUUCCACAGCUGUGAGAUUAAGAUCGUGGGAUUAGUCCUUUUGACCUUGACUAAAUAUGAGCUGGAAGGAAGUAUUGGUGCUUGCUUUAUGCAAGACAAGUGCUUUGUUAGAACAGAUGCAUGAGAAGAUGGAUUUGAUGAAUGAGAAAAUGGAUUCGAUGACUGUUGUGGCCAAUAACUGUGGACAAAUAGUGAAUAGUGAUACAGAAACCAUCCAGGGUCCAACUCAAGAACCUGUAUUGAUUGGGCAAGUGCAGAAGAUAAUGGAGGAGGCUGCAGUUGCACCUCAAAUAAUACAAAUGGAGAGGCCCAAGGCCCUACAGAAGCAUAAGCCGCUGUUUUUGAAGAUUGAAGUUGGAGUGGGCCAGGGGGAGUCUGGAGCUGAGGAGGCUUUUAACUUUGGAGAGACUUCGAAAUAUGCUCGUAAAUAUUUUUUGGAUUACAUUGAUGACUGUGGGGAGUGGGACUGUGGGGAAUGGGCUGGUUUGAUGAAGGGAGAUGGAGAUAACUUUGGGUUGGAACCCCCCAGAGACCUACUCCUCAAUGAGAAAGGAAAGAAAUUAAGAAAGAGACCAACAAAAGACAAGGAAAAGUGCAAGUAUAAACAAGAAGAAGAUCUGCAGAAGGGACAUGGAAGAGACUUAAGGGCCUUGGAUAUAAGACUUCCAGGUUGAUGGACUAGAUGGAAUGGACAGUAAGGACUGACACGACCCGAGACCAGGAAGAAGAGACGUUGGAUGAAGACUGGAAGAAAAUUUAUAAAGAAAAUUUUUUAUUUAGGGAAUCAGCCUAAAAUUAAUGAAUAUUAGGGAAAAUGUUGGAAUGAAACUAUAUGACUCUAGCAGAAAUGAUAUUAGGAGUUAUGUAUAACUGAGUAUUAAGUUUUAAGCUUUAAGGUAUUUUAUGGUAAGAUAAGGUUAAAGAAAUUAAGGUAAUUUGAAUAACAGAAUAUGGGGAAAGAUGGAAAGGAUCUGUUGAGUUAAUUAAUAGGUUAAAUUGUUAAGAUAAAUUAUCUAAUAAAAAUUGAGAAAGAUGGAAAGAAUUUGCUGAAACAACUAACUAAACUAGAAUACAAAAAGGGAGGUGUGAGGAGGUCAAUGAAACAAGCAAAUGGAAAUUAUGGAUAUGCAACAUGGGAUUUGUGUCUUUUUUCACUUUUUUAUUUUCUUUUUUGCUGUAUUGUUGUAUUGGUUUUUAUGUUUUGCGUUUUUCCUUCUUUUUAUGUAUUGCAGUGUUAUUUUUUAUUUUUUAUUUUUUGUAAUUCUGAAAUUAUUAAUAAUUUUUUUAAAAAAAAAAUAAAUUCUUCAUACAUACACCCCCAUUUCCACUGCUAUACUUCUGUGGUAAAAUUUCAGGGAAACUACUGUAUUUUUCGCUCUAUAAGACGCAUCAGACCACAAGACGCACUUAAUUUUUGGAGGAGGAAAACAAGAAAAAAAAUAUUCUGAAUCUCAGAAGCCAGAAAAGCAAGAGGAAUUGCUGUGCAGUGAAAGCAGCAAUCCCUCUUGCUGUUCUGGCAUCUGUGAUAGCUGCGCAGCCUGCAUUCGCUCCAUAAGGCGCACAUACAUUUCCCCUUACUUUUUAGGAGGGGAAAAAUGAGUCUUAUAGAGCAAAAAAUACGGUAAUUGCCUUUGCCUCUGGGUAGUUUCCAGAAAACAAUGCUCUGACUGUAGAGUCAAGAAAGUCAGCUCCUUCCUCUGUAGCAGAUUAAGUUUUUCGGGAGAAAGAACAUAUUGGGUAGAAUGACAGCAUGUUGUCACUUCUGCUUGCCAAAGGUCUCAAUCAUUCUGGGAUCUUUUUCAAGUAGAAGAGAAAUAUGUAGCUGCAAGAAGUGGCUAGCUUCUUUAUAACGUGGAAAGGUUUCACCACAAUGAAAUUGUUAGUAGCAUCAUUAGCAAAGGCCUUUCCCAAUCAUACCUCAGUGUAGUCGGUUUCCAAACUAGUGUAGGAAAUACAAGGAUGGAAACAAGAAAACCGUGAUACAUAACCUAAUGACCCAAAGGGGAAGCUUUCUUCCAUUAAAAAUAAACAACACAGAGAACUGCAGGUGAGGAUUAAGUUACUUGUGAGAUGCAGUAAAAGUAACUGAAUAAUGAGGAAAAUAAAAUUCAUUAUUCUGUCAUGAGGAGUAAAAGAAUCUCAGGGUUAGAUGAGGGCAGCUCCUCUCAAAUCUAGACUUUGAGGAUGUGUUCUCCAGUUCAGAGUAAAGCAGUUCCUGCUAUGUACUGCAGGAAGUACCACACUGCUGACCAGGUGAGGACCGAAGUACUUAUUCCUAGGAUAUGUAUCAAGCCUGGUCAAUAACAAGACUUUAAAGUACCUGCCAGUUGCAUAGACUGAUGUUGCAGCUCCUCAACCCCUUUACCAUUUGAGAAAAGUAAUUUUGAAAGACUAGGACACAGAUUCUGAAAUUCCUAGUUUGGUCCUAAAGUCUCUGAUGCAUGUGUCAGCACACACAUAAAACUUGGUAGUAGUAUUUUUCCAAAAGACUUGGGAAAGAAAUCCACCAGAUUUUAUUUUCCCUGCUGAUAGGGGAAGCAUUUUAAGCAUGUUAAGGCAAAAUUGCAGGCAGGGUGGAAGAAGAAGAGGAGGAGGAAGAAUAAGAAUAAGAAUAAGAAGUAGAAGAGGAAGAAGAAGAGGAAGAAGAAGAAGAUGAAGAAAAGUUUGGACUUGAUAUCCCGCAUUUCACUUAAGGAGUCUCAAAGCGGCUCACAAUCUCUUUUCCCUUCCUCCCCCACAACAAACUGUGAGGUGAGUGGGGCUGAGAGACCUCAGAGCAGUGUGACUAGCCCAAGGUCACCCAGCAGCUGCAUGUGGAAGAGCAGGGAAGCGUAUCCGGUUCACCAGAUUACGAGUCCAGCACUCUUAACCACUACGGCACACUGGUUUUCUUAGUAGGGUAUGCUGCGACUUAGAAUGAAUCCAGAAUCUAAGGUGAAGCAGAGUGCCUUGGAAUGUUUAUGGAUGGACUUUCCCAAUGCAAAGUGGGACCCUUUUAUGAGGUACCCCAUGGAGAAGCAGAGACCGCUGAAGUGACUUGUGAUGCUUACUUAACUCAAAAUGUCCAGUAAAGUGAUGCAACGCUGAUGAGAUAAUGUGUCUGAAAAAGCAAAACUAAGCUUACCAUAUGUGGGGAGAGUGAGGAAAGGUUAGUGCUGGAAUGGCUUCACCAGGGCUCUCCAAUCCCAGUGAUUUAGGGGAGAAUGUAGAAGAUGGAUAAAUUUGUGUCACAUUCCCUUUGCUCUUUGCAAGUUAUAUGUGUCUGCAAAUAUACCGUAUUUUUCGCCCCAUAGGACGCACCGCCCCAUAGAACGCACCUAGAUUUUUGGGGGGGGAAAUAAAGAAAAAAAAAUUAUUUCUCCCCCAGGCGCGGGGCUGGCGCAGGGGAAGCCCGAGCUUCCCCCGACCCCAGCCCCCAGAACAGGCUGCUGCCUGCAAGCCUUGCACGCCCCGCGGGACCUCCCGCCGGGCGCGCGAGGCUUGCGGACAUCUGCCCGAAGCACGGGGUGUGCUCUGCAGCGCGCCCCGUGCUUCAGGCUGCAGGCUGCCGCCCCAAGCCUUGCAUGCCCGGUGGGACCUCCCGUCGUGCGCGCGAGGCUUGCAGAUAGCUUCCUGAAGCCUGGAGAGCGAGAGGGGUCGGUGCGCACCGACGCCUCUCGCUCUCCAGGCUUCAACGAAAGCCUGCAUUCACCCCAUAAGACGCACACACAUUUCCCCUUCAUUUUUGGAGGGGGAAAAGUGCGUCCUAUGGGGCGAAAAAUACGGUAAUAUUUAGGCUGCACACCAGGUCAGGCAUAUUCAGAGGGCCUUGGAUGAGUCAGGUAUACACAGCCACAGAUUGCUACCAAUCAGGCUGGACUGGCCCAGAGUGGGCUGUGGGGGUCAGGAGUUGGGGCUUCUGGAAGGCGGGGGUGGGGAAACCAUGCAAAAAGACUGAGACGUACCUGACUGGCAGCUAAGUCUUCCUGAUAGAAGGUAGGUCCAAUGCUGUGGCUCUCCUUUUUGGCUGACACCCUGCCCCACAAGAUCAAUGUGUCUGCUCCUCGACAGCUGUUAAGCGGAGGCAUCAAUCCUAGGGGUGCAGGUGCUGCUUCAUAAGCUGCUUUCCUGCAGGAAAGCUGUGUUGUGACCACCACACUGGAACACACCCUCAUCCUUACUGGCUGGAAAUCAGAAGAACCUGACUGUGCACAGUGCAGUCUCUGUUCCUUUGCAAGCAGCACAUGCCAGGGCAUAGCAUGGAGGUGCCAGGGGGUCCGUGGCCCUGAGCAUACAAUUCUGAGGGGGUGCAAACCAGGUAUCCCCAGGGCAGCCUGGCUCAUCUCUGUAAGCAUAGUGGGGAUUCGCUCACUAAGGGCCAUGUCAGCCAGCCAGGCUCUCACCUGCAUGGGUGGGCAGGCAGCGUAACACAGCACAGCUUGGCUCCAGUGAGGGAGAUCACGCUGGCAGCAUUGGCCAAUCAGAUGCCCAUCAGAGGAAACCCGCAAGCAGCCCUCUCCCCUUCUGUGGCUUCCAGCAACUGGUAUUCAGAAGCAUCGCUGCCUCCAAUCCUGAGGGCAGAGCUGAGCCACCAUCGCCAGUAGCUAUUGACAGCCAGCUGGUAAGCAGGCUUGGUAAACCUUGUUAUAACUGUUUAUUAAAAUAAGGUUCAACCUCUGUUUUUAAAGGUCUUAGUCCUGCUACCGAUUUGUUUUGGAGAAGGCUCCAGACCAGGGAGGGUGACUUCCAGAGUGGCCCACAACGAAUGGGCCUGAUGCAAGGGCCACCAGUCAGAGCCACAGGGUGGACUGGGGAGGGUGAGGGGACGGUAUGCACAGCCCUGAUAAUAAUUUACCAGAGACACCCACCAGAAAAUAUGGACUGCCUCUGGUAAUCAUUAGUAGGAACCGUUGUAUCCAUGUUCAAGAAGGAAAAUCAGGAAUAUAUGUUAAAGGUUUGUGCACGCACUAGGAUUGCCAGCUCACUAGAAAUUACCGUAAGUGGAUAAGCUCCCUUGUGUAGUUUUAAGAUCAACAAAAUCAGCGGGUGAGGGUUUUCAAGAGCUGGAGAAAAGCAUAGUCCCCUGCCAAGAUCCGCAAAAGUCGCUGCUGUGUGAGUCGCUGCUCACAGUUAACCCACACUCACCUCUCCUGAACUGCCUUUUUAGUUGCUGCCUUUUUAGUUCCUGUGAAGCUUCCUGGGGAUAAUCUAAUGUGUGUGCAAUCCUUUGCAUAGUCCAUCUCAAUUCUGAAAUACUUAUUACUAUGACAGGCUCAACCGGCUUUGUUAAAAUAGAGAGGGAGACAGAGACAGAAAUCUUAGGCACCUGUCAGCAUUAAAUGCGAAACAUCAAGCUGCUGCUUAGACUAGGGCUUCACGUUCCUGUUUGCGAUUUAACCCCUGCUAUUAUCGCCAACUUCUGACAGCCAAAGAAUCAGCAUACCUGUCUACAGAUAAUAGGGAAAGGAGCUACAGUCCCCCUCCUGGUUUAAGCAUCAGAUACUUUUGGCACAUAAUUUUCACCAGGCAAAGGCAAGGGCUGUCUCAUUUUCUCCUUCUAAUCUUCUGAAAUGCUUGUGUGAUUCCACCCCCCUCCAACUUUGUCCGAGCAUUUUCUGAAAGUGUCUAAUUUUGUCUUGAUGGAAAUGUAAUUUCUUCGUUCACUAAUACAACCCAUUCCUUUUUAUCCACUCCUCGUCUAAUUUUUAAAGAUGAUGUCUUAUCUCGAGCUCAUUAUUAUUACACUUGUCACUCAAAAUGAAAGGAGGAGGGAAAGAAUCGGAAUGAUGGCUCCCUGAUGAAUACCCACCAUGCUUAUAGAAAUUGUGUGUGUGAGUGUUCAUUCUGAAGUGUCGUUGUGGGGGUGGGGAGAUAAAAGUAAAUUCAAAAGCAACAAACUGCAUUAAAUAAUGAGAAAACUGCAGCUUGAAGGGCCAACUUUCUCUUAUUCCUGAACUUUGUUCCUAAUAAGCCCAUUUUCAUUCAUCCAGACCCUAGGGGACUAUCCAUCUUCAAAACUGCAACAUGCUGUAAAUAUUACAGCUCCUUCCUAGAACAAAGGCAGGUCUCUUUAUUUUCUACUGUUCUUGCACAUAGAGGUGUGCAGAACUUGAUAUCUGCCAUAGUUUCAGAACCCAACUCUUACAACAAACAAAUUGUCCUCAGAUUAAUGCAGAUGCAUUAAAAACCAUUCCAUCACUGGUGGCAAAGCUUUAUUUUUCAGAAAGUCUGCAUUCUUCAUGGCUCCCUCUCAGUACCAAUGUGAGAAAGAUACUGGUUCAAAUCUUGCUUCUGCCAUGAAUUCAGGAUGGGUGUGGACAUAGGCUGAAAUGAGAAAUUACUUUAAAUGGAUGUUUGCCACUGAAACCAACAGCUACCAGGUCCAACUCUCCACAUUCUUGCUUGAGAAAUUUGUAGUGUGGCAUUAUCAUCAUCAUCAGGCAAUAGUGUGGCAUGGGGCUGGAGAAGCACAUCAUGGUUCCCUAGCUGGACAUUACCAGGCUACUGGAUAUGCACCUGGAAAUGUAGGCAGCACACAUGCACUUUUUAAUGCAGCAUUCUACCAGGCUGCAGCAGAAGGAGAAAUGGGAAAGGGUUCACCUGGUAUUUGGGACAAAGCAGUCCUUCUGCUUGCUGCAGCCAGCUUCUCCUUCAGGGACUCUCAGAUUUCAUACGACCACCCAAACUCCAAGCCUUGCCCUGCCACUGCUUUUCCAUGUAUGCAAAUUCAAGUAGUUCUCAUCACUUGGGUGUGUUAACUAAAUAUAUGCAAGUAUUAUCACAUGCAUAGGAGGUUCCUUACCAAUGACGAUAGAUAAGCAACCAUGGAUUAGCUGCUCUCCCUGUGCAAAGGUCAGAGGGGGCAGGGUUUCUGUUGAGGCAGGUGAUUAGCUGUGGGAGGAGCUUAUCAGAGUUUGCAGGGCAGCGGCGCGUGCAGUUUGAUCCAUCUUUUAGAUUUAGGGGAGCUAGUCUCAAACGUUUGUUGGGGGAGACCUAGGUUUUUUGGGGGGGAGUUAUUUGUCCUGUUUUCACGCUUUUUAUGAUGGAGGACCGCUGUAGCCACCCCCAACGACACGUUCUCAAGAUGGAGGGGGAGGGAACAGCUGCAGUCACCUGCGGUUCUGCGCAAUGUUUGCCAUCUUGCCAAAGGUUGCAGGCAGCUUUACCUGCAGCAAUUGCAUGUUGAUUGCCCUCUUAGACAACAAAGUCCAGCAACUGGAGGAACUUGUAGUUACGCUCCAAAGAAUUAGAGAGCUGGAGCUCUUCUUGGAAGCAACAGAGCACACCGUCUCCACCAAGGAGGAGACAGGGGUCUCCCCUGAGAAGGAGGCUAGUUCACCAACACAGGAGCCAGAUAUAUGGAGAAACGUGACUCAAAGAAGUAGGAGGCCCAGGGUUCGCUCUGAUUGUUUAGAAAUACACAAUCGCUUUGAGGUCCUCUCCCCUAGCAUGGAAGACGAGCAGACUCCAUUUGAGGAUCUCUCCCUCAUUACAGUCGAUCAGGUAUAUGAAGACAAGCAGCAAAGUCAGUCCUCAGGGUAUGUGCAGGCGACCUUGGAACAGACAGCUCAUGGAAGAGGAGGCGUGUAGUGGUGAUAGGGGAUUCCCUACUGAGGGGAACAGAAGCAGUGAUCUGUGGGCCUGACAAGAUGUCUCGGGAAGUGUGCUGUCUCCACGGGGCUAAGAUCCAAGAUGUAACUGAACGACUGCAAGGAAUCAUAAAAACCACUGACAAAUACCCCCUCCUCUUGGUUCAUGUGGGAACCAAUGACACUGCAAGCAAUAGCCUCCAGAAGAUCAAAAGAGACUACGAGGCUCUGCGCAGGAAAUUGAAGCAAUUAAAUGCACAAAUUGUCAUCUCAUCUGUCCUCCCAGUUGAACGGCGUGGCCCAGGGAGAGAGGGAAAAAUAGUGGAAGUGAACAGCUGGCUUCGCAAAUGGUGUAAACAGGAAUGGUUUGGAUUCUUAGAUCACGGACUGCAGUUUCUUGAAGAUGGACUUCUGGCAAGCGAUGGGCUGCACCUCACAACGGUUGGGAGGAAUGUUUUUGCCAAAAAUCUCAGAAACCUCAUCAGGAAGGCUUUAAACUGACUAAUGUGGGGGAGGGAGACAGUGCUCCUGAAGGUAGGAGUCUAUCAAUUGAUGAAGAUUAUCAUCCAAAUGUCAUAGACCAAAUGGAGCAAACAGCAUGCAGACCUAGUGGUGGGAGGAAAAAAUCCUUAAAUAAGAGACACGGGGGAAUGAUUAAUGGACUUCAAUGUCUGUACACUAAUGCGCAAAGCAUGGGAAAUAAACAAGAUGAGCUUGAGCUCUUGGUACAGCAAACUAAAUAUGACAUAAUAGGCAUCACUGAAACCUGGUGGCAUAAGUCCCACGAUUGGAAUGUAAUAAUGGAGGGAUACAAUCUAUUUCAGAGAAACAGACCAGACAAGAAAGGAGGAGGAGUGGUGUUAUAUGUCAGGGAUGUGUAUACCUGUGAAGAGAUCCAAGAUUUAGAACCUCAAAGCCAAAGUGAGAGCAUUUGGGUCAAAAUUAAGGGAGAGAAGAAUAACAGUGACCUCAUUGUGGGAGUUUACUAUAGAUCCCCAAGCCAAACGGAGGACAUAGAUGAUGCCUUCCUGGAACAGAUGGCCAAGCAUGCAAAAGGAAGGGAGAUAGUAGUAAUGGGGGGCUUCAAUUACUAUUUGUUGGAUGUCAAACUCAGCCAAGAGCAUAAGGUCAAACAGAUUCCUUAUGAGGAAUGGCUAAGGGAGCUGGGCAUGUUUAGCCUGGAGAAGAGGAGGUUAAGGGGUGAUAUGAUAGCCAUGUUCAAAUAUAUAAAAGGAUGUCACAUAGAGGAAGGAGAAAGGUUGUUUUCUGCUGCUCCAGAGAAGCGGACACGGAGCAAUGGAUCCAAACUACAAGAAAGAAGAUUCCACCUAAACAUUAGGAAGAACUUCCUGACAGUAAGAGCUGUUCGACAGUGGAAUUUGCUGCCAAGGAGUGUGGUGGAGUCUCCUUCUUUGGAGGUCUUUAAGCAGAGGCUUGACAACCAUAUGUCAGGAGUGCUCUGAUGGUGUUUCCUGCUUGGCAGGGGGUUGGACUCGAUGGCCCUUGUGGUCUCUUCCAAUUCUAUGAUUCUAUGAUUCUAUGAUUCUAUGUCUCAUUUCUCUUUUCUAAUACAUGUUUUGGGUCAACUAAAUCCAAGCAGCAGCUGUCCGCAGCUCCCGGCGAUGCAAAUGUCUUCUGAGUAGGCAGGCUCUAAGCUCUUUACUAGAACUGUGAAAACUUGCCAUCUGUGCAAAAGUCAGGUCUUAGGGGGAACAUGGUGGUUUGGAGGGGGAGGGGACCUAAAGACAGAUUAAUGCUCUUCUUACUCACAAGUGACAAGUAAGUUGAAACAUAAGCAGUUUGGGAAGAAUAGACAAAGAUUUUGAAAAGAAAUUCAAAGUUCCUGAUAACAAUAAUAUUGUAAUCAGGAAAGUUUCGUUCUGGUUUCUUUAAGUACUGCCUCAGUCAUGAAGGAUGGAAAUAGACUAAAGGUAAAGGGACCCCUGACCAUUAGGUCCAGUCAUGGCCGACUCUGGGGCUGCGGCGCUCAUCUCGCUUUAUUGGCCGAGGGAGCCGGCAUACACCUUCCGGGUCAUGUGGCCAGCAUGACUAAGCCGCUUCUGGCGAACCAGAGCAGCGCACGGAAACACCGUUUACCUUCCCGCCAGAGUGGUACCUAUUUAUCUACUUGCACUUUUGACAUGCUUUCAAACUGCUAGGUUGGCAGGAGCUGGGACCCAGUAACGGGAGCUCACUGCGUCACAGGGAUUCGAACUGCCGACCUUCUGAUCGGCAAGUCCUAGGCUCUGUGGUUUAACCCACAGCGCCACCCGCGUCCCUGGAAAUAGACUAGUCUGUAGCAAUUUUGUUUUUCACCACUUCUGUUGUAACUGCUGAGGAUGCUAUCAGGCCACUGCACAGUGACAUCAAUCUUUUAGAAUAGUGUUCCUUUUUUAUUUUGCUUAUUUUAAGACCUGUGUCCCACCCAAAAUAUGUAGCAGAUUUCAACAAUUUUAACGUAACAAUUGAAAAUGCUGUUGUGAUACAACAGAAUGCAUUUAAACCACCACAUAAUGUAAGAUAGCAGCAGAUCACAUUAGAUGACACCAGCAGCCUAUCAAGCAAGGCCAGUGAAAGCCCGGCUCCGCAACAACACCUGUCUCUCACCUCCAGUGGAAAACCUCUAAAGCUCAGGGGGCCACAGAUGGCCCUGCUGUCAAUGUAUUCAUUGUUACAUAGGUAGCCAUGAGGAGGUUAUGUCAACAUUUGUGGCUGAAUGGGCUUGAUAUUCAUAUAUAUUGGACCCUUGCUGUGCUUACUGGAUCACCAGAAGUUCACAUGCAAAUAGUCAGUAGGCCUGGUGACACAUAGCCUAAGCAGGUUCUCCGUUGGUCCCUGUCUCCAGAACGUCUGAAAAUCAUUUCUUGCAUACGCCCAAGACGUUUGGAGGGCUCCUCCAGUUUCACCCAGUGGUCUUUCAGUCAACUAUGGGUUUCAUAGAAAUGCUAUAUAUAUGGUAUGGGAAAAAUACAAAAGAUAUUUGGAACAGAAAACCCCAAGAUGGAACUCUCCACUAGAAGCAAUCACUAUUAAAAAAAUAAAAAAAAAUCAAAGAGAUCUGGAUAACGUAAAACACAAUAUUAAGGGAGGAGGAGGGUCAACUAUUAUUGAUAAGUUAUGACAAAAUAAAAGAUCACUUUUCUAGUUGGCUAGAUUACUUCCAGGUGAAUGAAGUGUUCAGAGAGGACAAGCAGAUAGGUUUUGAAAAGGAGCCUUCAAGAUUUGAAAGAGAACUACUGAAUAGUAAAACCAAAAUAAUCGCAAAAAUGUAUAGACUUCUUUUAGACUAUGAAGUAAUGGAUGAGGAGGUUAAGGCUUCAAUGAUAAAGUGGGCCCAAGAUGUGGGCCGUCCAAUUAUGCUAAACGACUGGGAAAACUUAUGGAACGCAAAUUUGAAAUUUACAGCCAGCUAGAUGCGGGUGGCGCUGUGGGUUAAACCACUGAGCCUAGGGCUUGCCGAUCAGAAGGUUGGCGGUUCGAAUCCCCACGAUGGGGUGAGCUCCCAUUGCUCAGUCCCUGCUCUUGCCAACCUAGCAGUUCAAAAGCACGUCAAAGUGCAAGUAGAUAAAUAGGUACCGCUCCAGCAGGAAGGUAAAUGGCGUUUCUGUGCGCUGCUCUGGUUCGCCAGAAGCGGCUUAGUCGUGCUGGCCACAUGACCCAGAAGCUGUACGCCGGCUCCCUUGGCCAAUAAAGCAAGAUGAGCACCGCAACCCCAGAGUCGGCCAUGACUGGACCUAAUGGUCAGGGUCCUUUACCUUUACCUAUAACAUAAGAGAGAACAUGAUGAAAAUGGCCCAUAGGUGGUACCUCACUCCUUCCAGAUUAUCAAGAAUGUAUAAAAAUUUGGCGAAUGCUUGUUAGACAUGUGAAGGAAAUAACAGUGACAUGAUCCACAUGUGGUGGACGUGUGAAAAGAUUAAGAUUUUUUCGGGAAAAAUAUACGAUGAAUUUAAAAAGGUGAUGGGGAUAGCCUUCAUUAAAAAACCGGAGGCAUUCCUAUUAAGUAUUUUAGACAAAGAGAUCCCAAAAAAUUCAAGAGAGUUAUUCUUGUAUGCCACUGCAGCGGCUCAAAUACUAGUGGCCAAGGGAUGGAAAGAUCAGGAGGCUCCUAAAAUAACAGAUUGGCAAAUUAAAUUACAGGAAUUUGUGGAGAUGGCUCCAUUGACUAGCAAACUCAGAGGAAACUCAAAGCAAAAAUUUGCGGAAAAAUGGGAUGGUUAUAGAAAAUAUGUUCAAAAAUACAGUAAUAGUUUUGACUCUGUGCUAGCAUUCGAGUGACAAAGGAAGUAAAAGGAGGUGGAUAGCAAUUAAGGAUUUAUUAUGUUUUCUGAAUGUAUUGGAAAAUUUAUAUAGAAAGGUUUAUUGUUUUGUGUACAUUCAAUUGUAAGAUAAAGCAUAUGCGAAAGGACUUUUCUUCAAAAUUGAAGAAAAAAUUUUGUAAGAUAAAAGGGGAAAAUAUUUGUUGUUGUUGUUGUUGUUGUUGUAUUUAAGAAAAAACAACCCUAUGGGUUUCACCUGGUGGUGUAACAGAUGACUCUGCACAAGGAUAUGUUGGGGAGCUGCUUUUGUUUUAUGCUUCAGAUUCUGGGGGGCAGAGAGUGAAGCAUCAACAAUAUUCCCACGCUUGGCAGGUGCACAUUGAGCUACAAUCCAAGCCAAUCUAGCUUUAGUGAGGUUUUCUUACUCAAAGCAUUUCCAAAGCUAAACAUUAUCUCAAUACUAUUUAAUGGACUUAUUUGAUAUAGUCUGCAUUUCUUUCUCCGAUCUCCCUUGUCCUUUUAAUUGGUUUUAAAUUAUAGCUGUUGGCAACACUUUUCUAUACUGCUUACUCAUAGCUGAGUCAUUUUCCAACUUUUUUUCUUUCCAUUGAAAAGUCUAAAUUGGGAUUUGAUAAUGCUUGAUUUAGAUUGUUGUCUUGUUUUAAGUGAAUAGUAAAUGUAAAGAAGGGCACAGCUGCAGGAAUCAUGACUCAAGUUCUUCAUUUUCAAAGUAUAUAGAACCUUCCUAAAAGUGCUACAAAUAAACGUUUUUAAAGUUUUGAGAGUGUUUGUUUUUGCAUAGCUCUUUCAGCAUCUUUUUUUUUUAACGGACAUCUUGCACUCAGGUCUCUCUGUGAGGUUAGGAGGUAGCAACCUAGAGAUCCUUUAACAGAUCUGCAGUAGCUACAAUGACAAAGGGUCUUACCUGAGAGUAAGGAAGAUAUUUUUAUUGAAGCAGAGGAGACAUACAGGCACAGCAGCAGGAAAUGAGUCUCAGCAGCCACUACACAGGCUACAUGGCAGUGGAAAGGCGAAGAUAUCUAAGCUGGGAGCAGCAGCCCAAAUUUGAGGGGUCUGGGAUCAACACAUGGAGUUCAGAAUCACAGAGUAGCAGCAGAACUGUCCCAACAGGUUCACACACCUACUCACCAAUCACUUUAAAACAAGACAAGGCAUGCUUACCUAUGAGACACUUGUGCCUUCCAAGAGUGCCAGGCGUGAAUCGGGGUUGAGGCCUCUGUUUGCAGCAACAGGGAACUGCCAGGUCCUGGGAGAUGGUGCCCUUCCCUCCUGAAGCCUAUUUAUCCAGUUUAUCCAGCGUCAUUGGGAAGUGGGCAGAUUCCCUUCCCAGAUUCCAUUGCUGCACUCCUACGCCUGGAGGGAAGGGGAGAGGCAGGAGUUCUGCAAUCUCAUCUGAGUCAGCUGCGUCCUGGGAGGAGGCAGCACCCACCUUCUCCAGCCUCUCUUCCCUUGUCUCAGGCCCCUGUUCCCCCUGCUUGUCUGCCUCAGACUGCCGCUCCACUCCCCAGUGGAGAUUUAACUAAAGAUGGUAUUUUAAUUGAAAAAAUGUGUAGAGACAGAGGCACAGUGGACUCUCCAUUGAAGACAGCUUUAUAAACAGUCUCCAAAAACUUCAGAAAGUUAUUAGGUGAAGAGAUUCACAUGUCAGUAUCAAAACAGUGUGCAGUCUUGUCCUGACAGUCUGUCUUUGUCCUCCUCCCUUUCUCCCCCCCCCCCCUUUCCUUAUUUCCAAAAAGAAUCUUUUGGAGCCUGCUAGUUACCCAAAGGCGGGUCUUGAAGUGGAGUUGCUCCCUCAUUUGGCAUUCACCAAGAGGGAGUUUGGGGUAUCAGCUAUCAAGGGCAGAAGGGAAUGAAGGUUGAAAACCUUUGAUCUAUACCCCUGUUAUAUGUAGGCUAAAGAAGCUGUGAUAUAUUGCUGAGGGGGGCAGGAGAAGAGAAGAGGAAAGUAAGUAUUAAACCACAGUUAUGUCUAUGUCUCAUCCAGAAAGUAUAGCCAGAGACAUUUUGGCAAAUUAAAAACUCCACAUGGACAGAAAUUUUACCCCUGAAAAAGAGGACAUGUGCUGGGAAAAGAGGACACAUGGCAACCCUAAACAGCAUAGGAUGCAUAGUGUGUUUGCAUAGAAUUGUCUGGGGCACACUUGCUGCUUUCUGGGAUGAGCGUAAUCUAGAAUGCUCUCCUGGAAACCUCUGGAUCAAUUUUGCAUUUAUAAAUGACCUGACUAUCUCCCCGCUCCCCCCACAAGAGGCUUCUUUGUCACAGUGUAGCAUUGAGGAUGUCGCAGAUAACAAUUAAAGCAAACUUUGCUCUGGGUAUGUCUUAAUUACUAAAACACUGGCUCAUUUACUUUUAAAGUGCUCUUGCUCCCGCAUCCAGCUUUUAAUUAGUAAAAGAGGCAAUGUUAGAGCAGACAUCUCUUGAAAUCUCUUGAAGGAAUCUCACCCUGGCAGUUCCCUUCAUACUUCUCACCUGCUAAUCCAAACAAACUAACCAUGAGAGAAUAAGACUGGAAAACUGUGUGGAUAUGUUCUAGAGCAAGGGGGCACCCUGUGGUCCUCCAGAUGUUCCUGGACUCCAGUGUUCAUUAGCCCCCGUCAGGAAUUAGCCAAUGGUCAGGAGGGAUGGGAGAUGUCAUCCAGGAACAUCUCUGGAGGGCCAGUCAUGAGCCACUCUUGGUCUGGAGAAAACAGUCCAAAAUAAACUCUCUGGCUGAAAAAUUCCUAGGAAAUAAAUGGGAGCAAAAAGGACAAAAUAAAAUAACUAGUAGUUAAAUUUGUGGUGAGAACACGGAAAGCUAACAAAAUGAAUUUCAAUAGGGACAAAUAUGAAGAACAAGUUGCACAAAUAUAAGGUGGGAGACACCUGGCUUAUGAGUAGUACAUGUGAAAAGGAUCUAGGGUUCUUGGUGGACCACAAACAGAACAUGAAUCAACAGUGUGAUGCAGCAGCAAAAAAGGCUAAUGCUAUUCUAGACUGCAUCAACAGAAGUAUAGAAACCAGAUCACGCAAAGUAAUAGGACCACUCUAUUCUGCUUUGGACAGACCACACCUGGAGUAGUGUGUCCAGUUCUGGGCAUCACAAUUUAAGAAAGAUAUUGACAAGCUGGAAUGUGUGCAGAGGAGGGCAAGAAAGAUGAUCAAGGAUCUGGAAACUAAGCCUUAUGAGGAACAGUUGAAGGAGCAGGGUAUGAUUAGCUUGGAAAGAGGAGACUGAGAGGGAAUAUGAUUGCCAUCUUCAAAUAUCACAAGGGCUGUCACAUGGAAGUGGGAACAAGCUUGCUUUCUCCUGCUCUGGAGGCUAGUACCAAAACCAGUGGAUUCAAAUUACAAGAAAGGAGAUUCCAGCAAACAUCAAGAAGAACUUUCUGACAGUAAGAGCUGUUUGACAGUGGAACAGUCUCCCUUAGGAGGUGGUGGACUCUCCUUCCUUGGAGGUUUUUAAGCAGAGCUUGGAUGGCCACCUGUCAGGGAUGCUUUAGCUGAGAUUCCUGCAUUGCAGGGAGUUGGACUAGAUGACCCCUGGGGUCCCUUCCAACUCUAAGAUUCUACCAUUCUAAGUUAGGUUGGACUUUAUGCCCUUUAAGAACAAAUGUGUUGAGGGGUGUGUACAUGUGUGUGCAUGUAAAUGCAUGUGGAGUGUGUUUGCCAAGCUGAGUCUGACCUGGGUGAAAGAGAACCUACGGUUGUUUAUCCCUUGGCAGAGCAAUCCUAACGCUCUUGUGUGCUGGAAGGGGGGGGGUUAAUGGGGCAGAGCUGUUCCUCUUCCCCACCCUGUCCAGUUCCACUGGGGGUGUUCCACUGUUGGCAGGGAAGGCCUGCACCUGCCAGGUGAGCAGAAGCUGUGGGCAGUCACAUCCACUUUGGCAGCAGCCAGUGAAAACUCCAGCAAUGGGAAGCUUCAGGAGCAAGGCAAGCACGGGCUGGCAAGAAAUCUGCUGGCUCUUGCGCUAAUCCUACAGUUAUCACAGCCUUGCUCUCCUCACUGUGCCAGUCUGGGAGCUGGCACACUGGCCAGCAUGGGUUGUGGAAACAGCAGCGGCUCUGCUGCUUCCUCAAGCCCUGCAAUUCCAGCCAGGAGUUUGGCGUGUCCUGUAACCUACCAUACUUAGGAUUUCAUCCUCAAAGGCUAGGUUAAUUUUACUCUGAGUUCUGGCUAGCACCAACAUUAACAAUGUUUUGGCACUUAUUAACAACAGGCUUGUGCACUCGCUUUCCUUUCUUUGUGUUUAAUUCCAGUAGGUAGUUAUGUUUUGUUUUUGUUCUUAACUCGGCUACAGCUUUUCUUCUUUUCUGUUCAGAUUCUAAUGGGGAUGUGAUAUUUCAAUAUUUUUUGUAUACUGCCUUGAGAUGGCUGAGGUAGGUGGUAUAGAAAUAUUUCAGUAAACAAAGAAACAGUUUUAGUUUUGAUGGAGUGUUGGGAAUAGCUUUUUUAAAAAAGAGAGAUAUCCUCAGGUUCCUCUCCCCUCAUAAAUCUACAGUUCCCUGAAGAAAGGGAAUAAGCAUUAAGCUAGUUUAGGUUUGUGGCAUAGACAGAGGUCCAAAGACUUCAAUCUGUUCAUCUUAUCACAUAGACCAAGUGUUUACUUGCUUACAACCGACAACCUGAUUCACUUGGAAAUGCUGCAGGAGGAGAUAUUCAUAACUGCACAGAAAACACAACAUAAUAGCUGGGAGUCAAAGCUGCAUACAUUACAAACAGAAGCACAUUUCUAAAACAAUUGAGAGGGAGUCUAUGAUUGCAGUAGCUUGACAAGUGUGCUGGGGAAAACCUCCCCUGCUUGGAUUCCGUAAAUAAAAUUUGCUGCAAGCUGCAUCAUUUCAGAAGUUGAUUCUGAAAGCUUGCCAUCUGAGGUUUCCUUUUCUUUAAGAAAUACAUAGCCUAUCUUGAAUUUAAUUGUAUCUUGAGACACGGUGCAGUGGUGCUCAAAAGUCACUUCUGAAGGCAACGUGAGGGAUACAAACAUAUAUUACAGCCAAUCGGAAGCAUAUCUGGGCAAACAUGUUCCAGUCAUUUCAUUACUGGGGGGCCUGGUGCAAAAACCUGAAAAUAUAAAGAAGAAUAGCCAGUCUUAAGAGGCUUCUCUUCUGGCAGCUCUCCAUUCUGGAAGACAGCCAGGAGAUCUACCCACGCACCAGAAGUUAAUUGGGCAGUUUACUGAUUGCAAGGUCUGCUGCUGCUCUUUGUGGAUGCAAACUGCAGCAGCGAGGAGUUGGAGGGUCAACAAAGAAGGAAGUGUUGGUCCUGCUUAGUGCUCACACACACUCAAGGGGAAAUCAUGUCUACGGCAGGUCUGGGGAACCGUUUUGCCCUGCAGAUAUUGUUGAACUCCCCAAAGCCCUAGCAAGCAUAGUCAAUGGCUAGAGAUGAUGGGAGUUGUAGUUUAGCAGCAUCUGGUGGGCCAUAGGUUCCUCACACUGCUUUAGGGGCAGGCAGUACAUGACUGCACUCUCAGACACACAUGUUUUCUGCUAAGCCCCUCACACACAUUCACCCUUUAAAUACGUAUACACACCCUAGACAGAAGGGUGCAUUGCAAUGGCAUCCAUCGGUCUCAAGAGACAUUGGAGUGCGCCUCCAGAGGUGAAGUCAUAUCACUGCAUUAGCAGCACCAAAGUGACCUCCCUGGGGCGCAAGCCUGGAGGUGUGUCUGGAGGUCCUGGGCUACCCAGAGGACUAGACCCCACUCUCAGCUUCACUGAUGUGGUCCAAAGGAAAGCAGAGCAAGACAUUUGGCACCAGCUUGGCUGCAGGAGUUGCCAAAAGAAGGCAUACAAGGCACCAUCCAACCAUCUUAGGGACUCCACUCUGGAUUUGUGUAGGAUUUACUCCUUAGCUGUUUCUUCUCCCAAAGAUGUCCCACAAGGUUUAGGACCAGAGUUUUCCUUCUCCUAGAUGGGCUACCUUCCCAGGUGGAUGAACCUCACCUGCCCAUCACUUCCCUCUACAAUAUGUGCAGAAACCACCUUCUUGACUAUUGGACCCACUAUUGGUCUUGUUUACUCAAUCUGCCAGAGCCUGUUUUUGCAUGGAGGUGAAGUCCCUAACUCACCAAGGGUUUGAGACCCAUUGGCUCCCCUCAUCUGGUUUAGCUGGCCAGACAAAGCUGUUCCCAGGGGGUAGCCACUGUCGCCUGCUGACAGCUUCUAGGAGCCACAGGUGGGAGCUGAGUGUGUGUGGGGUGGGGGGAACCAAAGGUGAACAAACUAUCCCAGAAGGAGCAUGACAUACCCCCCACCAGAGGGACAACCCUAACAACCCAUACACCUCACACAGAAGUUACAGUAAUAUAUAUUGGAUGGACUAAUUUCCUUCCUGGAAUGUUUACAUCUCUAGGCUUAAACAUGGCUAAUUCCAGACACUAUUUUGUUAUUACUUAGGCUGGCAUUUCUUUGGAAGAGCAUCAGUAGAAAAGAAGAAAGCCAGGGGAAAAGAAAGACAAAAGGAGCAAGUGAAAUGAAUCCCCUGCGUUGUGCUUCUAGACUUUGAUGUAUUCCUGUUGUCAGCUCACUAUAAUUUGUAAAGAUCAAUGGUUUUAGUUAAAAUCUAGACCAGGGCACCCCACCUUCUAAUUCAUCUAUUCAGCAGCUGCCCCACUUUUUUCUAAGCUAUAAAGUUCAAGGUUACUCUGAGGCUUUGUGUGCUGAAGCUCAAGCUCCAGAAUUCAGAGGUUUUUUCUGGUCAUGUACUAUAUUUAUUCACAUAUAUUAAAACACAUAUUACUUUUCUUAAACUAAAUCACAGUGGUAUCAUCAUCAUCUAGCCAAAGGUAAGCUCUUUUAAGUCCACUGAUUUCAGGUAUUUCACUGUCUAAUUAAGGGAGCUUCCUGGGUGGCCUGUGAGGUCCCAGGAAGAGUCACAAAUGCAGUUCUGUCUGUGAAGAGGGAGACGCAUUUAUGGGACAACACUUGUGCCACUGAAGGACCCUCAGAUAAAAUCCUCAACAGCUGUGUGUUUGGGGGGGGGAGUGGGUAUGCAAGGGGCAUGUCAAGGGCAUGUGUUGGGAAAGGCACAGAUCCAAGAGAUCCAAAGCUUCCCCUUUCCUCCAGCGUGGCCACAAGCUUUGCCUAAUGCUGCGGCUGCUGUGGUUAAUUCUGACACAGUAAUGGCAGCCGGAGGGAGGAAAAGGCUGAGGUCUCCCCAUCCCAAGGUGACUGCAGCAAAACAACUGCAGUGCAUGAUGGAAUUUGCCCCUCCCCCAGAAAUGAAGAGUCUGCCUUUAUCCCCCUUCAAAGUCCAUGGAGAAUGAAAUGAAUUUAACUGGAUGGUACUGGUGACAAUGGCAAUGGUGCACUGCCUCACCAGCCCCCCCCCCCCAGUGGCAGAGCAUAUGCCCCCACUGCCCAGGGCAGGUGCACUCCUGAGGGUGGUGGGGCGUGGAGGGUGCCCUCCCACGUGCCCCAGUUCAGGGUAGGAGAGGGGCAGGGAACCUGCUGCUCACUCUCCUCCUGCUCUCUGCAUCCGGGUCAGACAUGACCCGGCAAUGGAGCUGCUGCGGCCAGGUGUGCCUCGCCACGGCCGAGGAGGGCUGCUCUCUGCCUCUGGGUCAGAAGAGCUGGGCGCAAAGUGUGCUGCCCAUUCACUUGCCAUUUUGUCACCUCCCUCAGUCAUGACACCUGGGGCAGACCACACCCACCCACCCCCUUCCUAUGCCUCUGCCCCACCUGCCUUCCUUCUUGUGUAUGUCUAGUCCAAAGGGUGGCCCUGGCUCUGAGGUUCUUCCUCUCUAGUCCCAGGGCUCUUCCUGUAGGACUCGGCCGGGUGUGUGUGUGUGUGUGUGUGUGUGUGUGAAACUAGCCUGAGUCGGCUGGGCUCUGCCUAUCAGUCCCGAUGGGCACCAACUGCAUCUGCAUGACAAUGGCUUCAAGAGUCACUUAAUCACAAAGUACAUUCAAAAACAAGAACUAAAUCCCCACACUAAGGCAAAGAAACUAAAAAGAGCUUGUAGCCCUGUAGAAGGAAGCAGGCUGUGUAUAGGGAGGUCAAGAGUUCCUGUUUGGGGCUCCUUGGCUGUAUCUUAAUUUAAACAUGUUUGCUCAAUUUCUCUGGCUUACUCUUCUUGACUUUCCCUGGAUCUACAUCCUUACAAGUCUGUUUCCCUUUCCACUUCCUGUUUGCCCUGGGAUUUCCUGGCUCUGCCUAAACUUACAAAUUUAGCCUUCGGAUCCCGUUCGGCCGCCUGCGCUCACAUCCUGGCUUCCCCUCUGCUAUCUCUCCAUCACAGACGGCAGACCCUCAAAUAGCUACAUUUUGUGAUCCAAGGUAUCCAAAAUCUGCUGGUUGAAAAGGAGUGUGUAUUUCAUGAUAGAAAUAAAAUCAGGCCACCAACCUAGGGACUACUCACUGUUGCAAAAUAACAUAGAGAGUUUUCUUUUUAAAGUAUAUUUGAACACAAGCACUCUGUGUAAUCCUCAUAAACCAUGUGCCAUUUUACUUCCACAUGCAACAUAUCCUUGUCCAAAUCCCAUUUAAUGCAUUUGUUUCAUGCAAAAUCACUCCAAGUGAUUAUCUCAUUGUCUAUGAUGCUGUGCUUGGGUUUCUACCAUAAAAGACAUUAGUACAUACAGUUUUCUCUUUUAAAAUACUUUUACAGAUCACUCAUUCCAAAGAAAUUCUCCCGCACUUCAUGUACAUGACUAAAUGGUCCCAAGUCCAAUAUGAAUCUAUAUGCUAGGGAUUUUAAAACUGCAUUGCUAUUCUUUGCUGUUUUAUGUACGUACAUAACCUUUCCUAGUGAAGAAGAUGUGCCUCAUUUACUUGCAUUCAUUCAUAAUAGGCCCUCUCCUGGGUUGCUGGUUUCUUUUCCUCUGGCAGCUGCCAGAGAGUGAGUUUUCAUGGAAGGAGAGAGUUCUAGAGGGUUUAUGGUGCUUAUUUACAAAUAUGCAUCAAUAGGAACUGCAAGGCUUUACAACAGAACCAGUUCUGUCAAAAGUAAACAUUACAUCCAUAUAGCUUCCCAACCAGCUUGCAUAAAAAACUCAGAUGCCUGUUUCCUUCCAAACUUGAACUGUUUCUUUUUCAUCUCUUCCUGUAACAAGAGAUUGUGCCAUAGGAGCCAACAGUCAACCAAAGUCAUUGGCAAGCAUCUUUAAACCAUUGGUGUCAAUUAAAGAAAAUGGCCAAGGCUCUUAGUUUCCAGGUCUGGAAUAAUUUAUCUUUCCAGUCCAUGCCAUUUCAGCAUGUAUUUACACACAUCCGAUCUGACCAAUUUUUGUAUUAAUAUGUGACUAUUAUUAUUUUAAACGAUUUUUGUAGCAUUCAACUAAUGUCUGUUCAGAAUAGGCCCAUUGAAGUAAAUGGACUUAACUAUCUAAUUUUAACUAGUUUCAGUGGGUCUAUCUGAGUAAAUACUUGGCUUGUUUCUGUGUAAUGUUUGGAAUUGCUCAUAAUGUUUAUAGACUGUUCAUAUGUUGAAGCACUGCGGAAAGCCCAUUAUAGACAGAGUGUUUCUAGGGAGGCAUAUUUUUGGGUCUCAAAGAAAGUCCAUUCAGCCAGCAAUUUCCAGAACUGGAUUUUGAGAUGUCUUCUGGAGCCAGUAAAUGUGUCUGCUUCUUUGUAGGGUGUGUGCAACGCAAGAGUUCAUUGUUUGCAGAAAUAUAAGGAAUGGUGUUACUUUGUCAUAGCCAAGUCUGAAAAAUGGAGAUGGUAUAAUAUAGCAAUAUUAUAAGCUAUACUAUUACUACCCAGCAUUUAUAUAAUGCCUUUUGAGCACUCAAAGUGCCCUAUCUCAGCAGUUCUUACAACACCCCUGGUUGUGUCUGUUGCCCUUUUCCCCAACCUCCAUUCAUUCAUCAGCUUUGUUUCACAACUUUUACACACAGAGGUUGCUCUGUUCAUGUGGCAAGAGCCCAUGCGCACACAUUGGUGUUUGCCCACCUUUUUGGACCCGUGAGCACAUUUGCAAACUGGAAAAACUGUUGUGGGCACCACCUAAGAACACACACCACAGCUUAUUCUACCAGGUAGCAGAGAAUGCUUCCCCACAUACAAGACAGUUUGGAAUGAGGCUGAAAGGGUAAGCUGUGGUGAAGUUUGAAUGUGUGACUUCCUAGUUUACAUGCUUAGCAUCUGUCAUGGAUGCUUUAGUUGAGAUUCCUGCAUUGCAGGGGGUUAAACUAGAUUACCCUUGGAGUCCUUUCCAACAAAUCUAUGAUUCUAUAAUUCUACAGUACAUCAGCUCUGUUAUGACCAUAGCUGUCAACUUUUCCCUUUUCUUGCGAGGAAUCCUAUUUGGAAUAAGGGAAUUUCCCUUUUUUUAAAAAGGGAAACGUUGACAGCUAUGGUUAUGACCUCAGGACAUUUAAAGCCAGUUUUCCAAAAUUGUCUUAAUAACAAAUCACUUAAACAAGAUGGCUAUACACCAUGGUUAAAUUUGGUCACAACUGUCUCAUUAUUUUCACAUUGCCCCAUUGACAUGAUUAAUGCCUGGACUGUAGCAUGUCUUCAUACAUUUGAAAUGGAUUGAAAUGAAUACAAUCCAAUGUGGCCACAGAUUCAGCCUUUAGCAAGACUGCUCUGCUGAGUUUAAAUUCAGCUCCAAUUCUUGGUUGCGUGUCGAGGUCCCCAAGCCACCCCCUAAAUAAUUCACAAUUCACACAUAAUUUUUUUUAAUGUUUUUGGCAUAAUUUUGGCCACAACUUUAUUAAAAUGCAUAAAUGUGAGUGGUUGCUUAGGCAUUGGUUAUGACUAUCUGUCCCCACGCCCAGGGACAGAACUGACUUCCGGAUUCCAGUGAAAGCCAGUAAGGGAAAAUAAUAUCGGGGAGAAAUGGAGCUGAGCCACAGGCCCUUACCUCUCCCUGCAUGCUCCCAGGGGCUUGCACGGCCCUAGCCCCUUGCCGGGGAUAUGGACAAAUGUAUGGCAAACCCCUGGAUUCCUUUAACGGAAUUCCCUUGCAGCAGCAGCAUUGGAGGGGCAGGCACAGCCAACCCUUACCCUUCCACCAACCAAAUUUUAACCAAUUCUUGGUUAUAAAACAGGAGCAACAGCCUAUGGGGUUGCUUUUGAGACUGAGAAAGAAAUGUCACUAUGAGCUCCAUGGUAAAUAAAAAGUUUUUUAAAAAGGGCACAAUUUCCUCCUCUGCAUAUGAAGAAAUGCUGGAUGGAGGUGAGGCAGAACCUUUCAGGCCCUUGCCAAGUCACCUUGAAGUGGGCAUAGCACUUCUUUCCAACUUCCACGGGGAAAUUUCCCACACCCAGCUUUAUGCUGAAGAAGUGAGAGGAUUGGGCACGAAAUAUCCAUCUUUAUUUUUGAUGUUGCCAUCCCAUCCAUUUUUUCAAGCAUGCAGCAGAAUACAUAAAUGUCAUGAAAUGGGCUGUAGUCCAAAAAUGCUUAUGCUAUAAUAAAUUUGUCAGCCCUUUCAGGUACAACAAGUCUCUUACUUCUGUUUCCUGCCAAAGAUGCAGCUACCUCUCUGGAAUUUGUUUCAGAUUUUUAUAUCUGAUGCAAAAAGUUCACCCCCUAGGAUGGUAUUCAUCAUUAUACUUUUCUCUAACAGUCUCAUGUGUCCAAAACUGCAGUUUGAAAAAUCUGGUAAUCCUAAAUAGCAAAGGCCAUGUACCAGUGUCCCUAUUUUCCAGGGACAGUCCUGGAUUUACAGAAGCCACUCGGUUUCUUAUUUGAUCCCAGAAUGUCCCACUUUUCCUUAGGAUGUCCCUAUUUUCAUAGGAGAAAUGGAGGAUAUGGAGUUAUCUGACUCCUGAGCGAUUUAAAGGCAGCCCUGUAUAGGGAAGUUUUUAAACAUGUUUAAUGUUUUAUUAUGUUUUAUAUAUGUUGGAAGCUGCCCAGAGUGGCUGGGGCAGCCCAGUCAGAUGGGUGGGGUAUGAAUAUUAAAAUUAUUAUUAUAGAAAAGGAUGCUCCUGUUUUCAUUGGUGAAAUGUUGGAGGAUAUGCAUGUAUUCCAGAAGUGAAAUCAGAGGGUAAGAACAGAAGAGGCCCCUUGCUGGGUCCAUGGACUGAGGUCCAUGUAGUUCAGCAUCCUGUUUCUAAGCACAACCAGUUAGAGGCCACUGGAAACUCACAAGCUUAGCAGGGCAUGAAGGUCAUGGCCUCCCCCCGUGGUCUUGCCCCAGCAUCUUGUAUUCAGAAGCAGAGUGUCUUGUAAGGCAAGGCCUGUCUGUGAAGGAAGUACAUUUGCAGCCUUAUCCUAUCCAUGUGUAAUUGAAAGGAUGUUCCACCUGUUUCAGUGAGGCUUCCUUCUAAGCAAACAUGCUUCAGGUUGCAGACUUAGAAAACAUAACAGUACUCAUCAGAGUGAUCAGUGCUGAGACAGAAAGUGGGGUUGCCCUCUGGCAGCUAUACAAUCAGAACACAUGAGAACAGGUCCUUCCUAAGCGCUGACUUGCGCACACGGAACUCCUCCGUGUGUGGAGGCAUCCUCAGCCAAUCAGGAUUCUCUGCCUGUCACAGAGGAUCUCUGUGCAUGUGUGUCAGGACAGGCACAUUAUGCGCAGUCCCUUCUCAGACCAUUGGACAGAACAGGGGCAGGUGGCACAGCUCCCCCUCCCUGCCCAUGAUGGGGAACAAAUUCAAUUUUGUUUGCAUUUUAAGGAGGCCUGAUUUGCACUUCUUGAACAAAUACACAAACCAAAAUGCAGAGGUCCUUCAAAAUUUUCACUUCUCUGAACUUUAUUAAGUAAUUCUCCAGCCAAACAAUGGGUAUCAAAAUGCAUUUAUACAGAAGUUUGCAUGAAAAUGCAAAAAAGACACUUGCAAAAAAGUGUAUAUUAGUCAAAACUGCAUACAAAAAUGUGUUAGGAAAAAUUCACAUUAAAAUGCUGCCAAAUUUUCAUGAAGUUUUUUGUUGUUUGUUUUUUUGGUAAUGCAAACUCCACAGAAAUGUGGAAUUUAAGUCUGGAAAAGUAAGAAACUGGGAGAAAGUGAAACUGACAGAUUCAUCCACCCCUACCCAUGACCUUCUCACAAGCUUGUUUUUCACACAUGAAGGGGAUUCAUCUAAUUCCAGCCCCAUAUGUCAUUGAAAAUUCUACUCAAUAUUGAUCCAGAGCAGAUUCCAGUGUAUAGGUAGCAGAGUAAAAAUUUAGACAUGUUGCAGGAUUCCCCCAAAAAUAGACCUGAGGCAAAUGUAUUUCAUCCAGCAGAGCUUUACUGCUACUGAAGGCAAAUGAACAUAAUGGUCACAAAUCCAAAACAUUCAGGAUUGGCACAGUCCAUAAGAAAUCCAGCUGCAGAAGACUUAGCUUGAACUUACAAUAACUAAAUAAUACGACUAAAACCUUAACACUAUAUACAGAACUUCUCACCAGAAGGAAAAGAGAUAGAAAGUGAAAGUGAAACAGAACCACUUUAAGGCAUCUGUACUCAGCUUCUCUGAAGGAAUGACCCAAACAUCAUGAACCUUCUGCUUGUUUCUUUCACACAGAGAAGCUUCCAGAACCCUCUUGAAUUAAAUAGAAGAGGAAAAAUCUCUACACAUCAGAUCAAUACUUUCUGCACUAAUAAAUGCAAACUGACACUAUCAGUGUAAAUGGUGCUUUCCAGAGAUUCAUAAGCAAACUGAAAAAAGAAAAGAAAAAAUAUCUGCCCGCAGAGAACUUACAAUCAAAAAUUGGCAAAUAUCAAGAUAACAGCUUGGAGGGUUGGGGGAGAAGCUUUAUUGGGGCCUUCAGGCUCACGUGACUAUAAUUGCCAGGGAGGUGGAGGACUGCACACAGUCACUCUGUGCAACCCGUUAUCCUAAGCUAGCCUCUCUCAUUGCUAUUCCUGCCUCAGCGUUCCAGUUCACAGGAACAGCUGGUGACAUUCUGCAGAUACGACCGCAAGGCAGGGGUAGCUAGCACAGUGUGCAGGGGCAGAUGUUGGGUGAACAUAUGCAGCCCAGCUCUCUUCCCUCAUGCAUUCACAGUCAUGAGAACUGAAAGCCCAAAUAGGACUACAGAGAGAAGUCAGGAAGAGACAUUUGUGGCAAGGGAUGUGCUUUACAGUCAGAAUGGAGGCCUGAGCAGUUAAUGAGAUUUCUGGCUAUAUACACACAGAGACACAUAGGGGCCGGAAGUCUGUGUAUCUGUACAGUAUUUCUAUAUUUUUAGAUUUCUUGUUUAUUUGUGUUAACAUAAAUUGGCUUCAUUGAAAAGACAAUCUGGGUAUGCCAGAGGUGAACUGGAGUCUUGACUUCACUUGUUUGAAAAAGAUCUAAACAUGAAAUCAUUCCUUUCCUUGUUUGAGUGCUCUUUUUCCAGACAUCAAGUAAACAGAGAAGUUUCUGGUUGUUUUAGUAUGAGGGGGAGAGAGAGAGAGAAAGCACAAUCUUCCCAUAGUUCCCCCCCCCCCAUAGCACUUAAACCAUCCAUGCUUCAGCUGCUAAUUAUGCCAGUAGAUUUCUUAAAAAUGAAUGCAGAGCAUGGCAAUUUCAUUCAGAUAACAUAAUGAAAGCAGCAUGUUUUGCAUCCAAAAAUUGCUUAUUGAAAAAUCUGGUACUACUAGCCAGUAAAGGCACAUUCUCAUGUACUUAGCUUUUAAUUUCACUUCUUGUAUUAAAUCAUCAAAAGUAGAAUACAUGAGAAUGACCAGACAGUUCCCUCCAGCAUUCUCUUUCUGACAGUGGUCAGCCAGAUGCUCUGGGAUCUCACAAACAGGAUAUCAGGUAAAAGGCUAAUACUUGCCAUUUUGUUUGAGACUUUAAGUUAAAAUAAAUUGUUCCACCACAGGCACAUUUGAGGAGCCUGUCACAGUCCUAAGAACGUUUCUUACUGAAUCAGAACUAGAGUCCUGUUCAGCUGUUGUUUGCUUCCAUCUUGUUCAACACAGGAGCAAAGAAUGGAACAAGCACCCUGUCCCAGUUUCUUUUAGCUCCUCGCCUGACAUCUGCAUGUCAAUUAAGACAGUAAACAACAACAAUUAAUGCAUCAAAAGGCAUCAGAAUUAAAGCUCAGGCAAAAGAUUCACAAAACAGCAGGCCACUAAUUAACAACUAGCUUGAAUAAAAAGGCCUUUACCCAUCCAAAGGAUGGGGCCUAGCAAAUUUCCAUUGCAAGGGAGUUGGGCCCAGCCUGGCGCAAGAGCCUUGUAGUGGGAGGGUUUCAUGAGAAGAGUGGGUGGGGGAAAGAUACCUGAGGUCUUCCACUUCUGUACUAAAAAGUAGCAGGUGAUAGGAAACAUCUGUUUGGGACCCUGAAGAGCCACUGUCAGUCAGAGUGGACCACACCGGGCUGCAUGGUCAAAAGUCGGACCUGGUAUAAUGCAUCGGAAGGGUUUGGGUUUGAGGCCUCUGGCCCCUGAUUCUGAGUAUUUCAUAGCUGUAUAGUGCAGGGGCAGAGAGAGUGGGGAAGGGAUGUCCAUCUCUCCAUUAGUGGGUAGAAAGCCACAUAGGAAGUGGGUACUCUAUGUGGAGGCCUGAUUGGUGCAAUUAAUUUAUUUCACACACACACACACACUGCACAAAGAGGAUGAUGUGUGAUAAGAUAUCCAACUAGAGCACCUGUGUCCUACAUGUUGUUAAUGAUGGGAUGGAGAGAAGAUGGGCAGCCAUUCCUUCACCAUGGAAAGACUGCCACUGUCUGGGUAAGUUUCGGAACCAGUCCUAGUUUAAAGAAGUCAAACUGCACACACAAAUGUGCAGACCAGUCGAGGCUCAUCUCCACUCAACGUACAACUUGAUUCUUAAGGUUUUACUGUCUGAAUAUGGUUUACAGAGGGCAAAAGAGAAAACAGGAGAAGUGAAUGCUAUGGAAUGACUAUCAAAACAAAGAGCACAUAAAGUAAUGUGGAAUGAAAGAAAAGGAGCUGGAUCACAAAAUAAUACAAUUAAAAUGAAAGGGGGGAAAUGAGGGACUAUUAAAGAAAACAACACUGAGAGAUGAAAAGAAAAUUUGGAGUAUAUGGAUGGAGAAACAUGAAAGAUAGAUCUUUGUCUAUUUCAGAUGAUCAAAGGAGUAGUUCCUCUCCCUAUGUUACUUUCUGGCAUCAUGUGUAAUGGUAAUAUUUGAAUUAGCAUUAAUUUGAGUGAAUUAGCCAAUGCAAAAUAAUCAUGUAUUUUUCUACUCCAUGAGGGGCAGAGAGCCUGCCUUUAGCAAUUGCCGUGAAAGUAGCAAAUAUCCUAGCCAAGGUUUGGAUGUCAAAGUAUGUGUGUGGUCUUAUGCUCCUCCCCUCCCCCAAUUCUCUGGGACUGAAUGAAGGUGAGUUGCUAAGAGAGAAGAACUUCCCCAUGUUUAGCCUGUGCUCAGUUGCUGCUAACGAAACAAAUGUUCCUCAAAUCCCCACCUGUUUUUCCAAGAGCUGCUUCACUUGUUCACUUUAUCACUUGAGUGGGUUAUAAAAUGUAACCACAAUAAACAAGCAUAAGGUAUGAUGCAAUUUCAUCUUGAGGUAUAUCUAGCAGAAGACCUUUGAUUCUUGCUUUGAAUCUUGACCCCCUGAUAUAUCAUGUUGCCUCCCCAACAUGAAACAGCACCUGAACCCUUGACACAUUCACAUUCCAUAGCUGGUCAUAGAAACUACUAGACAGGGGGGGGAAAGAACCUCUGUGGAACUCUGCAUGGCAAGCUCUCUGCAGGGAUGUGCACAGGAGGGGAUAUGCCUGUCCUGUGGCCACUGGAUGUUCCAGGCUGGCCUUCAGGGUCUGUUAGGCAGUGGCAUGGGGCAAGCACUUGUUGGUGCAUCCCCCCCCUUACAGACCUGCUCCCUACCUGGGAUCAGGUUGUUAACUGCUGGUGUUUAGACAUCACCUUAAACCAUGUUUAGUUCUCCAGUCUUUUGCUGGCUAGCUGUACAUUUGAGCACUGAUCAUUUUACUGCCUGCUGCUGUGUUUUGAGGGUUGUCAUUUUAACCAGGGCUUUCUGCCCCCCCCCCCAGCUGGAACUCAGCUCUGGCACCUCUCAAGUGGGCACCGUUGCCAUUCUAAGAGAAAGAGGGAGGUGUUCAUUGAGAGUUCCAGCACCUCUUUUUUAAAAAAAAGAAAAAUAGAAAAAUAGCACUGUCUUUAACUGCUGUUGUAUGGUAUUUGCAUUGUGUUUUAAGACUGUUGUUAGCUGCCCUGGGCUAUGGCAGGAGGAAGGAUGGGAUAUAAGGGCAAUAAAUCAAUCACAGAUGAAAACCACUGAACACAUAGGCUGAUAUGCAAAUGCAACGUCCAGUGCAUGACGUUAGGCAGGAACAGGGCAGGGUUCUUUGCUCUCUCCACCAUCCGCCUAACAUCUGCUUUGUGCUUGAGUUUUAUGGAAAAGGGUUAAUAUUCUAUACUAUUGUUCAGUGGCUAAUAAAUCAACAGCUAGGGUGUUGAUUCUGCCUCCCCUUUGCUGCCUUCUGCUGAGCCACGAAAAAUAACAUUGUGGAACAAUGACCCAGUUGCCAAGGGAAGUAAAAUCUGGCUGUAAAAUACCUGCACAUUAGCUUGAUUUUAUCUAACUGCAAGGAUCAGGAAGCCAUGAGCACUGUCACUGCUCCACAACCGGGUUAGAAUACACUCCCAUUUUACACAAAGCACAAGACCCUGAAGGUUUUAACUCUAUUAGCAAAUUUCAAAGUCAAAUGGCAGGGCUUCAGAGGUUUCCAGAACUAAAUUCACUCAUCUUUAAUUAGCAUGCCGUGAGCCAAAUAGAGAUGUCUCAUAUAAGGAGAUAUUGAAGUAAAUGCAGGUGCUCUAUAAUGAAAAUGCAUUUCUUUGAUCCUUGGCUAUGGUGUGUGAGUAAGCACCACUUUCCCCCUAGACUUAAAUAUCCAUCAGGCAGAAUAGGCAGGAGGACACAUUAUCUCAUAUAUAUAUAUAUAUAUGCAACCUGCAUUGAUUAAGCCUACCAGUAUCGUGGUCUUCCAUGUAACAAUCCUAAUCCAUUAUCCAAGACAGAAUUUCCUCACAAUCAUUUACUUAUGGGGAUGGUGAGAGGUCUGUGUAAAAAUGAAGUUGUGUUGCUCUUAUUAAUUCAGCUGAUUAGCACUGAAUUAUAAUUAACCUCAUAUUUUAGUAUGAAUAUAAUGCAGCUUCAGAGCUUGGGGAGAAUGACGUUUGAUUAUUUCUUAUCUCAACAAUGCCACCAUGCAAAACUGUGUUAAGUAUUAAAUACAAAUUUUAAAAAUAGGUCUGGACAGUCCAGAUCUAGCCGUGCAUAAUUAGCCAAGCACAACAAUUGGUUAGAUCCCAGAUGGCGGGGUGAAUCCUCACCUGCAACAAAUGAUACAACCAGACCAUUCUGCAGGGCCAAGAACAUCACAGUGUAGGUACAGAUACCAAUUUCAAUGUGCAUCUCUAUAACAGUUGUUUAAAAGGUGAGGUGUUCCAUUUCUGUGAUUCAGAAUAUCCAGAAUUCUGGGCCAUGACAUUUCCCAAGGGCCACCAUGACCUGUGCAGCGUAUCAGUAUCAGAUGCCAGACAAAGAGGAAGGGGGAAGAGGAAUUCCCUUAUUGUUGCUGCUGGAUAAUGGCCAUUGCCAAGUCUGAUGCAUCCAGUAAAUGUAGUUGGAGGACAGAUAAAGUGACAAUCCUACUUUGGCUCAGAAUUUAAUCUGAGCAUAUGAAUUUAGGAGCCUCAUAAUGCUCACCUCUUUUUUGAGGAAGGCAUUGUGAAACUCUGGUGGUCAUAUACAGAGGAGAUUCACAUUAUCUCUAGACACGUAGCAGUGACUUUGACGCAUCACCUCUUCCAAGGGCAGGUAAGUCCACUGGCAUUUCUAUGUUAUGAAUGAUGGAAUUAUCUGAUCACACCAACAUAUAGAAGCAUUAUCCCACUGCAGGGUUUGAGGGGGUUUUGCCUGGAGAUGCCAUGGGUUGAUCAAGGGCCAAUGUGGCAUUGUGGCUAGAGGGCUGGUCUAUGACCUGGGAGAUUAGGGUUCGAAUCCUCACCUUGCCGCAAAGCUUACUAGGUGACCUUGGGCUAGUCACCAUCUCUAACUUACCUCACAGGGUUGAUAAUAAUAAUAAUAAUUUAUUAUUUAUACCCCGCCCAUCUGGCUGGGCUUCCCCGGCCACUCUGGGCGGCUUCCAAAAGAAUAUUAAAAUACUAUAAUACAUCAAACAUUAAAAGCUUCCCGAAACAGGGCUGCCUUCAGAUGUCUUCUAAAAGCCUGGUAGUUGUUGUUCUCUUUGACAUCUGGUGGGAGGGUGUUCUACAGGGAAGGCGCCACUACCGAGAAGGCCCUCUGCCUGGUUCCCUGUAACUUGGCUUCUCGCAGUGAGGGAACCGCCAGAAGGCCCUCGGUGCUGGACCUCAGUGUCCGGGUAGAACGAUGGGGGUGGAGACGCUCCUUCAGAUAUACUGGACCAUAUAUGUGGAUAAAUGGGAAAGGAAGUGAACCUGGUGACCACCUUGAGCUCCUUGGUGGAAAUGUAGUAAAUAAAUAAAUGAAAUAAGCUGGAACCUCCUACAUACAAAAUGUGCUCUGAGCUAUGUCCCUAGGAAGGAGGCAAAACACCAGGGCAGUAAAUCUUGCUGAGACACAGUGGGCAACCUCUUUUGUGGAAAAUAAAAAAUACAUUUCUUGUAACAUACAUAGUAGUUCUCUUGCAGCACAUGAAUUUGCUCCAGUAAACUGUCUAGAAGUGUCAUUCUGAGCCUAUUUGACCUUAAAACAAACAAUUGCUUGGAUAAUGUGGGAAUAUGAGAAAACAACCAUAAACCACUGGUUUGCGGUAUUAUAUGCUGUGCUUUUUUUCAGCUGUUUGCUCAUCUUUCCCUUUCAGCAAACCUUACAUAUUAGAUUACUGAUCUUUAAUGUAAUGUCUCCUUGGUAGGAUAACAUACUGAAGCUACUGCAUUUCCUUAAAAGGUGCUUAGGCACCGAUUUCCCAUAGCCUGCAAUCAGGGCUUUGAAACUGUAACAUUUGUGACAGAAUAAACUCCAUUAACUUGUUUUAUUAGUACUGUGUGCAGCGAGGAGGAUCAGUUCUGUUGAACAUGAUGAAAUGACUAACGGGUUCCAUCAGAGUAUGACAGAGUGUUUUCAUCUCACAGAGAAUAUAUAAUUACUGUUCACAUAAGCAGGUACAAAUUCUUUAAAAAAAGAAGAAGAAGAAAGAAAUCCUCCCUCCUUAGGCAGCACAGAAAUCUUAAGCUUUUUUAUUCAUGGGAGAAGUAAAAUAAAAUAAAGUGUGCUCCCCACUCCUGCGUGCCCAAGUGCACACACACACACACACACACACACACACACACAUUUCUGUCUUGUUUUUCUCUCCUGUCUGUUCUGGCUUUCAUCCGCAUAACAGAAAAUGAGCCAGUAACUGAAGCGGGAUUCUAUAGUGACCAGGCACCCUGACAAGCACAAAGGAGCUUCAUUCGACUCAUAAGGGCCCAUCACAUUGUUUUAAGAGCAAUACCCAGAACGGAGCAUUAAAGAAGGCCUUUUGAGUAGGCUAAAUGUCAAUGAAACAUGCCCAGAACAAUAUAUAUAUAUAUAUAUAUAUAUAUAUAUAUAUAUAUAUAUGUAUGUAUUAUUAAUGCUGCACUGACUCUCUAUGCUCACUUCAAACCUGACGCAUCUGAGCCAAUGCCGGGCAGGGUGAAUGCUCAUCUCACGGAGUUGCAUCGCAUUGUUUCCCAGCUCUGCUGCGCCCUCUGCCUCGCCCUCUGCUGCUGCUGCUGCUUGCCACCACGUCUCUUCUUCUUGGCCGGCAGUCUUUUGCCCUCAUGGCCACUGAAUCUGAUUGGUGGGGUGACCCAAAUGAUUUUGUUUAUGCCUGUGACAUCACAUCAGGCAGAGCAUGGUAGCAUCAUCUCAGGGUUGGCCCAAGACAUUUUUGCACCUGAGGCAAACCACAAAAUGGUGCCCCUCCUCCCCACCAGGAACAAAGGGGUGAAUGAAGAUCUACAUCAGGAACAAAGGUUGACAUUGGGAUCUGCUACAGACCCUUUAAGUGUCCCUAUUUUCCAGGGACAGUCGUGGAUUUACAGAAGCCAUCCUGUUUCUGAUUUGAUCCGGGACUGUCCCGCUUCUCCUUAUUUUCAUUGAAGAAGUGUCGGAGGGUGUGCUGCUGCCUCUGCAGAUCCUGCCGCUUGAGGCGGUUGCCUCACCUUCCUUGUGGGUGAGCCGGCUUUGCAUCAUCUGAUUAAGCAAAGCGUGUUCUCAUUAAAGGAGAGCGCGUGUUGCGGAUGGGGCCGAGCAAAGCAUCCCAUGGUUGCCAGGCAGGAUAGAUUGAAGGGGCCUGGCUUGGAUUGGUGGUUGGUGUUGCUGGGGUAAAUUUGAUGUUGCCAAUUUAGGGGUGGGAACAGAGGUUAUUUAAACAAGGCUCACAGCAUGUUCCUUUCUCUUUCGCUGUGGGCACCGGAUCACCCACCCGCCCGCCCUCCCUUGAUUGGGCUUGUGCUUUGACCUUGCUAUGCCUGUCAUGGGGUCAUCCGCAUUGGUGCGGGAGCCUGGUAGGAAUUUUUCCUUUUGGCUGAUUAGUGUGUGCCAAUUGGUUUUUGCCUACUGCGUAGCAAAUCGUCACAACUUGUAAGGUUGGCAGUUAGGCAUUGGUUUAAAUUGGUUGGUGGAGGGGUAUGGAUUGGCUGUGCCUGCCCCUCCAAUGCUGCUGCUGCACGGGAAUUCCGUUAAAGGAAUUCAGGGGCUUACCAUCCUCUCGUCCAAACCCCUGGAAUCGGGUUUGGGCCGCGUAAGCUCCUGGGAGCAUGCGGGGAGAAGCUGAGGGUCUGUGUCGCAGCUCCAGUUAUCCCUGAUCUUGUUCCUCCACACUGGCUCUCGCUGGAAUCCGGGAGUCAGUGCUGUCCCCAAGGCGGGGGGGGGGGCAGAUAGUCAUAACCAAUGCCUAAGCAACCACUCACAAUUUGUAUUUUAAUAAAGUUGUGGCCAAAAUUAUGCCAAAAAUCUUAAACAAAAAAUUAUGUGCGAUGUGUGAGUUAUUGGGGUAGGGGUGUUUUGGGGACCUCAGCACGCAACAAUGAGGCUGAGGACAGUGAGAAGACGGCAAAACCUGAGAUGCAGAAGAGCAUUAACACAAUCUGGAUGUGUCUGCAGAGAAUGCUGAACAUAAUUGAAGACUGGGUUCUCCCUUUUCUUUUCAACAUGCCAGAAAAAGAGCGUGGUAUGUAGAUUCCAUUUUAUAUGUUCUAAUAGGGCUGUGUUGGGAAUUUCUGGAAGGCAUCGGUUUGUCCUGGAUCUCAAGUAAACUGAGAAAUCGCGUCUUUUGGGCAUUUUCCUAAAUAAAGCUCAACAACUUUGGGGGUUUUACUUCUUGAAAUAUGGAAACCCUAAAUAAAUAAGCAAAUGGUUGAAAGUUAUUCCAGCAUUAGAAAACCAAGCCUGACUGUAUUUUUCCAAAGCAGGUAUCUCAUACUGCGGAUGGCACAGCUGCAAACAUUUAUCUGAAGAGGAGAGAGAGAUUCUCUUUCUUCUGCAACAACUCCGACAACAUUAGCCACUUGAGAAACAUAAAUGGAUUUCUCUUUUCCCCUCUACCUCCAUUUCUGCCACCUUUUUUCUUCCCUCAUUGAAGAUGAAACCCAGCCUCCAAGCCAGCAGCAGCUACACAAAACUUCCCAUAUAAAUGUAGCAGAAUACAUGUUAGUCUGGAAUACACACACACACACACACACACACACACACUCCAAACAAUCACAAAGGGAAAUGAUUGGGAAAAAAGAUUCCGUUCAGAUAUUGAAAGGUGACAAACGGGGGGGGGGGGGUCCUAGCCCAUUCUUUUUUUCUUUGUGAGAAUGUGUUUUUGAGCUGCACCUCCGUAUAACUAAAAAUGACUUUUAAAAAUAGCACUGAUUUAUAGAUUUAUAGAUUCACAUAUCAACUGGAGAAAGGUUCAUUUUAUGUUACAGCUCUGUCUGUUGCUCCUCGUAUAGUUAAGGGGCUUGUCAGCACUGCAAUUAGAGAACCUCCCGACAUUCUGAGGACUGUAAUUUGGACAUAAAAAUUUCAAUGCAGAAUGAACUUUGAAAUAAGAUUUCAUUUGGGAGGGUUCUUUUUUAAUACUGUCAGAAAAAAAUACUUCACUUUUAAAUGGAUAUGGCUGUAAAACAGGACCAGAGACUGCAGUAGGUCUGGACUGCACUGUGGUACUAUUCUAGAGAGGAAAUUAAUUUGCUCUCCACAAUUAUCCUGAAAAUUCCCCUAUGUAUAUUAUCUCCAGCUAUCUUCUUCAUGCAUACACACACACACAUAUGCCAAAUAUUUACCAGAGAAGUGAAAAGAAGUGGCUGUGCUGGCUUCUGGGUUCUGGCACAAUCUCACAAGAGCCCCAUGAAAUCCUGAGGAGCAAACCUUUGCCCCCAAUAAAUAUUUGAGUGGGCCAGGGGCCCCCAAAGCUGAUGGGCAUUGUCUUUUGUUUAAUAUAAUUUUUUAUUAAUUUUUCAAUAUAUCAUUUUCAACAGUAAUUAAACAUACUUUCAUUUCUUACACCAUUUUUUUUACUUCCAUCAAUCACAUCUGAAAAUUUUCCAAUCUAUUCACUUAAUAUACAUUUCUUACUUCCACUAUUACAUUUAACUCUCAAAACUACUAUCACUAUUCUUUCUCUACUUGGCAAUAUUUCAUAUAUUUCUCCUUCAAAACUUCUUGUAGUCUUACUAGCGUAAUUUGUUGAUUACAGUUGCUCUUCAAAUAGUUCAUCUAUUUCUUCCAAUCUUCUGUAAAUCUCUGGUCCCGUAGGUUUCAAAUCCUUCCUGUCAUUUUAUCUAAUUCUGCGUAGUCCAUUAAUUUUGUCUGCCAUUCUUCUUUUGUCGGAAUUUCUUCUUGCUUCCAUUUCUGGGCCAACAAUACUCUUGCCGCUGUUGUAGCUGAUGGCCAUUGUCAUCCAGAUGACAUGCAUGGCCCUGUCAUGGGAUCAGUUAUGCAGGGUGGGCCCUACCUCCCCCCCUCCAAUAUUUUAUUCAGGUUGGCACCCCCGACUCAGAGAAGUUUCCCAUCAUCACUACCAGAUCUUUAUAAUCCUUGGUUUUGCUCACUGCAGCCCUUGACGCAUGGCUGGUGCAAUGCAUUUUGGCAUUUGAGACAAACCACAAAAUGGUGUCUCCCCACUGGCUAGGGAACAAGGGUGGGGGAGUGAAGAUCUACAUAGGGGGGAAGGUGUGUGAGAGGGAAUUAAAUCAACCUUUCCCAAUGGGUGAAGUAGGUGUGGGGGGGGGGGUUUGCUCUGAAUUGUGCUGGAGCUGGCACUCAGGGGACCCCAGAGGGCAGCGGCCACCAUUUUCUCCCUAUGGGCAGGAGGAGCCCACCAAUGCCCCAAAUUCUCUAUGAGUCCUCUGUAAAUGUGGCAAAGGGGGGUGGGGUUGCCAAGGAGGCAGUAGAUCCAGCCUCCAAGGUGUGUGUUGCAGCUGUUCCUGUCACCACAGCAGAAGCGGUUGCUGCAUUUUGUGGAGGUCAGAUCUGCUGCCCCUGUAGAUCCUGCUGUCUGAGGCAGUUGCCUUACCUUGCCUCAUGGUUUGGCCUGCCCUGCCCCGACACCCAUCAGUGGAUUAGUGCUGCCACUGCAGAACCCAUUCCUGCCUCCUGUCCCUCUUCCUCCUUGACUGUUCCACAAGCCUUGCCAAUCACAGAUCCACCAGCUUCCCUUCUGAUGCAGCAAUCAACAGCAAAAUCCUUCUGCAGGGGUUGGACUUCCUCAUGCUCUGUCACUUGCUUCAAGCAAGUUCAGAAGGCAAGCCAAUGCACAGAAGCACCUCAGUAGGAGCAGCCCAAGCACCCCUCUCUGCCAUCUUUGUUUCCUCAUUGCAUAAGAGCUGGCAAUGUGAGAGAAAAUGGGCAUGUAUCCCCAUUCACAGUGACCUUUGACCCCACCGGGACUUGACUUUGGUCACCCUCUGCCAACUUUUGCCUUUCCCACUGAUAGAGCACCUGGCAAUUACCCCCUUGACACCAGAAAGAUUCUAUUCCCCCUUUUUUAACUGGAGAUGCCAGGGGUUAAAUUUGGGGCCUUUUUAAAGCAAAGCAAAAGCUCUCUGAUUAGAAGAAGAAGAGUUUGGAUUUGAUAUCCUGCUUUAUCACUACCCAAAGGAGUCACAAAGCGGCUAACAUUCUCCUUUCCCUUCCUCCCCCACAACAAACACUCUGUGAGGUGAGUGGGGCUGAGAGAUUUCAGAGAAGUGUGACUGGCCCAAGGUCACCCAGCAGCUGCAUGUGGAGAAGCUGGGAAGCGAACCCGGUUCACCAGAGUACAAGUUCACUGCUCUUAACCACAACAUCACACUGGCUCCCUUCCUACCAGGGAGGUGUGCGCUCCACAAUACAUUGGACCCAACUUUUUCACAACAGGGCAUGCAAGUUUUAUGAGGCGGAUAUAUAUACUACAUUUUGGAUGCAGAAGUGGGGUUUUUGGCACAUAAUAAGAAACACAAUUUUGUUAUUCCUCAGACUGAAUACCUGGCUUUUAAAAGCCUUUCCCCACAUCCCCACCCCACCCCUGACCUCAACACACUUAGAAACAUACACCUAUUUUGCUUCCCAACAUAAGCAAGCAAGGAAGUGCCAUGUUAUCAUGCACAUUCAAAGAUUUACAAAAUUAUACCCUGCUUUAGAACUAGAGUUCAUUAUUGUCUUGGAAAUGUAAUAUAUACUGUUAUGGACAGUUUUCUCAAGAGGAAAGAAAUAAAAACAGACUUUUUUCAAGUUAGAUUGGUCUGCUUCCACUGUUGAACAUUUUAAAUAAAAACUCUCUUUUGACUUAGUUACCUGAUUAGAUAUGGCCAACAGCUGUAGCCAGUCAUUCCUCCGAUUGUGUCAUGGUAAUGAGUGAACUGUAAGGCUCAUUCUUCUGUACUUCUGUGAACUGGAAGGGCAUCCAUAGACUCCUAAUGCUAUUCAGCAGUUGGAAAUCUCACCCAGACACAUUCUUAAAUAAAUAUUUAGCAUCAGUUGUGUUCUGUACCCUGCUCCAAAGUACAUGAAAGAGAACUCCAGUAGAGAGUAGACUACAAUAGCCUGCUGCGUUCUUGGCUUUUGGCAGCAUAUAAAAUGUUAGCGAAACGGUUAUGGAUGGAAGAAAUGAGAGUGGUUUGACUGUUAUAUGUGGUCCUAGAGCUUCAAACCUCCUGACGUUUAUGAACUACAUCUCCCAUCAUCCCUGGCCAUUGACUAUGCUUGCUGAGGCUGCUGGGAGUUGUAGUUCAGCAACAUCUGGAAAUCCAAAGAUUCCCCACACCAAGGGCGCCGACUUGGGCCCCAGGUUAUGGCUGCCCAGUGUGCACGUGAUGAGGCGUCAUGACGUGGGUGCGCCAUUUGGGGAGCUUCUGCUGCCUGAAGCAGCAGCUUCACCCGGUCUAAUAGCUGGGCCAGCUCUGCUAAGGACGCCGUUUUGGUUGUACCACCUCUGUUCCUGCAAGAAGACCAGCAAAUAAAUAUCAUUCUGGACCCAAAUGGAUGUUAAUGAAUUUACUCACUUCUUUGUUCUGGCAUUGCAAAUCAGAUCUCUUUCACUUACCUUUCCCCUCCACACCCCUGCCCUUUUAUGUCUAUUAAUUUGAUGUAUUUGCAAUGCCCGUGUAACAGCAUUAUUAGUACUGAAUUUGUGUUGCUGUGUUUCACUUUGAAUGCUAGUUUUUGGCUCAAAAGUGGGAUAAAAUAUAUCAAGUGGACAACAUCUUUUCCCAAGGGGCUUGUGAGGUGGGGUGGAAGCAAACUGUUGCAUUUACAAAACAAACAUUGAAAGCUGUAAUCUUAUGAACAUAUCUUUCUUAUGAGCAAGUAUUUCACAGUUCCGUUGGGGCUGUCUUCUAACUAAACAUGAAUAGGAUCAGGUUGCAAUUAUAUAUGAUUUUCCACAGUAACAUAUGUUGAAUUAUUCUGUGCAUCUCAGCUGUGAAGAUGUUGAUUUCACGUGCUUCUAGUACCAUUAUUAAAUUAAACAAAAAAAAAUUAAUGCAAUGGGAAACUAAAUAUAUGAGUUAAGCAAUAAAAGGAAUACUGACCUAUUGAAAAAUUGGUCUGAUCUUUAAAAAUAUUCCAGAAUAGCAAUGAUGAGACUAUUAACAACAGCAGAAUGAUGACAGAUAUUCAUUAGUGUUUGCAUAUGAAUGAGAAGGCACUUAAUUACAAAUUAUACUUGGCAAAUUAUUUAGUAGCUGUAAAUCAAACGCUAGAAAGAUGAAAGAUUUUGAGUGCAAGAUACUGAAAGAUUUUUUUUUAACACAGGCAGUCUAGAGCAAAUUGGAGGAGCUGAACAUUCUUUCAAAGCACAGUAUUUUAAAAAGCAAUUAUAAUUCAGAAAUCCUAGGGCACAAUCCACCAGGAAGGAAUAUGGUGCAAGCUUUAUUAAAAUGAAUGAACUCUUGUGUUAUUCCCCUUAUUUCACUGGGGAAAAACUUCCUGUUGGAUUGUGUCUCCACUAUUCAGUUUGUACAUAAUAGUUCUUAGACUGCAGUUCACCCAGUGAUAACAGACUGGAUAAUUCAUGUCUUAAAACCAUUGCUAAUUGUUAACCAAACUAAAAUAUCUAAAAUAACAAAAUAAAGUUGUGAGAAUAGUUACAAACAAAGAAAGAAAGAAAGAAAGAAAGAAAGCUGCAAUUCUAUGCACUUACUUCAGAGGAAAUUGUAUAUAAUUCAACAAAACUUAAUUCCAAGUAAAUUUUCCUGGACAUGUUCGCUUCCAACUGCAGAAUUGCAGGUAUGUCCAGGAAAUUCCAGACGUAUGGCAGCCCUGGCUCUUUCUGUUUUACUUUUUGUUGUGAUUUCUUUAUCCGCGAGAAAAUAAUUCCUAUGAGAGCAGUGUGAUGUAACGUGAUGGGCAGAGUUUAGACUAUGAAAGGGAAUCUUUGAGUCAGCCACUAUCUCUGCCUCUCCGAGUUGUUGAGAGCAUAAAAUGGGUUAGGGGAGACCUUAGCUCCUGAAAGAACACUGGAGUAAUAAUGCAAAGAAUUACAAUACAGUUCUCCAUUGCUUCCAAUGCGUCAUUGAACUUAGACUUGAUGACUGUCACUUGAGUUUCUGGUCAACAUUUUAUUAUAUUUAUUUAUAUAGGGAACCUCCCUUGGGAGAGCAUUCUGCAAAUGGGAAACCACGGCAGAAAAGGCGCUUCUCAUCCAAAGGUCCAAAAGCCUCCUCAGACAAUCUCUUGCAUCUGAUGUAUUUAAAGAUUAUUGGUUUUAUAAUUUUUUUAGCAAUGUGCUUCUCCAGUUCUAUUUUAGCAUCCCUUCAUGUUUCCCUGCAUUUAUUUUGCCAAAGUUUUGGUUCUUUCUGUUCUCAUCACUUGACAAGACUUUUACUUUGUAAAGUAAGCCUUCUUGCCUUUAAUAGGUUCUUUGAUUCUACUCAUUAAACACAUUGGCAGUCUUGACCUAGGUGGCAUGCUUCUUGAACUGCAGUUUACAUGCUAGCUAAGCUUCCAAUAUUGUGGUUUUAAACAACUCCCAAGUAUUCUCGAGAGAGCUGACCUAUUUGACUUUCCCUUUCCACUUCCUCUAAACAAUCUCUUCAUUUUUAGGAAGUUUCCUCACUGAAAGUCAAACGAGAUUGUUUUGGAUUUUCUUGGCAAUUGUCCAUUUAAUAUAAUGUGCUUCCACACUCCCAGUAUGGGGGUCUACACUUCCUUCAUUUGAGCAAUCAUAAAGAAUUUAAUCCUCUGUCCUGAGGAAUGUUUUGUUCUGAACUGGAUGCAUCUUAGCUCCUGUCAGACCUCCCCCCCCAAAAAAGAACAGUUUAAAAGCUGGUCUGCAAUCUUUUUAUUAUUUAAGUGCCAACAGUCUGGUUCCAGACCUAUUCAAGUAGAGCCCUGCCUGCUUAUCCCAACAUGUUAUCCAGCACUUAACUAAUCCAGACGCUUCUUCCAAACAUCACCAUCUCAUCCAUAAUCAGCAUUGCAUGGCUGUUCCAGUGUGUGUAAGAGCUAGCCUUGCAAAAAAAAAAAAAAAAAAGCUACCUGGAAGGUCCUGACUUUCCACUUCCUACCUAGCAACUUAGAUUUCACUUCAAGGACUGGACCACUACAUUUCCAUACAUAAUGGGUGCCAACAUGCACCCCAGACACUUUGUCCUGCCCAGCACUGUCUAGCAAGCUAUCUAGGCAACAUCCACAACCUUCAUAUCAGGCAGGCAAGUCAUAAUACAGACGGAACACUUGUCACAAACCCAGCUAGUAUAUUAACAUCACCCACUAUCACCAUCCAGCUUCCUCCUGGAAGAGUAUCCUCAGCACAGGAGAAUUCCUGCUCAUCCUUGAAGGUGUGGCAAUUCUUGGCAAUUGUGCAUUAACAUACACAUUUAAUUUAAUAGCAAUGGUCACAGUUCCCAAUUGCUCCUUCUAAGAGAUCACUCCCCCCCCUACCUUAGAGUGAUGCCCUCCUGCCCUGAGAGUCUCAUCCUCCAUGGGAGCAAGGGAGCUGCCACAUCCAUGGACGGCUUUCCCACAAAUCUUUUUCAGCUUCCCCAGGUCAGACAUAUUGGCCUCAAGGAAAUGAAUUUGUUCCCGGUGGGCAAGUAACUUAUUGCACAAGAGCACAUACCUAUGGCUUUUGUCUAGCUGGCAGAUAGCCAUAUAUGUGACAUUCUUUAUGAUAAACUGGAUAUCCCAAACUGCUUCUGGCUAUCUCCUUGCAUAUUUGUUUUGACAGUUUAUUGAGUAAGGGAUGUUACCUGAAAAACUUCACCAGUUUUCUAAACUUGUUUGGGCUCCCUCAAGAUUCCUCAGAAAGUUUUCACCUGCAGAGAAAUUCUCCAAAUGACUUUGAAUUUUGCUUUAGGCAAAGUGCUCAGAGUCAAUAAUAUGCUCGAGGAAGUCUAUUCAUACAGAUUCGAUGCUUAUAGUUUUGAAUUGGUAUUUUGAUAUUAUUCCUUAGAAUUGUUUAUGUGCACUUACAGAAAGGUCAGAUUCUGGUCUGAUAAUCAGCUCAUCCAUAUUGGCAAGCAUUCUUUUUUUAAAAAAGAGAGAGACAGAGAGACUACAAAAUUUUCAAAAGAGCAAAUUUACUAGCUGUGGUGGGUCAUCUAAUCAUAAUUAACCCACAUGUUGCACAGAUAUUUCUUUAUCUAGUUGAAUUUGUGCUUUGACAAAGCUCAGAGAACAACUGGGGGAGGGGGCACAGAGUCACUGCUUUGGUGGGAAUAAAUUCUUGUUCAGAAUAUCUGCCAUGAAGCAUAGCUGUAAACAUCAUGCACGAUCCAUAGUUCACUGCAACAAAUAGCUCCUUGGUGGGAAAGACAAAAUCUCAGCAAAGCAGAGAAAAGAUAAAGGACUGGCACAUUUCCUGGCUUUGCACAUCCUCAGAUAAAAUACCCUGACUACAAGGAACUUGCAGGCUGCAGAGCCUAAUAAAGCAAUUAGGCUUGCUUUCACAGAAAGAAAGAGCAGCACUCACCUUCAUUUUUUCUUCAAGAGACAAAGGCGCAGUUCAUUGUCAUUUUUUAUUAAAGCAGAUAAGGAUGGAACUCCAGGUUGGGACCCUUCUAGUCAAUGAGACCUCUAAAAACCACUCAGCUGCAGAGACAGCAUUCAAGAAGCCCCUUGAGGCAACAUGAACUCAAUAGCUUCAGAACCAAUGAACUGGUAGGAUCAUGAAGUGAUUUCUCUCCCUGCCCCUCCCAUUUCUUCCGGAUUGUUUUGUCCCAGAUGAUCAGGCCUGAAAAUGUUUGAUGCAAAGCCCAGACUGUUCUCACUGAAUCAGUUUGUGUGACUUUUCACCACAUGGAAAGGAAUCUUUUUCUUUGUGUUUGCAUGGAUUCUGAGGUACAGCAGGUGUGUGGACACAAUCAAUCCACAUUCUCAACCAUCACCAUGAAGAAAAGGCUUCCAGGGCUGACAGGUGUGUGAAUGAAUCUUUAUUUGCAUCAGCCAUCGGCCAUAGCAACAAAACAACAAUAGGAUAGACAAAGAAUAGAAAUAAAAAGUCAAUUGUAUAAAACACAUUAUAGGGUUUUGGAUCGAUAGUCAAAUAGUGGAAUAUUAUUCUCAUUGCCCCAGCUAAAAACCUUGCAUGCGGAUAUAAAUAAAGCAUAAAAUGGCCCCAAAAUAGGCUCAGCACAUUAAGUUAAAAAGGUAAUAAAAAAUUAAACAGGUCCGGGACUAGGGCACACUACCCUGUCAGAGUAGCCCUGAGUUUCAGCGCCUGCACUGUGAAGAUUGCCACCCCACGUGAAAUUUGGGGAUUUGCGUCCACAAGAAGUGCUUUCAAACAGUCUUCCUUAGAUGAAAUGGAGGACGGGAUCAAGAGGAGGAGCUUAGGUCUUAUUGGGUCAUAAAUAGGGCAGUAGAAAAAGAAAUGUAUGAAGUCCUCUACUUCAUUCAUUGUGCAUGGACAUAGACGCUGAGUAAUAGGGGUCUUAGAGUAGGUCCCCUGCAGGAAGGCCGUGGGUAUAGAAUGAAAGCGGGCCAUUGUAAACGCUCUUCUCAAAUUGGGCUCCGUCAGGUCUAUCAAGUAGUUGGCAAGUGAUCUUACCACUUUCACUUUAGGGAGCCACAUGGAGAGGCGAGCUGAGGUGGACUGUGCCCGGUCCAUGGCCUCAUCUCUUGUAAGAAUCCAGGCCCGGAUAUUAUGUUGGUCCCAAGAUGACAACGUGUCGAAAUCUGGGAGGGAGUAGCGUACAGUAAUAGUCUCCAUGGCCUUGGACCAUUUGUUGGAGUGAGAACAAGUUAAAAGGCUUGCCUGGCUAGUAGGGAACCUGGGGCAUUGAUUAAUUUGCAAUAAAAACUAAUAAUUCUAAUGUGGGCUCUCGCAACAAUGGAGGGAGGCCCAGUUCUGUUCUUAACUGUGCAGCAACCGAGCCCUUGGGGAGACCCAGUAUCUUUCGUGCAAUAGAGUUUUGUAUAAUCUCAAUCGGUUGUAGUGUUUUUAAAUUCCACCCCAGAUUUCAACCCCAUACAGUAACAUCGGGAGGACUUUGCUGAUAAAUGCUUUUCUGAUUGGUGGAACCAACUGGCCGCCUUUUGCAUAGAAGAAUUUCUCCAAGGCUUUGAUGGUUCUACGGGCAGCCAGGAUGGUCAUAUUUAGGUGAGCUGACCAGCUAAGCCCAUGCUGAAAAGUGAUUCCCAAAUACUUGAAUGCUGAGCAAUAUUCAAUAGAGUGGCCCUCAAAAUUCCAGAAUGACUUCCGAGUUUUCGUGCCAAAAGUAAGAAUUUUGGUUUUGGCGAAAUUGAUUUUGAGGGAAUUGGUAUCACAAUAUGUGAGCAUGUUGUUUAAGCCCUGCUUGGUUAAAGACAGUAUCACCAUGUCGUCCGCAUAGAGUAAUAUGGGGAUCUUAAGCUGUUGUAAAGAGGGGGCAGAUUGAUUUAGGGCCUGCAUAGUUGUAACGAUGUCGUUGACAGGUGUGUUGUCCUGUGCUGCUGGAGAGGAAAGCAGAGAAAAAGCUAUAACACUGGGUGAAGCCAGCACCUGGGGAGGGGAAAUAAAAGGAGGCAUUUCUGAGAGAGGGUUCAGAUAGUUGAGAGAUAGUUUGUGGGGGAGACUUAGAGAGUUGGUCUUGGUCUCUCUCUCUCUGUGACAUCCGCUCUGAGGGAAAGGAGUCUCCUGAGCUUAGACUGGAAGACAGAGUGUCUUGGGAGAGUAUUCAGACAGAAAUGAACUGGAGGGCUGAGUCUGAGCAGGAGAAUUAGAAGUUGUGAGGAUCCAGUCGGGAGGAGAGAGAUCUUCUAGGUAGAGAAGACUCCCAAGCCUGUUAAGAGGGGUAAGGUGAUUCCCUGGGUCUGUUGCACUGCCAGAAGUACCUCAGGAGUGUCAUUGACAGAAGGUUGGGAUCUGACAGAAAGUUCCACCUUGCUUAAGGACCAAAGUAUUAAGCUGUAACACCAAUGCAAAAACUAAGCUAAGGAGCUGAAGUGAAAUAACUGGAAAUAAGCUGAGCAUUGACCAUCUAGGCUAGAAACCUGUAACAUGUAACUGAAGCAUAAGAACUGAAUUAAGCAACAAAACUUUAAAAGAAGUUGCAUCUAGAAGCCUUGUGUAGAAGCCUAUAAAUAUAGUGUAAUAUUAAUAAGUUAACUGUUUCCUGAAAGAACAUUAUCUCAUGACACACCCUUUGUUUUAUUAACUUUGUUCUAUAAAAUAUCCACUCACCUGGGAUUCCAGGUGGGUGGCUGUUGCCGCAUGGCACAAACAUGGUAGUCCAUGGAGGCUACCACCUUUCAUCAGGCCCUCAGGUAAGGGUAGGCAGUGCCCGCUUGGGCCAAUUGGAGGCUGGGACUUGGGGGCUGCAAGCAGCCCACCCCAGCCUACUUAAGGGGGCAGCCAAGUGCAGGCUGCCCGCUUGGCCAAUUGUUGUGGGAUUUUCUACCCAUCCAGUCUUUGGGGCCCGCCCAGGGGGCGAAGCGGGCACAUUGCCUCUGGACCUUGCUAUGGUUAAUUCAGACGCCGUAUUGGGGGUCAGGGAGGAAUUUUCUCCUGCAAACAAAUUGGCUGGCUACCUCAUAGCAACCGUCACAAUUUCAGUGGAUAAGGCAUUGGGCUGGAUUCUUAGUCACAGGGGUACCCUGUUAGAGGGGGUGAGUCGUGUGGCAUCUGCGCAGUGGCAGCAGGAGGCUCCAUUAGCUAAAGUGGUACCUCAGGUUAAGAACAGUUUCAGGUUAAGAACGGACCUCCAGAACAAAUUGAGUUCUUAAUUGAGUUCUCCCAAUAGCGGCCUGUGUGGGGUCUUGGCAUCCAAUCCAUUUUUGAGUUGACUCCCCAGCACAGGUUUGACACCACCAGGUUCCUAUCAGGUAGCUAGCAGGCUGCCUGAUGCAGGAUACAUGCCCAAUGCCUUAGCCAAACCUACUCUAUCCUGUAAUCAAUAAAGUUGUGGCCCAGUUCAAUCCAACAGCAGUCUCCUGUGUCAUUCCUGUGGCCCACCCUUCACCUGCCGCAGCCAUUAUGCAACUGUGCUGGCCAUAAAUCCUUUUUAUUUUUUCAACUUCUGCCUGAGUCUCCAAGUAUCAAAGCUUUACCUCAUGGAAAAAGAAACAUUAGAUUAUGCAUGGGUGUUACAUAGGCUAACUGUAGGUAGGGGACCUGUAACCACUGGCUUACAGAGAGGUGGGAUCUGCUACAAAAUGGCAAGAUAACCCUUGGAGGUUAUAGUGUCCUAUGGAGGGGGUUCCACUUGACUGAGCAGUGGGGUCUCAGCAGCUGCUUGAAGAUAUCUGGUGCUGACUAUGGUGCACCACUGUCUGCAGCUCCCCAGUUAUAACUUGCACUUGGGGCUGGGUGGAGGGGUGCAUCCUGCAUAUGUCUCAUUGCCAGGACCUAGGCUUGUGAGUUAUGUGUUAGGAUAUUUCCGUUCCACCUUAAAAGGGGGCAGGCUUUGUGAGUCACAGAGUCUGCGUAUUUCCUGUGUCACAGGAUGUUUCUGUUGUGUCUUUGCUUUCGCUCUCUCUGUGUCUGUAGACACUGACGCUGGCAGUCAUGUUUUCUUUGUUCUGAUCAACGCUGAAUAAAACUUGUAAAUAAUGCUCUCCUGCGUGCAACUUUUGCUGUGCAUUAUCGGCUGACAGAGCGUGCAUGAGUUCUGGAAUGUGGCAGGCUAUUUCUGGAGCUCGUGUCGCUAAUUGCUGAUACUGUAUCUACGGGAGAUUGAUGGACCGUCCGGAUGCCGGCUUGUGGGGCCAUGAUGGACUUUGUCUCCCUGGCAGUAUCCCAACAACAGGUUAUGGGCCCAGAUUCACGGCACUUACAGGAGAGUAAGACUGUGACGGACUGUUGAGAGGUAUGUGGGCAGAAAUGAGGCUUUUAUGUUGCCGCGGCAAAGUCUCUUUGAUGUCCGGCUGGCCUAAUUGGUCUGGGAGCUGCGCCAGAGGCUUCGUGAUUUAUGGGUGCCAAGAUAAGGAGUCUCUGAAGUGAAUAGGGCUCAAUGCUCAAGUGAAGAGCUGGAAUGGAGUUUUUCCAAGCUUCUGAAACUGCUGAGUGCCCAAAGUUAAAUCGGCACAAUUAUGAGACAUGGGCAAAAUGGUGUGAAAGUUUGCUGCAUCAGUUUGGAGUGUGGCAUACUGUGUCUGAAGCCCCUCCAGUUCCUCUGACAGAUAAAUGGAGGGCCCAAAAUUCAAAGGCCAUAGACGUAUUAGUCUUGUCCGUCUCUCUGGAGGAGAUUAAAACGUUAGCUGGCAACACGACUGCACGUAAGAUGUGGAAUGCUUUGAAGAUAGCCCAUCUGCCAGUCAUCCCAGCCCAGAGUUUGACUGCAUCGGAGGUCCUGGCUGUUUCCCAGAAUGCGAGUGAAUGCAGGGAUGCCGGGGGCACCAGUUGCAAGCUGCAGGGGGAGCUGACUGUGAUGUCAUCCCAGGCAGCAUUCCAGCCUCAAGGGGGAGCCAAGGAGUCGAUAGCUGAGAGCUCUGUUUCUCGUGAGAACCAAGGUCAUCGCCUUUGCAGAGGCCGGAAGGCCAGAGGUAAACAGAGACAGAUGCCUGCAGAUGGCCAGAAGCAGAAGGGGGGUGGAAAGCCCAAGCCAGGGAAAAAUAAGGCUUUGUUUGCUGGCACAGCUUCACCAAAGGCUAAAGGCAAGUCUGAUGGCCAGGAGCAGGGGGGCAAGCAGCAAAAGCCCACCCGGUGGAAAACAAGGUUUUGCUUGCUGCAAAAGCUGCUCCAAAGGCCAAGGCCAGAUUUAUUACAGAUUCUGGAUGCACCCGCCAUGUGGCGAAAGACCGGCAUCUCUUUAUCUCCUUCAAACCUCAAAAUGGUGAGAUCCACCUAGCUGACGGAAAGACGUUGCGAAUCGCAGGAGAGGGGACUGUGAGACUGGCAAGUCUGCACACAACCAUCAAAGGAGUACUUUAUGUUCCAGGUGCUGCAGACAAUUUGCUCAGUGUCCCACAGCUGACUGGGCAUGGUUUUGAGAUUUCCUUCAAGAGGAGCGUCUGUGUCAUCAGGAAAGGCAAAUAGGACAUUUUGCAUGCAAAGUUUAUAGAUGGUUUGUUCUGUAUAACUUAUGAUGACAAUGGUGCUGUUGUGUCUAAUGUUGAUUCUUGUUGUGUUGCACAAACUAACAAAAUUCUUCAUGCAGGAUGCAUUCAUGAUGCACAUCGAAGAUUUUGUCACCUGUCUUGGCAGGUGCUGGCCAAGAUGCCAGGAUUGGUUCAGGGUUUGAACAUCAAACCCUGUAAGUUUCACAUGAAAUGUGUAUCUUGUGCAGAGAACAAGGUGAAGGUUGCUCCAAAAGGCAAGGAGUCUAGCAGGCAGGCUUCCAAACCCUACCAGCUAGUGCACGCAGACCUGGUAGGUCCACUUGCGCCCUCUUUGGGUGGAGCAAGGUACUUCAUGGUUCUAAUUGAUUCUUUUUCCAGGUACAUUCAUGUGUUUAUGCUCGAGCAGAAAUCGCAAGCGUUUCCUAAGUUCAAGGCAUUCUGUGCUUGGUUGGAGAAUGUUCACAGUAAACGUAUCGGCUGUCUCUUUACUGAUCGGGGCGGGGAGUUCACUUCUCAGCGGUUUGAAGCUUUCCUGAGAAGGGAAUCCAGCAUGACUUGUCAACGCCUAGAUCGCCAUGGAUGAAUGGACUUGUGGAGCGAGCAAAUCAAACGUUGCUUCAAGACCUAAAACCCUUGUUGCAUGAUGCCAAUCUCCAUGAUAAGUAUUGGGGGGAGGCUUUGUCGACUUUUGUUUACACUUAUAAUCGCAGACUGUCAUCACCUAUUGGUUGUACCCCCUAUGAGAAGAUGUUUGGUAAGCAACCUUGUGUCAAGCACAUGAGAAUCUUUGGUUCUGACAUGUGGGUACACACCCCACAGAGCAACAAGCUUGGGAAGCGUGGGGCACAUGGUUUGUUCAUGGGGUACGAAAAAGGAGCAUACAGGGUAUGGAUGACUGACUCUAAGUCCAUUAAGUUCACAAAGAGUGUUGACUACAAUCCUAAGUGGGGAGAAAAUGUGGGAAUUUUCCAGAGGUACCCAGAGGAAGAUGAAGGUGAUGUGAAAAAAGCAGAUGAUGCUAAGGAAGCUGAGGAAGCUGAGGAUGAUGAUGAUGAUGAUCAGAGUUCAGAUUCCAGUUCAGUGGGUGGCGCUGCUGCUGAUGUCAGCGACAGUGAUGACACAGCAGACUACAAGAGCGCAAAGGCCUCAGUCAGACCAUCUGAUGCGUCUGACAAUGAACUGGAAGAACCACUGUUCACCAUUGGUCACUUUUCUCCUAAGAAGGAGGAGAUGAGUCCAGAAGACUUGCGUCUAGUACGCAGAUCUGAAAGGGCGACGAAGGGCAAACCUCCAAAGAGAUUUGCUGAUGAGUUUGCUAAGACAGCAACUGCUGUUCUUAGUAGCUCAGAGAAGGUAUGGGAACCUUCAAGCUUCAAAGAGAUUCAGGAGUUAACCUCUAAAGAUGCUGAGCCUUGGCUUAAUGCCAUGAAGGCAGAAGUUGAUUCCUUGAACAGGAACCAAACUUGGGAACUGGUACCGGUAGUCCCAGGAAUGAGACUGGUUGGCAGCAAAUGGGUCUUCAAGGCCAAGACAGACCAGAAUGGCAAGGUUGUCAGACACAAAGCCAGAUUGGUUGCCGGAGGUUUUUCACAGGUACCAGGACAGGAUUACCACGAGACCUACUCUCCCACAGUCAAGUAUGAGAGCAUUCGGCUGAUGCUCAAGAUUGCUGCGGAGGAGAAACUGCAUGUUUCCCAUCAUGACAUUAAUACAGCUUUUUGUACGGGAGUUUGGAGGAGGAGCUGUAUAUGCUUCCACCUGAUGGAAUGCAGAUACAGAAGGGAAUGGUCUGUAAACUGCGGAAAUCCUUAUAUGGUCUCAAGCAGAGUGCCAGGUGUUGGAACAAAAAACUCACAGAGACAUUGCUUUCUAGGUUUUCACCAGGGCAAGGCUGAUCCAUGUGUGUUUGUCAAGGAGGAGGGGCAAAACAAACUGUAUUGUUUAUGUUUUGUUGAUGAUCUUCUGAUGUUUUGGAAGAAUCAGGCUUUGUACCAAAGCACCCUCGCUCAACUGAAGGAGCACUUUGACAUGAAGGAUCUUGGUGAGGUAUCCAACUAUCUUUCUCUGCAGGUGGAGAGGGACCAAGCAGGUAAUUUUCUGGUACACCAAACACAGAAAAUUGCUGAUGUAUUAACCAGGUUGAAUUUGGUUGAUGCAAACCCAGCAGACACACCGAUGGUGACAGGUUACCAGUAGAUAGUACUGCUGAAGCGUUUUCUGACACUACGCUGUACAGAUGCAUUCUAGGCAAGUUGAAUUUCAUUGCUAGAUGCUCAAGACCUGACAUAGCUGUAAGCUGUAACCUGCUUAGCAGACAUGCCAACAAUCCUACUGUUCAGGAUUGGAAAGCUCUGAAGCGCAUAGCCCGCUAUUUGAAAGGGACUUUGCACUACAGGCUGAGGUUCACCAGUCAGAAGACUGGAGGUCUUGAAAUCUUUGCAGAUGCAAGUUUUGGAAGUGACACCACGGAUGGUACAAGCACUUCUGGAGUAUGCUACAUGUACAACCACUGUCUGUUUGACUGGCUGUGCAAGAAGCAGACGACAGUGAGCCUAAGUUCCUGUGAAGCAGAACUCAAUGCUCUGUCAUUUUCACUCAUGGAUUGUGAAUGGUUGAUGCAACUGUUUAAGGACAUCAGAGUUUCUGUGAAAUGUCCUGUACAAGUGUAUCAAGACAAUAGAUCUUGUUUGGCUUUGCUGAACUCAGAGAGUUGCUAGCAAAGAACCAAGUACUUGCAGAUUAAGCUACAUCGUGCAAGAGAGUGUAUUCAGAAAGGACUCCUUCAGGUGUCCUACAUGCCAGGAAAUGAAAUUCCUGCUGAUCUGUUGUCUAAGGUUGUUAACAGAGAACAACUUAAGGUUUAUGUACAGAGGUUGCAAUUGGGUUGAACCACAGGUUACACGGAAAGGGGGAGGAUGUUAGGAUAUUUCCGUUCCACCUUAAAAGGGAGCAGGCUUUUGUGAGUCACACAGCCUGCGUAUUUCCUGUGUCACAGGAUGUUUCUGUUGUGUCUUUGUUUUCGCUCUCUCUGUGUCUGUAGACACUGAAGCUGGCAGUCAUGUUUUCUUUGUUCUGAUCAACGCUGAAUAAAACUUGUAAAUAAUGCUCUCCUGCGUGCAACUUUUGCUGUGCAUUAUCUGCUGACAGAGCAUACAUGAGUUCUGGAAUGUGGCAGGCUAUUUCUGCAGCUUGUGUCGCUAAUUGCUGAUACUGUAUCUACGGGAGAUUGAUGGACCGUCCGGAGGCCGGCUUGUGGGGCCAUGAUGGGCUUUGUCUCCCUGGCAGUAUCCCAACAUUAUGGACUGUCAUCCUGGGCAGGAGAGGGAUAGGUGGACUGAUAGUUUAGAGGCAUGCUCACAGCAAGCAAUGGCUGGUGUUCUGUGGUGUACACACACUUUCGAGGGAGAGACAGACAGUGUAGGAAGGUGAGGAUGAGCAUUGUGAGGGUCCAAAGAAGGAUGAGGGGAAAUGUGUCAAGGAGAACCACACUGAAAUAUGUCACUGUUCACAACAAUUGCCAAACAUAGCCAAGAAAAGGUGUUUUCCUCUGCUCACAAAAAACAACAACAACACACACACACGAGAUAAAGUUGUAUUGGCUGAGCCCGACUUUCUGAAACUACCAACUGAAUGGAAUCUGUAAUUGAGAGUUCACUGUAGUCAAAUGGCAUUUGCAGGAGGGGACUUAUUUAUUUAUUUUCAAGAGAUCAAUCUUGGGUUGCUGUUUUUAAAUAGCUGCACCAUUUUUCAGGUGUCACAGCUCAGAGUUGGCACUGAUUUUUUUCUAAAUCCACAUCACCACAUUAAAUGGCAUGUCCCUCUGUGGCCAGAAGUGACUUUUGAUCUAAAGAAGGUGCUCUUGCCAUAUUGCAAUCUUCCAGACUGUGGAUGCUGCACAAAUUGCACCACUGUUUUAAACAACAAGCACAAGAAUAAUAAUGAUUUAAACAGUUACCUUGAUCUGUAAUUGCAACAUUUAUUGUCAUUCUGCUAGAAUAAUGCUUAUCACUUUGAAACACCUGCUGUUACACACAGCGGUAAAUCUUUGGAAACUGACAUAGCCUAAGCUCUGGGUUAUUAAAGAACACACAAGCACAUGCACACACACCAGUGUACACAUUUCUUUACAGCAAUUCUAUUUGAUGUGGUGGACUGACAGCUGUACACCUCUCAGUGUGCUGGGGCCAGUACUAUAUUGGAUAUUGAAGCAUUCCACCCAACCUGGGCAGUGGUGGAAUUGCCACAGUCCAGCAGCCAAUGCCUCGUGAACUGGCACUCACUUGUGAACUGGACCUCUGCUUUGAGCAGCACUGCUUUACAGGGUAUUUCCACAUUAUUGGGGGUGCCGUGAUUUUCCUCUGGAUACAUCCCAUUUGGUUACAUCUGCACCGGUGGGUGUGGCAUAGUUGCUGUGGUCCAAUGGAAGGUUAAGUCAUGUUCACUAUAAUCUUUGUGGUAGGUGCUGUUAUGUACUGAAGUUAUCACCCUGGGCCAGCAGGGGGAUACUGUAGAUCGUUAUGUAAAUGAAGGAUCGAAAGUGACGUUCAGUGAUUGGAUAGUUUGUAUGCAAAUGAAGGAUCGAAAGUGACGUUCAGUGAUUGGAUAGUUUUUGAAAGUUGUUAUAGUAACAAGGUACUGGAGCUCUAUAUAAGCAGGCUGACUGAGCUCUUCAGCUCAGUUCAGUUCUGGCCUCAGAAUAAAGAAGAGCUGUGUCGUCUGAUAUGUUCGCCCACAACUUAACAGGUGCCAUUUUAUGAAUCCCAUUUUUUAUACUAUUGAACAUUUAACUGUAACUAAAACACUUUCUUAUUAGCGACGCAGGUGGCGCUGUGGUCUAAACCACUGAGCCUCUUGGGCCUGCCGAUCAUAAGACUUCCUUCGAUGCAAAAUACGGUAUGUGAUGGGGGGAGCCUUUACCCUUCAUGUUUGCUACAUAAAUGAUUUGGCAAACACCCCUUUGAAUGUUAACAAACUGAUAAAAGGCAAGAAGAGAUAAAAGAGAACAGGAUUAUAUUUAUGGAUUACAACGAAAAAUAGAACUGUGUGAGAAAAUUGAAAUGGAUUUAAAGCAUCAAACUUUCACUGUACUGCUAUGGAAGGACCUGGACUUUGGGCUUUGGGGAUCUGCCAAGGGUUUGGCAAGACACCAGAUCAUUAUUGAGAGAAUUGGCCAAGGAGGAGAAACUUGAGUCUUGUUAAAGCGUUAAAGCAGGACACCAGUUCACUCUCUAUCUAGACUCAAACAAUUACAACAACAAAAAGAUGGCGUGUCUCUGCCUCAUUUUCUGGGAACAAAGGAAAGGGAGGAGCGGAAGUAGCGAUGCUGUGCAGGACAGAUGGAGAACAGGAAGAAUGAAGAAACAACAUGGAUAAGAUAAACAUCACACACAGGAAAUACUUUGGAUAUAGAACUCCUCUUGCAGGAAGAAAAUAUUAAAUGUGUUAAUUCAAAUGGAAGUCAAAAACUCUAUAGCUGUCAAUAAAGGAUUAAGAUCAAGACUGAAUGUAAUUGGAUUAAUUAAGACUCAGAAGCAGGGUGAAAUAAAAUCAUCUCACCCUGAAAUCUAGCACGCGGAAGUCAUACAAAGUGUGUAAUUGGCUUUCUAAUUGAUAUAUAUUUGAAUUUGAAUUGUCAUUUCACAUUGAUAAAAUGUGGUUUAUAUUGGAUUUUAAUAAUUGGAAAUUAAUAAAAAAUAUUUAUAUAUAAAAAAGAUUCUAAUGAAUCUGAUUGGUAUUCACUGUUGUUGUUUUCAGUCUGCAAACAAUAUGUAAUUGAUUAUGGUUUUUUCUCCACUGGCAUUAUUUUUCCUUCGCAUUGAAAUAGUGUGGAAUAGUAAAAUAAUAAAAUAAUUAAUAAGGUGGUUUGUCAGAAACCAAACUGCAGCAGAACAGAAACAGCGCUGUAUAUAACAAAAACAGUUUGAGAUGGAAAUCGAUGCCUUCUUACAUCCCUGUGUGAGGGUAUAUCACAUCUCUCUCCCAAACAAACUGCAAAUUAUAGCACUACCACCACCACCCCAUUUGCAAUAUCUCUCUGCUCCCUCUUUGUGAUUGUUCCCUGAAUGUGGCUGUUUCCAAACCCAGCCUUGCCUUGCCUUGACAAGUAAUCUCCUCACUUCCACACACAGACAGCAAGGAAGGAAGGAAGGAAGAAAUUACAGUGGAGAAAAGAAAUUCGGUUUCUCCUAAGACCUUUCCAGACCUUUGAUCAUCCUGGUUGCCCUCCUCUGCACAUGUUCCAGCUUGUCUACAUGCUUCUUAAAUUGUGGUGCUCAGAAUUGGACACAGGAUUCCAGGUGUGAUCUGACUAAGGCAGAAUAGAGUGGUAGUAUUACUUCCCUUGAUUUGGAUGUUAUACUUCUGUUGAUGCAGCCUAUAGGGAGAUGCUUUAUAUUACAGGUCCUAGCAUCGGCCCAUCUAGCUUAGGGCUCUGACUAUUGUCUCUUCAGGGCUUUAGGCAAGAGCCUGGGACAUUCUACUUACAAAAUAGAUACUCUACGACUGAGCUGCAAAAGUUGUGUUCUUUCCAGUGGGAUGGCUUCUGCUUCUUAAAAGCCAUUUUUCUUUAGCCAUGAACUGAUAUGUCUCAGUAACUGUCUUGACUUCCUGUUUCACUCGUAGAUUAUACAAUCUUAAAGUGAGAGAACUCCAGCAGACUGCAUCUGCAUUACUCUGGUUCCCAUGUUGACCCAGAUGUUAGAUCAAAUUGUUCUGUGUUUUCGUAAGACAUCCAGAAGCAUGGAUCAUCAUGAAAGGGAGGAAAUCCUGUUUAUAGCUUCUUCUGAUCUAAAAAUAGUGGACAUAUAAAUAUAUAUUCAAAGGAAAUGUUAUGCAAAAAUGUUUAAGCCAGUUUCUCCAGCACACUUGUCUCUCACACUAUUAAUGAUGCUCCUCCACAGUGUGGAGAUAGAAAUAAUCAGCAACACUUAUAUCCCUACACAUUGCCAUUUUUACAUAUUUUAGAAGGGAUGACAUCUUCAGCAUACAAAAAAUUGUAAAGGAACCUCUUCAGAGUUUUGCUGUCAUGUUAGGAAGAAGAAUUGAAGAUCUUCUGCACCAAGAUCAAACAUAGCCUAUGUUUUUAGAAAAGGACAGCUACUGAAAACUCAAAAGCAUUUCUUUGAUGUAAUUUAAUUGGAUAAAAGCAAUUGAAUUCAUGCAGUAAAUUCAUCAGACAUGAUUUUGUCUUUAGAGAUCUAAUGAAAUUUGGAUUUUGUACAUAACAUCCAUGAUUUAAUUUGAGAUGUUAUUCUGUAUAAGAGAAAAAUGCAAUUAACUGACGUAUACACCAACCAGACCCAGACCAUGUCUGCUUAAAUGUAUUGGUACUGAUUGCAAGUAGACUUGCCCUGUGAUUUUCUGCCUACAGCCAAGUCCUUAGGUGAUCUGCAUCUGGGAAGGUUAUUCCUUGCAGUAUCUGAGCUUAGAUUUGUUUCUUUGUAUCUAUUCAUCGGACAUAUAAGGAUUAACAAAAGGAACUGAUAUCCAUAUGAGAGUACUGUAAUAUAAGAACAUAAAUAAAAAUGACACAGACCAAAGUAUAUACAUAAUUUUUUUAAUACAGCCACUAUUUUAACAAGACACAGCAUCCUCCCUUUAAAAUAAUCUAUCAUUAAUUGCUGCCUAUAGAAAAAUGUGCAAAGUUUGCAGUUACAGAGAUAUAUUGUCCUCACAAAGCAGAUAGAGUGCAGUCUCAUGGACAGAUCUUUCCAUGUAACUCCCUAAAAAUUGUCCAAUUAAUCAUCAACCUCUGCACAUUAUGCAAUGAUAAUGCUUUCAAGGUUCAACCAAAUUUAAACUGUAAGGACAGAUAGAAUCACAAUAAGGUCUGUCAGUAACGUGAUCAUUCUGUAAGUGUUCUUGGUCCAGUCAUUUUCAAACUAAGGAAUCUUUGUGUAUCAGUCAUGGAACCUGUGGCAGUUUUAAGGGGGGGAGGCAUGCUUAAGGGGGCAUCACCUACUGCAAAUGGGAAUAAAUGAAUAUGUCAGUUUUGAUAUCUCUCAGUUAGUCAUUUUUCCUGUCCUGAAAUCCAUUUCCUCACUUCUGCACAAAUUAGCAAAUCCAUGUGCUUUGUUUGUUGCAUUAAUAUAUUUUUAUUGAAUAUUCAAUUAAAAACACUUUAAAAGGUUCAUGAAAAUGUGUAUGCAUUUUUGUGCAUAUGUCUUCUGAUAUGCACAAUUUCAUACGCAGUUUUGCAGUGCCCCCUAAUAUAAUGGUGGAUUUUAUAUCUUGCUUUCACUAGCACAUACAUUUUUGCACAAAGUUUUUGGUUGGAGAAUGGCGAUAAGAAAAUUUGGAGAUGUGUUCAGUCGUGGUCAGCAGGGUGGUGCAGCAAGGUCUUUGCAGCAAAAAUUACAUCCCAGCCCAUACUAAAUGCAAAAGUUGUGACAAAUGAAUAAAUCAUCCAAUUGUGAACAACAAAUCAGCCACACUAACUCUACGCCAUGCCCCAAGAACAAGAGCAGUUGGAAAUAGGAAAAGGUGCCCCACAAUCCAACCAAGGACACCCAAAAUAUCUCUACUCAGCCCCUGAAAAGGCGAGUAAUGGACUCCUACUUUUCAGAGGAUGUGUGGGCAGGAUGCUACAAAGGGCAAGAGGAAGCUUGUGGGGUGAUGUUGCCCUAUGGAAAGCCAAGCACCUGCACUCCUCCUCUGAUUGGCCUCAUAUGGCCGUAUUUUUGCUCCCUCCGACGAGGCUUUCUGCUAAAUGGAGGUGGGGCAAAUUUUCCCCUUUCAGAAGGAUGCUGGGGCAGCAUUUUCCCCAACCAAGGAUACUUCACUACAAAACAGUGCAAGAGUUAGGUGCCAUCAGAAGUGACCCCCCCCCCCAAAAAAGCAUCACAUAACAGAUAUUAAAGCUGCUAUAUUUCACAAAGACAAUUUGGUGGACAAGAGCUCAGAAGCAAAAGGGAUUCAGUGAAAUCAUCUAAGGCCUGAAGUCAAUGCCCAGAUUUGCACAAGGAAAAUUAUACAGACGUUAGGAAGCAGACUCUCCCUUUUCACUGCAAUGUUGCCUGGCUAGAAUGAGAUCUUCAGAGAGAUUUAUGCAGAACCAUAUCUGCAGGAAGAUGAAAAGAGAAUGCUGUCUUCAGAAUCAAAGCCAAGGGGUGGGGGCGAGAAAGAACGGAGAGAGGACAAAACCUCCAUCACUCAUACAACCACAAUAUUCCCGAAACCUGGAGGGAUUUCAGGCUCUUUUGGGGAGAUCAGUUAACAUUCUCAGGGAAAAGACCAAGACUUUUUAUAUCUUAUUGAAAUCAAGCCUUACUUUUUAUGCCUUAAAAAAACCUUUAAUAGCAGUAAAAUAUUCUCUUAGAAUUCCAUUUUAUUUUAUUUACCUUAAUGCUUGACUCCAAGAAUGCUGGGUUUUCACUGGAAACUACUAUGUAUUCAGUGAAAGUUGUCAUUUUGCUGCAAAGUAUUUUGAAGGCAAGAUAACUUUAAAAUCUCUGCAAGGCUUAUCAGCAUCCCUGAAAAAGGAACAUCCUUCAUGGGGUAAGACUUUGAUUUCUCCCUCGAAAAGAAGAAGAAAGGAAGGGUGCCCAGGUAAAAGGGAACCCCAGGCCAUACUUCAUAACAUACCAGUGUCAUUAUUACAGACAUCAACUUUUAUUUUGUUCUAUUUAUCUUUUGCUUUGCUUUUCUGUUUGUUUCUUGAACUAAAGCAGCAUCUGUGUCUACCUCUGGUAAACAUCAACAGCUGUCAGAAUUUCUUUGCAGCUAUUUUGCAGAAAGCUAUCUCGGUUCAGGAGUACACAAGAUAGUGCCACAGUUUUGUGGUAACUGUGAUAUUGAAGAUUUUCCUUGUUUUAAUCUCUACAGGUGAACUACAUCACUAGAACUGCCUUGUGGGAUCUCUAGACUCAUGGUGACAGUUUUAGUUCAUCUGGAAAAAGUGGCUUAUGAUGCAGUGUGUCUGUCAUGUGACCGUUCCCUUUUAACCGAGGGUAUGUUCACAUUUGCCUUUACUUCAGUCCCAUUGUGAUCCCACGGCAAGUACUCAUGACAUUAGCCACAACUCAUAAGUAACACGGACAUUUUGGGGUUUAAUGAUGUUUUGACUUUUUGGAAGGUGUAUGAAGAAACAUUGGGGCCUGACUGUUCCCUGAUGUGGCCUCAAAGAGUUAACAUUCCAAAGUGGUCUAUGUGAAGCUGCUCUAAUCCAUGGUUUUAAUUUGAGUGGACAGUCAGUGCUCUGCAGAUCUACCUGCCUGCUUUGAUAUUAGGGUCCUGAGACUUUGGCUAGGGAAGUUAAUUAUAUUUGUGCCGACUAUAGACUUUUUGAUCCAUCCUGUUUUAUUAACAUAUAAAUUAUACAUUUUUUCAUAAUAAAAGGUUAAAAUAAGAAGAUGGUCCUUGUAUUUAAUUGUGUAUCCAUGGCUUAGCUGACAUGAGGCACUUCAACCCUCUAAGGCCCAGAUGAGUCCAGGCUCAGCUGCGGAUUCUCCUUUGGAAAACUGCUGUCAUUAUGGUGGAUCUUGGCUUUGGAUUGGUCCCAAAAUUCCAUACUGAAAAACAAACCAUUGCAUGUAGAUGCCAUUAUUUGAGUAACCACAUUCAAAUUUCUGUUCUACUUAAAUACCUUUGAAAGUUCUUUUUACAAUAAAAAUAAAUAACAACUUUUUAAUGUAAGAAGUGGAAGGAGAAUGAGGAGAGAAGAGUCCCUUGGUAUAAGUGUAUGCAGUGCUUCUUUUCUGGGGCUAGUCAAGGGUUUGCAGUACUGGAACUCCCCCCCCCCCAAAAAAAAUGUUGUUGUUUUUUAAAGUGUGGCACUUACUGUAACAAGUUCAUGGUGAAUACCAGUAUAUAUAUAUAUAUAUAUAUAUAUAUAUAUAUAUAUAUCACUGAGCAUAUAAUAGGCAGUAAGAUUUAAGGCAAUAGGGAAUGCAAGCUCUAACCCCUUAGCCAGCCUGCAUUAGCAAACAUGCCUAGUUGUGAUACCAAGAGAGUUUCAGCAACCAACACUCAUUCCCCUGGGCUUCAAAUCUGUGCAACACACAUUUAUUUAAAAUAUUUAUAGCUCAAAGCAGUUUACAUAAAAAUGUAAUACAAUAUAGCUCUCAAGUUCAAACAACCCUACACAAUGAAAGUGCUCCAACAAUAUAGUCAGCAAAUUCAGAAGCCGAAACAUAGUAUUUCAGAGGAGCCCUGCUCACCAAAGUCUGGAAGGCUUACGGGAGGUGCCAAUCCUGACCUCCAGCCACUUGCCUGGGCAUUGGAUCAGCUGGAAUAAAGCCCUUCUCCAGCAGGUGAUGGCUUUACUGUACAUACUGGGUUGGAUCCAAGCCAUGUUAGCCAAAUACCUUUUCUGAUUUCAGUGGAACUGAGCAGCAGUUAACUUGAACAUAGCAUAGCUAUCUGUGGAUCCAGACCCCUGGGAGAGUGCCUGAUCAGAAGCUAUGCACUGACAUGAGGGUUCAUAUGGUAGGGCUGCCAUAUGUCCGGAAUUUCCCAGACAUAGCCGGGAUUCGCCUGUUGAAAAUGGUGUCUGGGCAGAAUUUCUGCAAAUUGGUUAAAAUGUCUGGGAAACUCAGGCACAUGGCAGCCCAUAUUGAAAGCAUUGAUUGUUUGGUGAAUUUCCUUUAAAAAAUGGUUUAAAACUUCCUCUUUUUUUCCUUUGAGAUUUUGCCCAAAAAAACUCAGCCAAACUUUGGGCAAACACAACUUUCCCCAAGAAAGCUCAACUACCUCUGUGUCCAGAUUUUCACUUUUUGAAAUAUGACAUCCCUGUCAUAUGGAGAAAGACAAAUGUUAAGGCAAGUGGCUCUCAGUGGGUGGGACCUACCAGGGGGACUUGGGCUCCCUACCUGGCUUGAGAGCAGUACAUGUGAAAAGGAUCUAGGAGUCUUGGUUGACCACAAACUUGACAUGAGCCAACAGUGUGACGCAGCAGCUAAAAAAGCCAAUGCAAUUCUGGGCUGCAUCAAUAGGAGUAUAGCAUCUAGAUCAAGGGAAGUAAUAGUGCCACUGUAUUCUGCUCUGGUCAGACCUCACCUGGAGUACUGUGUCCAGUUCUGGGCACCACAGUUCAAGAAGGACACUGACAAACUGGAACGUGUCCAGAGGAGGGCAACCAAAAUGGUCAAAGGCCUGGAAACGAUGCCUUAUGAGGAACGGCUAAGAGAGCUGGGCAUGUUUAGCCUGGAGAAGAGGAGGUCAAGGGGUGAUAUGAUAGCCAUGUUCAAAUAUAUAAAAGGAUGUCACAUAGAGGAGGGAGAAAGGUUGUUUUCUGCUGCUCCAGAGAAGCGGACACGGAGCAAUGGAUCCAAACUACAAGAAAGAAGAUUCCACCUAAACAUUAGGAAGAACUUCCUGACAGUAAGAGCUGUUCGACAGUGGAAUUUGUUGCCAAGGAGUGUGGUGGAGUCUCCUUCUUUGGAGGUCUUUAAGCAGAGGCUUGACAACCAUAUGUCAGGAGUGCUCUGAUGGUGUUUCCUGCUUGGCAGGGGGUUGGACUCGAUGGCCCUUGUUGUCUCUUCCAACUCUAUGAUUCUAUGAUUCAAUGCCACAGCUUGGCCAAUUCCUCUGCCUUGCCUUGCCAAACACUGCCUCCAUCUGCCACCAUUUUGUGGCAGGAAGGCCUUAGUAAUUUUUAGCUGCCUCAAGUGGGCUCUGGGGGGUAGAAAGUUUGAGAGCCCCUGCUCUAAAGUAUGUUGGUCCCAGGUUGUGUACCAGAAUCCCGAAGUAUUAUAUAUACGAGAAUGGACACCCUGUACACAGUGCACCUUAAAUGAAUAUUUCCUGACUUAUGGAGUUGUCUCUGAAACAUGACAUGAAAUUUAUUGUCUAACCUUUGUAGCCAUGCAAGCUAUUGGCUGUCGUAAAAUUAUUAUGAUAGGUACUUUUUAAAAUUCAAGCACAGUAAUUGGUUCAGUGGCCUAAGGCAGUUAAUGUCACAGGUUCACUUUACUUGUAUCAAGACUAAUUUCCCUUUAGCACUUCUAAUUAAUUGGUAUUAAUUGUCAAAAUAAAGUUGCUCCAGCCUGGUCAAUUUUUAAUUUCAGUUCAAAGGCAUAGCAAGAUCACUUGUGUUGCAUCAUUAGACAGAUCACAAUUCGGCAGCAGUCUUUGGAUGAAUGUACUUUUCUAAAUGAUAAAAGUGUACCACACACACUUUUUCUCAGCCACCAUGACCACAGGAAAUGAUGCUAAUGAUGUGUGAACUCCCCUUUGUUUGAAUCAUAAUUGAAUCACAAUAUGUGAUAACCUUGUCAAACACUUGGGGGGAAUUACUGCUUUAUUUAAAGAGUUCUAAAUUGGCUUACAACAUGUUUUCUCACAAAGCACCCUGGGAUUUGUAGUGUGUGGAUGAACAAGACCAGCACAUUUCCUAGACUAAAGCCUCAAGGCAUAGGUGAUAUAAGGCUUUUUCACCUCCUGCCCUCUGGUCCCCACAGAGACACCUGCUGGCAAGGUCUUAAGCAAGACCAAGAGACAGCAGAGAUUCUCAGCUCUGACCUGCCAAACACAUGAUGGGGCAUGACUUCCUCAAGUCAGUUUCUUGCUCGGGAGUCAAAGCCUUCAUGCUACAAAUACAUUUUAGUACAGUUGAUCCAUUGAAAUAUUUGAAAGCAACAGAGGGCAUUGACAUGUAAGCCACUGCUUAGCCACUCCAUGCUGUAGGCGAAAUGGCACAUUCAGCUUAACGCAUAGCAUGCAGGUAUAGAUCCUUCUUUUUUCUUAAUUUAAUUACAGGCAUGGGGACCAUUUAAUUGUUAUUUGUACCUCAGAUUUAUCUUUUCCCUCCCCUGAAAUUCCCCACCCUCAAAAAAUAGAUAUGAGAUUUUUUUUGGGGGGGGGGUUGCACCCAUGUAAUUAGGUAAAUAAAAAAUGGUGACAUAGCUGCAUUGCAUUACAUAUAAUGUAAUAUAAAAAUAAUUCAACCCCAAUACAGUUUCCAUCAUGACCACAGCACUGGGAUGUGAGAUGGUGCAAAGUCUGUUUUCCCAUGUUCUAGAUAAUCCUUGGGUCACUCAGAAGUUGGUCAAAAUGAGAAGGUAUGUGCUGGCAGAAUAUUUCCUGCUGCAUCCAGUCUUCCCUCAGUGGUGGACUUUGGGCUCUUAAAUUUCAGUUGUGCCCUGUGUGAUGCUAAAAUUUGCUGCCCUCUGCCUCUCAUGCUCUGUUCAUUAUCAUUGUUGCAGUGCCCCCUGUGGUGCUCUUGCCAUUGCAGCCAAACCAGCAGACUACCCUAAAACGGCCUCUGCUUCGCUAGCUAUGAGCAGCCAAGCUAUGGGCAGCUAUUUUAUGUGUUCCCAAAUGUGCCCUCAGCUUUCCUCAGUGACAGCCAACAAAUAUGGCGGCUUUCUAAACCACAUCCCAGUGUCCUAUUAAAGGCUUUCUUGUUAGACAGUUUAAUGUGGAAGGGGUUCCCUGGUCAUGAGAAGUUUCAAAACCACUAACUGUAGCCUGUGAAUAACCUGAGGUGCCAUGGAAUCAUGUGCAGGAUUGAGGUGAGCAGUGGAAAAAUAACUUUCAGCCUGACUCUUAUUGGAAAGCGGGCCUCAGUCUAUUGCCUAUUGUCUGCUGCCCUUUUAAGAAAGAAGUCUCAUCCCAUGCUAAGAUAUAUAUUUGCUAUUCUCCUUGGCUAUUUCCUGUAAAGUUAGUGUGCAAAACAUUUCCAGAAACUGGCAUGAUUUUGAGUAUGACAGUGACCCCUUUUAUUAAUUCAUUCUGGUUUAAUGUAUUUGUUUUAUUGAUUUCUAACAUUGAUGCCCUCUUUUAUGACAUAAAAUAAAAGAGGCGUAAAAUGGGAUAGGAGUUAGUCUGCCACAGGGACGCUGAAUGGAGGGAGAGGGUGGGCAGCUCCCCUGAAAGAGAGUAGGAAGGGGGAAGUUGGUUUAGGCAGCGUUCCAGCUCAACAGGACCAGAGGAGAGAGCCCAGGGUGGCCGCCCUGUAUUCAACCAUAUUAGGAAGAAGUCUAGCUAAUCAGAAUACUUAAUAAUACAUGGCACUUAAAUAAUUAGCAAUCGUGUCAUCUAUCUAGAGCUGAGCUCAAUUUUUCAGACAAUGUUUUUCUCAGGAAAUUGCUGCCCUAGAAAAAGGCUACUUUGCAAAACAUUCUCCACCAUUUUGUGUUAGCAGAUGCCAUUACACACACACACACACACACACACACACACACACUGCUCUGAAGCAAUGAUAGUUCUGAGCCACUGUGAGGGGUGGAAAAUGGGGCUUGAGCUGAUAACCAGUAGUGACACCAGAAAGAAAAUUCAGGGGGGCGCACAGAAGGGUCAAGGUAUAUUUCUAGGUGGGCAAGCAAUGUCCUACAUGUUAAGAUCUCUGGGGGGAAAUAACAGUAUAUUUCAGACUAAAACUGCCAUUCUAAACUUUUUCCCCCUGAAAUCAGCCAUAUGUUGUUGGCAUCUCGAAGUGAAUGUCAGUAGCUGCAAGAUGCAUAGCCCUUGUUGCCUCAAGAGCUGCAACUGAAAUGUCAAAGCUACAGAAAUGAUAAUGUAUGAAUGCAGCUGCUUAUGUUAACAACAAGAGUCUAGCAACGCAGGGGGGAGGGGUGUGGGGGCAAGCUCCUUGUUUGGGGGGAUGCUUGCCUCCUCCCUCCCCCCGACCCCACUGGUGCUGCCUAUGCUGCUAAGAGAUUUGUUGUUGCUGCUGCUGCCACAUCCAGCUGCAACAAAAAAUAGCAAAACAACAACCAAGCAACACACACUCAUGCACUUGAAGCAAUCUUCCCUUAGCAGAAGCAGCCAUCAGGCUUUUGUUAUAUGUUAGCUUGAAACACAUACUGUCGUUCAGGUCUGAGGGCAGAUUAUUCACUCACAGAUCCAUUUAAGCUUACAGUGGCACUGGCUAUGUCCAAUAUUUUUACCUGUUUGGUUUUUUAAAACGAGCCUUUUGCUUUUUCAGGGAUACAUAAGGGGCUUAGGUACGGCAGCAUACUGUAUCUCUUAGCCAAUUUGCUAUUCACAGGAUCUUUGAUCAUAGAUGCCAGACAUUUAUAGAAGGAAAGAAAAAGAAAUGGGGGAAAACUAGUGCAGCAUCUGCUAAUUUAUUUAUUGUUUUAAAUAGAAGCAUUUUAGAACUGAAAAAUUAUGCAGAACCUUUUUUUCCUUGCUACUGCAUGAAUGGAUCGCCAGUGAGUUUGCUGUAAUGCACUAGGGAAUUGUACAUAAAUGGGUAGCAAUUUGGUGGUAGUGUAAAUUUUGGAGCUAGCAUAGUUUAGUGGUAGCCCUGGGCACUUAAUAAAAAUGAAACGGGGAGAGUUAUAAUAAAGUAAUAAGACUUUGGUGAUAGAUCACAGUAUUAAUUUCCCCCCUGUAGAAGCAAAUCACCAAUUCAAUUCCUGCAGUAUCACUUUGGAGAGCCUAGUUGCAAGAGCCCUGAGUAAAUAAUUCCACAUCCUAGCCUUUGUACCUACAAAUCCCAGGUGUAGUAAACAACCACAGAGAAACUGGAAAUCACAAUGGCAUUGCAAAGCUCUGGAUUUUACAUUGGAAAGGAAAUAAGUUUGCAGGGGUUUUUUCUCCCCCUGUUAAAGAACAGAGCUUCUGCAUGAUCAAUGUGGUACUUUAUUCUGACGCUUAUGCCAGCCUGCUUUACAACAGACUUUUAUUUGAAAUGUUUACUGUGCGUUAGGCUCAGUUCAGUGAGAUGCAGCAUCAUGCAGAAAGACAAAUGGCCUGGAUGACUGAGAGCUUAAGUGCUUCCUUGGAAUUCAGGUGAUGUGGCUGAUUUUGCCAAAGUCCUAUGGACAACAUAACACACAAGAAUGGCUGCCUAGCACAGCUUUGCCAUCAGGAGGUAAGGAUGCACUCACAUCUCUGACGCCUGUAAAAGACAGACUGAUGGCAUAAUUAGUUGUUGUGUAUUGGAAAGGAACCUGGCAGUCUUCUCCUCUGUGUGCACAGUGCACCUUGGGAAACGCCUCUUCUCUGUCAUAUGCAGUUUCAGUGUAUACCUUCAGUCUUAGUUGCAUCUUCUCCAUUACUUGUGGGUAGAAAAAUCUGCUGUUACUGUUUUUAUUUUUUAUGAGCUUCUGUUAUAACUAAAGUUAAAACUGAAUAACCAGUAGGGGGCACAUAUAACUUGUGACCCUCCAACGCAAAUACAGUGGACGCUCGGGUUGUGAACGUGAUCCAUGCGAGAUGCAUGUUCGCAACCCGCAGCGUCCGCAACCCGCAGUGGCGCAUCUGCACACACACGGAUUGCGAUUUAGUGCUUCUGCACAUGUGCGACCGCUGAAACCUGGAAAUAACCCGUUUCAGUACUUCCAGGUUUGAGCGGUUCGCAACCUGAAAAAACACAACCUGAAGCAUCUAUAACCCGAGGUAUGACUGUACAGCUCAUCCACUGCCAUUAUGAUGGUCCUCCAGUGAUCCAAUAAACCUCUAGGUUUCAUUGCUUGGCUGAAAAUGAAAAGGAGGUCAUAAGGUUUUUUAACCCCUUGUAUGGUACAGUGCAUGGCUCCCCGGCUACAUAAAGGCAACAUCUCCAGACUGACCCUUCCAUUCAACACAGUGAUGCAGCCAUGUUGCUGUGUUGGGGGACAGGGAGGGAUGAGAAGGUGUUGGAAGACAGCCUGACUGGGCCUCCUAAGCAAGGCUACCCAGGAAGGGAAAAACCACACUCUUUCUCACUGUCCUCGGGACCAUUGACGCUGAGCACUACUUUCACACAUGCUGCUGUGGCACUUUUCUGGGCACUCACUCCAGACCCCACCAAGGAAGAGUACACCAGGCAGCAUACUAUUUAUAUACAAAAGCCAGGUCCUAAAGUUCUAUCUGUGGGAGGCAGUGCCUGGCGUGCUCUGGUCCAUGGGGUCACGAAGAUUUGGGCACGAUUAAACGACUAAACAAAAACAACAGAAGUUCUAUCACACUUUAAUCGACUGACACCCCCCCCCCCGAAGCCAGGAUUGAGCUGUUCAGGGCUCUGUCACCUGAGGCAGAGGAAGGUUUUGUGCCCUUCUCCAUAAAGGCUGUCGCUGAACAGGGAUCCUGCAGGGUGGGUGCACCAUAGUUAGCUGUGUGCAGGGCUACUUUGCUAGUUAUUUUAUAUAAUACAGCAAUAUUGCAGUACAAUUAUGGUGUCUGUUGAAUAUUUCUUACAGGCUGGGAAACAUCAGGGUCAACACAGGGAGCUAAUACAGCACAGUUCGACAGGCAGUCAUACAAAGGACUAGAGCUUUCUUUCCUGGGAGAAAUGGCCUUUAUAGAUCCCAAAGGACUGCUACUUCUGGAACAAAAAUAAAAAUAAAAAUCAAUUGUUCUACCCAAAGAGUGGCAAAGUAUACACAGCUACUCCAUAGAGGUUGCUUGAGCUUAGCCGCAUGUCAUGCAAUUUCAAAAGUAUGCUUAAGGAAAGAACUGCAAAAGACUUCAGCAAGAUUUGUGCCAGCUGUGAGUUGUCAAGAGGCCAGGCAGAUGGGAUCAUUUAUAGUUACUGUAAUACCAGCCAGACCCCAGAAAAUUGGGCAGAAGCUGACAACUGGAUGACAGGGCCUUGGUUGCAGUUCACUAUUCCUAGAUACAUAUUUAUGUAACGGGUUGAAUCAGAGUGUUAUAUAUUACCUGAACAAUAUAUUUGCUUGCAUGGGGGGAAAAUCCAGCUGGAUAUGUCAUAGACAAUAGGCAAAGGUUUGUCACAAUAGACUACAUGUUCUUUAUAAGCAGGUAUAACUCCCAACAGUUUUCUACUUGCUGCCAUUUCCACUCAUGUGCAAGGUGAGGAGCACAGGACACAACCCCCCAAGUUUCUGGAAGCAAAACAGCACAUUUCCUGAUUGUCACAGGGAACAACCCAACAAAAACAGGACAAAUGACAUUUUGCACAAAUUGACAAGUUACAUUUUAUCACAGGACUCAAAAACUGCAUUCCUAUUAAUUCAGAGGGUGUUCCUGGGAAGCUGAUGGGGUUCUUCUGCAGUAAUGGUGAAGCUUUGUCCACUGUUGUGAAUAUCCUGCACAGCCAGAAAAGUCACAGGUUUCUGCAAGACAGAAAAAAUAAACAAGGCACAAUUCAGCACAAAGAAAAGUGAAGUUGCUGAGAUGUAUAACACACCAAUGAAGUAAGCCUGAGAUUUUCAAGAUGCCAAGUAUUGGGCACGGUAAGUUAGUGCAUUUUAGGCAUAUCCUCAAAGUGAGAGUUACUCCUAACCAGCCUGGCCAGUGGCAUGAACCAGGGUCCUUCUCAAUCAUGUCCUCAGACCAUCUGCAGCACACACAGGUGCAACAGCAGCUGCAGAAGGGGUUACUCAGCAGACAAACACAAGUGCAAGGGUUUCGGGAGGUGAGUAUUCAGACCCCUGGCUGCUCACUUGUGGGGUGCCUCAGGGCUCUGUCCUCUCCCCUAUUAUUUUAAACAUCUAUAUGAAAUCACUGGAAGAGGUCAUCUGGGGGUUUCGGCUGAGUGUUCACCAGUAUGUGGAUGGUACCCAGCCUGGAAGCGAAAGGAAAGUCCAAUGCUGUAAAGAAAAAUAUUGCAUAGGAACCUGGAAUGUAAGAACCAUGAACCUGGGUAAGUUGGAUGUGGUCAAAAAUGAGAUGGCAAGAAUAAAUAUAGACAUCCUGGGCAUCAGUGAACUAAAAUGGACGGGAAUAGACGAAUUCAGUUCGGAUGACCAUCAUAUCUACUACUGUGGGCAAGAAUCCCGUAAAAGAAAUGGAGUGGCCCUCAUAGUCAACAAAAGAGUGGCGAAAGCUGUACUGGUAUGCAAUCUCAAAAAUGAUAGAAUGAUCUCGAUACGAAUCCAAGGCAGACCUUUUAACAUCACAGUAUUCCAAGUUUAUGCACCAAUCACUGGUGCUGAAGAAACUGAAAUUGACCAGUUCUAUGAAGACUUACAACACCUUAUAGAAAUGACACCAAAGAAGGAUGUUCUUCUCAUUAUAGGGGAUUGGAAUGCUAAAGUUGGGAGUCAAGAGAUAAAAGGUGCUGGAGGAGACUCUUGAGAGUCCCAUGGACUGCAAGAAGAUCAAACGCAUCCAUUCUUAAGGAAAUCAGCCCUGAGUGGUCACUGGAAGGACAGAUCAUGAAGCUGAGGCUCCAAUACUUUGGCCACCUCAUGAGAAGAGAAGACUCCUGGAAAAGACCCUGAUGUUGGGAAAGAUGGAGGGCACAAGGAGAAGGGAACGACAGAGGACGAGAUGGUUGGACAGUGUUCUCGAAGCCACAAACAUGAGUCUGACCAAACUGCGGGAGGCAGUGGAAGACAGGAGUGCCUGGAGUGCUCUGGUCCAUGGCGUCACGAAGAGGUGGACAUGACUUAACGACUAAACUACAACAACAACCCAGCUCUACCUCAGUAAGAUCUACUUCUGAGUAGACAUGUGUUGGAAAUUUUGCAAAGUCAAUGAGCUAGCCAGAAAGGCAUAUGCCCUGAUGAGGUGGAUAAGGAUGAGGAAUGCCCUCUACAACCUCUGAAAAUAACACCUCUGUUUGUUACACAAAUCAAUAAAUACUUAAGCUGGUCUGUAUUGCAAUACCAGACUAUGUCACACCAGCAAAGACACUUCCACUUAAGUAUGGGAAAGUGGCAAUAGCAUUUGCAAUCCUGAUGAGGGUUGCUGUUCUCUACUGUUUUCCCUCACGCAUUGCCUCUGCACAAAACCCAGCCUUGAUUUAUGAUUCAGUUGCAGAAAUGGUAUCUGUAAUAUAUUUUAUUGAAAACUUUUUCUUCUUUAGAAGGGUAACAUGAUUAUAUCAUUGUCUCAUUGAAACUGAAUCUCUUCUGUGGGAAAGGAAAUUAACAUCCUAAUUAUAUACUUGUCUUUGUCUGAUAGAAGAGCGCAAGUCUACAUUUGGAUUUAUCUACUGUAGAUGGGGAAAACUAUACUGUGUGUAUUUUUAAAAGCUUGUGAGAAUGAGCCACCCCAGCAAUCAAGGGGGAGUGGUCAAGGUCUGGAGGUCAGGAUGGGUGGGGAUGGGUGGGUGCAGGGCCAGGGGAGAGGAAUGGAUGGAGUCAUUUGGAGUCUUAUUAGGAUAGUGCAUAAAAGCAAGUGACUUACGUUUUGUCUCUGGAUAGGGUGGAAGCAUGUUUUCUCCAGCAUCCAGACUUCAUUUACACAGUGGAGAAAAAGAGAGUGAGAAACAGCUGUUUAAAUCAGUUCAUCCAGAACCGCUUGGUCAUCAGCCUUAUUCAUCUAAUGGUGUGGGGUAAGAAAAUUAGAAACAAAUGGAGGAAACUCUAGAUCUUGGGGCGAAUCACUUUACCGCAAUGUGCUUUCUCUUGUUAGCAAAUCAAGUGCUUAUUUGGAUAUCCAAGAGAUUAUCAGAAAAGUUUGCCCUGUUUUAAUGGUACCAGACAGGUAAUAGCAUGAGCAAAAAAGAGGCAUUCUUGACAGUUGGCCCUCUCUAUUCAUGCAAGUCUCAACCAGUGUAAGUUUGUGCAUCUUUUGAAAGCACUGUAUGCCCUCAACUGUUGACCUGUUCUUUGUGGAGUCCCGAGGUGCACUGGGAAAGAGUGGUGAAUUUUCAAGUGGUUGUGGUUGGCAUCCUCCUGUCUUGGGAGACAAUGGAGGACUGUGCUUUUGUGAGUGAAGUCAAACUGUUGGAGAGUUAUAGCUCCUGCUGUGGCUGUAGAGCAGGCACCCCCAAACUCGGCCCUCCAGAUGUUUUGGGACUACAACUCCCAUCAUCCCUAGCUAACAGGGCCAGCGGUCAGGGAUGAUGGGAAUUGUAGUCCCAAAACAUCUGGAGGGCCAAGUUUGGGGGUGCUGCUGUAGAGAAUGAUAUGGGAGAGGCCUCAUUUAUUGCCGGUGGAGCAGCUGAAGGCGUUCAGUUGUGCUGCUGCAGAUGCCUCAUGGCGUACUUCUCUCUGUGCUCCUCACAGUGGUCAUGCCCUCUACCUCUUGUUCCAUGAGAACUGUCACUCUGCAUGGGUGACUAGAAUUUUUUAGUUAAAGUCAUAAAAUUUUGGCAAGGAUGGAGAACUGCCCCAGGCAGCGUGUCCAAUGGCUUGGGAUGAUAGAAGUUGUAGUCUAACAACACCUGAAAGUCACAGGAUCUGCAUCUCUGAUUUAUAAGUUGUAUUCAAGAUGGCUUUCUGCGGCAACCUCAUGCUACAGCUUCCUCCACAGAUAAUUCUCACAGUUUCUCACAGGAGAAACAAAUAUGUCACCUAUGAAGUAUCCUUAAAUAAUGAGCUGCUUUCAUAAAUGAUAUUACUACUCAGAUGUCAGACGUGAGAAUUCCACAGCUAUUUAGCUAAUGCAAAUCUUCCAUGAAAAACCAAUUACAAAUAUGGAAGUGAUAUUAAGUUCAGUCCAGCUUUAGGAAAUUACUUUGGUGGAUUUCACUUCUCUGCAAACAUUCAUGUUUACGACAUGACAAAGACUCAGGAAAUGUAGCCGUUUAUAGUGUGCAUAUAUCUAAUUCAUAUAAAUAAUUAAAAAGUAAUGAUCAAUUAGCAUAUUUUUAAGUACCUGUUAUAAAGGCUUCAUAAUUAGUGGUUUCCCCAGGAGACCUAAACAUCUUCUACUCUAGCCCAUCACAAAACAGUGUACCUUUGCUUAUGAAAUUAUCUAAUUACCCCUGAGACUAACAUGAUUUCCUGGUUAUAUUACUAUUCUACAGUAGACUAUAAAGAUAAAAAAUGCUUUAAAAAUAUUUAUAUCAUCCUAGUGAUUAGAUUGCAUAUAUGAUCAGGGCUUGCACAUGUGCAAAUCCAUGGUGUAUCCUGCUGGGAAAAAGAGAUGGGGGGUGGAUUUAGACAUAAAUUGGUAUGCUCCUAUGCUCACUUUCCUGUGAGUAAAGGUAAAGGUAAAGGGACCCCUGACCAUUAGGUCCAGUCGUGGCCGACUCUGGGGUUGUGGUGCUCAUCUCGCUUUAUUGGCCAAGGGAGCCGGCGUACAGCUUCUGGGUCAUGUGGCCAGCACGACUAAGCCGCUUCUGGCAAACCAGAGCAGCGCACGGAAACGCCGUUUACCUUCCUGCCGGAGCGGUACCUAUUUAUCUACUUGCACUUUGACGUGCUUUUGAACUGCUAGGUUGGCAGGAGCAGGGACUGAGCAACGGGAGCUCACCCCGUCGCGGGGAUUCGAACCGCCGACCUUCUGAUCGGUGAGUCCUAGGCUCUGUGGUUUAACCCACAGCGCCACCUCUGUCCCUGUAAGUAAUCCCCACUAAAUACAUCAGGAUUUAUUUUGAGGAAGCAUGCAUAGAUUGGACUGUAGGCUUUCCUAAUCACAAAGACAAGAACCAGAGUGGUGAGAGUUGUGGGCAGCCAUGAGAUCUUCAGUUCAGCACCUACAAGGUCAGCACUUCAUACUGGAGAAUCAGGAAACUACAGCUCAGCAGGCAGAACACAUUGUUCUGUUAGCCUGCCAAAGAGAGAGGACCAGGCUUCUCCCAGUGCUGAUUCCAGGAUUGGCCAAUCCAGAGCCUUCAUACUGCUCACUAGUUGCAUAGACUUUACUUGGAAGAGUCACUCUGUUCUAUAGCUGUUUCCUAGGCUAAGCCCCAGCUUCCAACUCUGAAAGCUCCUGGCUUGGCCUCUGGAAUCCUCUACAGGGAAAGGUGAAUUACUAUUUGCCUCUUCCCUAAUCUGUGAAUAGGCAUCCAUACUUCAAUUUGUAUGAAAAGUUUACAUCUCCUUUUCCAUGACAGGUUGCCACAUAUCUAUAGUCAGGUACAUGUAUUUCUAGAUGUAGCUGUAAGAAGGCCAGCACCCAACAACAAUGCAAAGGAGGGGAGGAUAAAACUCCAAGAGUGAUAUAAAAAUUGGAAUUACGCUGGCAGCUCCCAGCAAGGGAAGAUUUGCCUCUAUCAAUGGCUGAGCAAGUUUCUGCUUCUCAGUGCCUCUAGCUUGCUUUAGAGGUCACCAGCAGGAAGGCAGUGUCUAAAGGGUGACAUUAAAGGAUGCUGAUCAGGGAAGAUCCAAGGAAAUCACAGGAACCUCUGCCUCAAUCAUUUUGUCACCAUGAAGAAUUUCUGUUUCACAUAUUAGUCUUUAAUGUGAUGUGAUGUCAUUAGAAGAAACUUCAGGAAGCUGUGUUGAGAACCACUUGAGGCUAAAAAUGAAAUAUGAAUAUUUAAAUACAAAUUUAUUAUUAUUAUUAUUAUUACAUAUCCAGAGGUACCUAUUUUUAGCCUCUAUACUAGUCUUUCCUAUCCUGGUUCCCUCUUAUGUUUUGGACCACAGCUCCCAUCAUCCCUGACCAUUGGCUUUGUGAGCAGGGAUGAUGGGAGGGCAUCCAACUGGGAAGGGUAGUUGUAUUAUCAGGGAAAAUAUAUAUCUUGCCAAGUGUGUCUGACUUCAUCCUAUUCCAUUUCUGGUCUUUUGGCUACGCAGUGAAGCACUCUAGCUAAGCCACCAAGGUACGUCCAAAGAGACCUUGGAGCCAGAGUGCUGAAACACAGAGGGCUUGUCCAGCAAGAUUGGCAGGAGGAACAGAGUCCUGAGCCCUGAAUAGCAGGAGAAGUAUCUAAGCAACACUAGGGUUAGAAUAUGCUUUCAGUUGUCCUAGUUGUCCCAUCCGUCUGGGUUUACUAGUAGGGCCCAAAUCCUGGCCCUAGUUAAGGCAAAAAUUCUUCUUCCUGAGCAUGAUUCUGAAACAGUUUACCUUCUGGUCCAGAUUUUGGCUGGGGCUCAUUACCUACUGCUGGCACCUGUCACGAGACCCUCCUCCAUCAAGGAGGUGUCAUGAGAUUCUGGUUCUGGGUGUGGGCAGCCCUGACAAAGUAGGAGUUGGAUAUUUGUAUUUGUAUAUCUGGUGAUGUGUAACUGCAUUUUCAACUUGGGGCACUCUGAUGCUGUAACUUGUGCAGAUUUGCAAGUGCAAAUGCGCUUCAUGUAUGCCAUCAGGACCAUGCAUGAGCUGAUACACAGAUCCAAUCCACACAUUUUCAGAGCCAGCUUUCAUGAGCCACCUAUUCAUAUGCCAGAUGAGAUGCUCAUAAAAACUCAUAACAACUUCUAUAUGCAGGGAUUUCUAUUUUCCAACAUAUCCUGCCAUGCUCACACCCAAGUUUUUUCCACACAUUACAUGUGACUUCAAGAAGAUCAAAAGUAUGUAGUGUGACAAGAGGGGUCAUGCUUUUAGUCUCACCCUCGACAUUGCAUCUUUCCCCCCAUGUUGUGUGUGUAGUUGUGUGAAAGGAAAGCCCAGUGUUUUAGUUCCUGCUUGUGAGUAAGGUCCCUCUGUCAUCAGGAUACCUGGUUAAGCCCACAUGGUUAUCACAUAGAUCCUUGGAGGCAGGAACCAAAGAGUGAUGGAGGGCACUGCCAUGGAAGACUGAGAACAGGGCAAUGACCCAGGCAUUAUAGGGAAACAAUGUUUUUUUCUCUUGCUAAUACCAGCUUUUUUUUAAUGCUGUGAUAGUGAUUUUAAUGCAGGGAAGGAGUGUAAGAUAUUUCUGUUGAAGCCAGAUACAUUUCUAGCAGGCAAACAAAUUCUUUAAGUGUACUUGGUCAGUUGUGUUAGCAGAGAUAGCUGUCACCACGCCACUAAAGGGGGCCCUUCACUCUUUCAUGGCUACUGGUUUUGAAAUGACCCAGAUCCCGUGAGCAGAGAGCUCAGAAGAAUCUAUGAGCCAGCUCUAUGCUGAUCCAACAGACUGGAAUCUGUUAGAGCCUCAACUAUAUAUAAGGCAUCAGUCAGAGACCACAGCCUUAAAAGAAAACUCCUAUGGAAGUGAAUUGUAUUUGAAGGAGAAAAGGAUCACAGUGGCCAUCCCCGUCCUCAACUCAUAUGCAUUCAUUUGAAGCUUAGAACAAAGGCCGACUCUUGGAGCUCUUGCUGUGUAAAUGAAAUCAUGCUUUUUCCGCGUUCCCAGUCACAUAGAGAAGGCCGCACACACAGAGACUUUAUUAUUACCUUCAAACAAACAUACAUAACUUGGGCACAGAGGCAGCUGAUACUAUCUAGUCCCCCCCCCCCCCCCGCAUUAUCACACCCCUAAACUUCCCAAUGUUUUGCACUACAACUCCCAUCAUUCCUGUCCAUUGGCCAUGCUGUCUGGGGCUGGUGGGAGUUGUAGUCCAAACAUCUGGAAGGCAACAGGCUGGGUAAGGCUACCCUUACUAAGGGUGAGGGAAGUGCAUCCUUACUAGCCAAGCCACUGGCAUGGUGCCUGCUUCAGAUUUCUGUCCCACACACUGGAAGGCUUGGUCACUGUUUUUCCUGCACCCUAUGUGCUUCAGGUGUACAUGGUGAUGUGGAUGUUUUAAGUCACACCCGUCGGAAACAUUACAGCAGUAUUUUGAUUUGGAGAAGAGGCCAUAGGCCAGCAAGGCAACAUGUAUCUUGUAUGCAGUAGGUCCCGUUGGCGUGGAGAUAUUCAGUUCCUACCAACUCAGUCGAUAGAGCAUGGAACUCUUAAUUUCAGGGUCGUGGGUUCGAGUCCCACAUGGGGCAAAAUAUUCCUGCAUUGCAGGGGGCUGGAGUAGAUGACCCUUGUGGUCCCUUCCAACUCUACAAUUCUACGAUUCUGUUACUCAAGUAACAGAGUUAGGAUUUAUCUCUCCCGGAGAUUCUGGAGUGUCACUGCCCAUCAGAAGAGACUGCCCUAGCCUAGACGGACUAGUGGCCGAAAUCAGUGGAAGUCAGUUUCCUGCAUUCAAUCUCCCACAAUACAAAUAUUUCUAAAAAUGACAAAUUGUAGUUGGGGAUACCAGAAAAUUGAUGGCCACUUAAAGAAACGUGCUAGAAUUAAUAGCUUUCCCCUUCAGUCUAUUCCCAGUGGUUUGGGUGUCAAGUCUGUCAUUUCCCGAGUUUCAGAGAAGGUUCAGUUUCCUUCCUUGAAAUCAAAGCUUCCCUGAAUUUCAUAUGCUUUUGCCUUUGCAAAGCAUCUGCAUAUGCCAAAGACAAAUAAUCAUAAGGGUUUGAAGAAAUCUGUGUUUGGAAGACAAAAUGCAGAUUGUUACUGUUCCUAAUGUUUUCCACAGCUUAUGAGACAAGCCCCUCGGGACACAGUGUUUUGGAUUCUAAACUCUCUCGUUACCAUAUUAAUUGCUUUUGUCAUGACAGUUUUGGCAUCUAUAAAUGGCUGCAGCCAUGCUGUGCUCCUCGAGAGACCAAUCAGGGCGGGCAAAAUUGGUUCACUGGCUCCCAAAGCAGCUUGUGCGAAAGGUGCUCCGUUUCAGGCACAUCUUUUAAUUCCUCAAGCCUGAAUGGGGAGCCAGUUAUACUCCAGGCUAAAGAGAGCGAGAAAGCUUUCCUUUGGAAUGAAGCUGCACACAAAAUAAUCAUCUUUUUUGGCCAGGGCAACCUCAGAGAAAAGAUUUCUCUCUGUGGGCAUAUGACAUGUAUACCCAGACAUUUAAGAAAUACGAACAAAGAGGGACAGUUCAAUCUAGGGCUCUGUUUUGGGGGGGGGGGUUGUAGCGGGGAAGGAGAGGAGUUCACAGAAUGGUUCUAGAGUCUAGUCCUCCGCUACAAAAUUACAAAAACAAAGUAUUUCAACAGCACUUGUGGUGGUUCUCUAUAUAUCCUGCAGCAAAUAAAUGUAUCAGAUUCCCCUGAAGAAAAAUCACAUGUGGUCUGGACAGCGAGGAACAUGGGAAGAGGCCUUUCACUGAGCCAGACCAGCCUCUCGGGGGUUUCAAGGCAGACUUUCUCCCAGUCCUACCAGAGAUACUGGGAAUUGAGCCGUGGCUCCUUCUCCGUGGCUCCCCCCUUGCACCCUGGACUCCAGGGAGAACUGUGGUGGAAUCCCCCCUAUUGUUCGGGGGAUUCCAUGGGGUUACCCCGGUAACAGUGACAGGAGUGGGCAGCAGGAGUGCUCUGACCAGCGCCAGAUGGGAGCUGCUGUAUAGUUUCUCCUCCGAUGCAGCAUUGCUCCAGAACACUGUGGAAAAUUAAAACGGUGGCCUACUGGUCCAGAUGCUGCAGAUGGGCUUGCCCAAAGAGCUCACACAUGUGAAGAACUGAGUCCUUCUUGAGAUAACUUCAGCUCCUUUCUAGUCCUAGUCCUAUUCAAGUCCCUUCUAAUCCUAGUAACUGUUGCUUACAAGGAGUGGGUAGGGAGGUUUGCACGGUGGCAGAGGUGCCAAGUUCCACAUGACAUUGGGGGUUCAUUGUGUGCACAUGACAUCACACAUGAGACACACAUCUGUGACAUCAUGUGCACCAGGAGGAGCCUGUGAGGCCUGAGGAGGCCCUCUGCCAUCGCAAGGAAACCCAGCAAGGUCCUCUGCCACUGUGGGGAGGCCUGAUGGAGCUCUCCACUGCCACGAUGAGGCCCAGCAGGGCCAGCCCCUCAAAAUGGGAGGGGCUGAGCUGGAAACUCACCAUGGGCAACAGAGGUUCACUUGCAGGAGCCAGGGUAGUGACUUUGCCCCACUUGGCCAACCAUUUCAGGUCAGGUCUAAUUCUGACAAUGACCAUGGUGGAGAAGCUGGUUGACUCUGGUUGAAACCAAGAGUGUUCACCAGUGGGCCCUUGUCAAUGUGGUGACAAAUGGGGUUCAUUCUGUCCUGCACCCAUGGUUGUUCAACAUCUUUAGAAAUUACUUGGAUGAAAGAAUAGAGGGGAUGCUCAUCAAAUUUGCAGAUGACACCAAACUCGGAGGGGUAGCUAAUACCUCAGAAGACAGAAUCAGGAUUCAAGAUGACCUAAGAAUUUGGGAAACUUGGCCAGAACCAACAAAAUGAAUUUUAAGAGGCACAAAUGUAGGUUCUACACUUCGGUAGGAAUAACCAGAUUCACAAAAUUUAGAAAGUAGGGGCCCAUUGUUUGACACCACUACAUGUGAAAAGGAGCUAGGGAUCUUAGUAGACUACAUACUUAACGUGAGUCAACAAUGUGGUGUUACAGCAAGGGAAGCUGAUGCAAUUCUAGGCUGAAUCAACCAAAGCAUAGUGUCCAGACCAAGGAAGUACUAUAACCACUGUAUUGUACCUUAGUCAGACCCCACUUGGAGUCCUGUGUCCAGUUCUGGGCACCACAAUUUAAGAUGGAUCUUGACAAGCUAGCAGGUGUGCAGAGGAGGGUAAGCAAGGGGUUAAACGGUCCAGAAGAAAAGUCUUAUGAGGAAUGGUUGAAGGAGUUGAGUAUGCCUGGCUUGGAGAAGAGAAGACAGAGAGGACAUAUGAUAGCCACCUUCAAAUAUCUGAGGAGCUGUCACAUGGAAUUGGAGCAAGCUUGUUUUCUGCUACUCCAGAGGGUGGGGCCUGAACCAAUGGAUUCAAAUUACAAGAAAGGCUAUUCUGACUAACCAUUUGGAAGAAUCUUCUGACUGUAACAGCUGUUCAACAGUGAACACACUACCUCAGAAGGUGGUGGACUCUCCUUCAUGGGACGUUUUUAAGCAGAGGUUGGAUGGUCAUCUGUCAUGGAUGCGUUAGUUGAGAUUUCUACAUUACAGGGGGUUGGACUAGAUGACCCUAGGGGUCCCUUCCAACUCUACAAUUCUAUUAUUCUAAGUGGACACAGGUCACUCCUCUCCACCAUGCACAUAAAUUAAGAUGGGAUAUGGAUGAUCCAUGCAGAGCCUAUACACAAGGACCCCUCACUGAAAUCAGAAAUGUGGGCCAGUUCAAAAUGUUCACAUCACAAGUAACAUUAUUUUGGGAUAUAAAUGGAAUAGAUAAUCAGUACCGGCAUCCCCCCAAACCCAUGUCAAAAGUGUGGCACUUACUGUAACAGCUUCAUGGGGAGUACCAAGACAUGUUUUUCUUUUUUAAAAAAUCACUGACAAUAAGUAAUAUUAAUAUAUGGUAGAUGGAAAGAGUGUGUACUCUCUACCAAGUGAACAUUGACACCAUUCUGAUAAGUCCUGAUAAGUCUUUAUAUUCCUGGAUGUAGUCAAUAUUGGCAUUAAUCUUAACAGUAGGAGCCAAAUUACAUCAUCUGUAGUUCCAAGGCUCUUUUCUUUCCUUACAAUGGCUUUUCUUUUCCAUGCAAAGCAGCUGCAGGUGGCCUCAGGUUGAGCAGAGAAAGGGAGAUAUUUGACUAUUUAACUUUUUUCUUACCAGCCAUUUGCCUGCUCCAAACCUGUGGUUUCACACCAGUGGGGAAAAGGAUAUGAGGACACUGUCUCUUUUACCCCUCGGGGAGAAAAGAGCCCAUCUAGGUGACCUACCUCACCCUUUCAAAAUAAUGGCACUGGGUUAAUGAAGGAUUUCAAUUUUAAUACGGCAUUAACAGCUCUCAAUAGCUUUAUCCUUAGGAACCAAUGAAAGGUGAAGGAAAGAGCCAUUAUGAAAUGUACUCUGCAAUUAUCUUUCCCUGUUAAACUUUGUACAUUUGUGACAUUCAGUGGAAAAGUGGUGCAGCGAAAGUAGAAGGAUCAAUGUGGGGAAACUGAAGUGAGCACAUGAGUAGACACCGGGGGCAGUCAAUAAACAGCAGAACAUCCAUUAUUCAUUUCUAAUUCCCAUCCAAAUCAAGAAUCAGAAGUGGAAUCAUUUGACAGACAGGACAGGUAGGGAAAUUGUCCAUCCAAUUACAUAAUGUGAAGUUGAUGAAAUGCUGGAAAAUGCAACACAAUGCCAAAACCUUGCCAGAUAUGUACUGUUAAACACCUUUUUUCUAUGACAGUAUGAAUUUUAGAGUCCUUUUCUAUUUGCAGAGUUGAAGAGGUACUUUAAGUUAUGAAAAUAAAAUUUGGUGGUGCUAUUACACUACAAUGAGCAACACAUUUCCCCAGUUUUAUUCAACUUUCAAGAAAUGUCAUUAAUUUUAUCAGAGGGUUGUGGGUUUUUUGUUUUUUGUUUUUUUGCUUCUCUUAAAAGUUCUCAGAUGAUUUAAACAAACAAGAAGCCCCAAGCUUCCUCUAUGACCUUAUCAGAUGCUGCUUCUGGAAUGUUCAGCCAGCAGUCUGCACACAACCUGCAACUACUUGACAUCUUUAGCUUUGUUCUACAAGUGAAUGCAGUGUGAGUGCAGGAUUCUUCAGAAACACAACAAAGGCUUAAGCUGGUUGCACAGUAUGUGUGGCAUUUAGAGCAGCACAGGUUCUUGAUUCUACCAAGGCAUCAUUAUGUACCUGCACCAUUUGGCAUAUCUAAAUCACGACCCACCCACAGUGGCAGAAGAGGUGGAGGCCCCUGCUCUGCUUUUGAGGAGAGGAGAUAUGCUGGACCAGCCCUGGAGGACUCAUACACCACUGAUGGACAGCAGCUGGCCUGGACACCAGACUUCAGACUGGUGUGGGGGGAAUUCUUUUUUUAAAAAACACCACUGGGUUGAUGUGCAUGGUUUUGGGGGCUAGGGUGGAUGUCAAUGUUGUGCUUUUAUUCAUUUAUUAAUCUGUUAGUGGGUGGGAGUAUUGUUUCAUUUACUGUUUGUUUGAUGUUUUUUAAUCACAGUUAAUUUUUGUUUUCCCAGCAUUGUUGUAUGGAAUAUUAAUGUGUUAUAUGAUCCCAGAUUUUUCUAUGGCAUAAUAUAUUUAUGAAUAUUUUUCCCCAAUGUAAGUUCCUUGAGUGAGAAGCAGUUUUAAAAGUUAAAUAAAUAAAGCAUAUGCCUCUCCUCGGUUACUAAUUAGCCUAGGCUAACUGGAACAUUGGGACGCGGGUGGCGCUGUGGGUAAAACCUCAGCGCCUAGGACUUGCCGAUCGUCAGGUCGGCGGUUCGAAUCCCCGCAGCGGGGUGAGCUCCCGUUGCUCGGUCCCAGCGCCUGCCAACCUAGCGGUUCGAAAGCACCUCUGGGUGCAAGUAGAUAAAUAGGGACCGCUUUCUAGUGGGAAGGUAAACGGUGUUUCCGUGUGCUGCGCUGGCUCGCCAGAGCAGCGAUGUCACGCUGGCCACGUGACCCGGAAGUGUCUCCGGACAGUGCCGGCCCCCGGCCUCUAGAGUGAGAUGAGCGCACAACCCUAGAGUCGGACACGACUGGCCCGUACGGGCAGGGGUACCUUUACCUUUAACUGGAACAUAAUCAUCCUUCCACCUAAUGCUGCCUGCAGGUAAUUUAGUCAACAGGCCGUUCUCAAGUGGGAGGUCCAGGCAUCUCCUUCCCUGGAGGUUUUUGAGCACAGGUUGGAUGGUCACCUGUCAUGGGUGCUUUAGCUGAGUUCCCUGCAUUGCAGGGGGUUGGACUAGAUGACCCUUGGAGUCCCUUCCAACUCUACAAUUCUAUUAUCUUGUUUUGAUUAGCUGAGGAUACCUCAAUACAGCUUGAUCAGUCUGAGAUGGGAUAGAUAAUUUUGCACCUGCUGUGACUCACUAUCUGGGCCUUUUGCCACAGAGUGUCUCCUGCUUCCAGCCUUGUAUUCAAUAGCAUCCCCCUUGGUCUCAGGAAGCCCCGUGUUUAACCAUAUGUCCCUGAGGCACAAUUUUGUUCCAUCUUUUCUUCCCAGCUUGUACUUUUCUUUGGGAACCAUCCUCCUCAGCCUUGCCUCCUCCACCCACUGAAGUUUGCAUGGCUGAACAGCUGCUAGAGCCUAAAUUUCCACCAAACCUUCUGCCUUCAUUUUCUGGGCUUUGACUAUUUCAUACGCAGGUUUAGGAUGUUUACAGGGAAUGUCCCCAGAAAGUAAAUUUAAAAUGUUUAUAGAACACUCCAAAACCCAAAACAAUGCAAUACUGAUGGCAGAAGUGGGACAUGGGCAUGCCUCUGGUGAAACUGAAUUCAAUCUGUCAAACCCCACAAGUUUCCUCUCAAAAGAAAAUUAAGUGGAAAAGUGUGUGUGUGUAUAGGAAAAUCACUCAUUUAAAGUAGCUUAUAAAACUGAUCUUAUAGACUAACCAGGUUCAUUAACAAUGCAAAUAUUUUAGUCGCUUCAGGUAGGUAAUGUCUUACCAACAAGCCUUGAGCACAUCAAAGAGGUUUUCUUGCACUUUAGAUUGUGCAAUUCCCUUCUGAAUGUGAGCUGAUAGAGCAUUCCAUUUCUGAAGCUCUAAUCCUCAAAACACAUAACCCCCAGUAGUUUCUCUGGGUCCAAUGGGGCUCCUCCAGAGCAUGUAGUUUAAGUAUUGCACCUGAGUAUGCAAUGGGGGAGGGAAAAUGACUCUAUUUAUCUAAGAGAGCAGUGACUUUGCCCAAUCGUCUCAUUCGGGUUUAAGGCUGACAGCAUUACUGCCUCUGCAAUUUGAUAGCUUGUCACUUUGAUAUAAGCACCCAAUAAUAAGCUUUAUCCAGGCCAUUAGAUGGUUGGAUGCAUUUGAAAGGUUAGUCUAUAAUACUAUUCUCAGCAUUUGUAGAAAGCCUUCAGAGGUGUGUGUGUGUAUGUGUGCAUGCGCAAGAAAUGGACUGUGGGCCAAUAAAAAUUUAGGCACUCACUUGAGUGAAAGGUGGGAUGCUGUUGUACAGGUAAGAUUUCCGCAUGUCCCCCCAAGGUCUUCUCUGGUUGCAUAAUAUCAUAGAAUUUAAGAGCUGGAAAGAACCCCAAGGGUCGUCUAGUCCAGCCCCUGCGAUGCAGGAAUCCUGCCCACAACCACCCCUGGGUGGACUUGAACCACCAACCUUCUGGUUAACAGCCAGAUGCACCAACCCAUUGUGCCACCAGAUUUUGAACUCAUACUGCAAAGGUGGGGGGACGAUCCUUUUCUAUGAUGGAUCAUAGCUCAGUGCUGGAGCACUUACUUGGCGUGCAGAAGAUCACCAGAUCAACUCUGAGGAAAGGAAAAAGGUGAUGGAUGGGGAAAAGGAGAGCCAGAGAACCUGAAGAGCUGGUGCUUUUCAGUGUAGAAAAUGGAAUAGAUGAACAAGAUGAUCUGGUAUGAAGCAGCUCCCUAAGCUUAGGGAUGAUGACGAUGAUUUUGCACUCAUUGUGAAAAAGUUAGCUUAUUUAAUCGCCCUUGCUCAGCACUAUCGUUCCAUAGUCCUAUCGGGUCAACUGUGCGGCAGCAUCCUGAUUACUCAGUACAUGGGAAUGCUCUCCCUCACCAGCGCACACGCACACACUUAAAGAACAAGGGGUUAAGGUGAAGGCGAGGCUUCACCUUAAUGUUUUACUAUGUUGGAAGAUGUUUGGCUCUUGCUCCUUAGCACCCAUCCACCCCGCUGCUGCUGCUGCUGCUGCCACUCACCCCUAUCUGUAAUAAGAAUAUUUGAUUCUCUUGCAGGUUGUUGCUAACGAUUAUUGAGAAAAUACACCUUUAGCCUUUGUUAGAAGUGCAAAGGAAUAAAAGAAAAUAUAUCUUUAAAGAGGCUCCUGUAAGUGGGAGGCAUUUAAGGGGGGGGAUGUGCAUAUGAAUUAAACUUCCUCAAAAAACAGAAUAUUUUUAACAUUGUCACAGAACAUAGGGCAGAAGAAAAGGGCAAUUGCACAAUUUAGUAAAAUUGCACAGAGGUUUUCAGCGUCCAGCUGGGGUUCUUUGAUGCAAUGAACACCUGCAGUUUUUGAAUCCCUAAAAGGAUGUAGUUAGAAAUGUGGAUUUUUGAGUUUUAGUUUUCCAGAAAAAGUCCCCUUGCCUGCCAUACAUUACCUACCCUCUUCCACAUAAGUCUCCUUGUAAUUCCAUGCUAUGGAAUUCCAAUAAGCUCUUUACAAGGGUGCCAAUUAGAGAUAUACAUAACCCCCUGAAGAAAUGCUUUUGAACCUCUUUCAGCAUAUCUCAAAAUCCUUCAAAUGCUGUCCCUGAUGAAUAUGCACACCCAAUUCACUUUGAAAUCCACUUUUUAGACAAAAUCUCAACUCUAGUGUUGACCUGGAUGCUAGCAUUUUUCUUUGGAGUACUUUCUCCUGCUUAGGUAUAUGUCAACCCCAAGAUUAGCCGUGAAAUGUGCAGAUGGUGUCAGUCUCUACUAUUCAUUGAAGGACUAUAAUAAAGGGUGUUGGAUGGGCAAAAACAAUUAUUUGAUUAGCUUUCUCUGUCUCAAAUCCUGUGCUCCACUGCCUUUCAGAUUUCCAAGCUGCCAAAAACUCAAGUUGGAAAAGUGCACUUUAGACCCACCAUGCAUGGGUAGCAAAGAUUUCACAUGGUGAAAGAAAGUGGAUAAUUGUAGUAACUGCUGGAAAAUUACUACGAGGUCACCGCGAUAAGCAUGGCCAAUGUUUUCUGUCAUGUCAGCCCUCUUUCCUUGCCUAUUGUGCAGAGUGGGGAAUUGUUUUACCCUGAAUAUUUGGUCCUAAAAUGACUGAUGUGGCUGAUGGUUCACUGUAUGUGGAGGACAGCAUGCUAGACAGAAAGAAUUGCCCCCCUUGGUUAAAACACAGCAAGAAAUCAGAGAAAUAUAUUUUAGCCAAGGAGAUGAGGCAGAGAAGAUGAAUGGCUUGCAAGAGACAAAACUCUCCUCCCCCCCACCUCAGGAAAUGAGGUAGGCACAUAGCAGAAGCACUGCUGCCCAAUGCCUUGCUGUUUUCUUUUCACUGUGGAAAUGGAGGCUGAAAGUCACUGAUCUCUCUGUCUAUGAACAAAUAAACAGCAGUCAUGUGACACUGGAGCUUUGGGUGAACGUCCCCAAAUUCUCCUGCUUCUUCACAAUGGGAAACUAUGCCGUGAGAACAACUCUGAGCAUUAGAAAUAGUUUAGAAUAUUUCCUGCAUAUCACACUGUCCAGCAAGCACAAUGCGGCAAAAGAAGCACUGACAUCAGGCUGGUCCAAACAUCCAUGUGUAUAUUGAGGCGUCUUCUCAUCAUUAGAUAAGCUGCAUGUGUGAAUGGACUCCAAAGUGGGGAAAACUGAGGUGAUGUGAAAUAAUAGGGACAUCAUCAUCAUCAUUUGUAUAUUCUGCCGCCUUUCUGCCAAGGAGACGGUGAGAAAGGCUGAGUGGCCUCAGGUCACCCAGUGGCUUUAAAGGCUGAGUGGUGAUUACAGGCAGAGCCUCCCCAGUCUAAACCAAGACUCUAACCACUAUGGCAGGCUGUUUCUCAGUGUCAACGUAGGUGUUGAUGAGUGACUCAGACCUGAUGUAGUAGAGUGCUUUUCUUAAACUGUUUUGUGGUCUUAAGUAGGAGUAGCCGGGUUGCUGUAUUUUUACUCUGAUUGAUUGAUUGACUAUAUUUCUAUGCCGCUUUUCAUUCAAAUGAAUCCCAAAGUGGGUUAAAAAUAACAUGAUAGAACAUAAUAGAACAUCACAAAUACAGCAUAAACCAUAUAGAAUAAUUAACAAGUCAUCAGUAUAACAAUUACAAUCUAUAAAACAAUGCUAACAAAGCAACAACUAAAAAAUAAGCUAAACAUCACUAUUAAAACAAAAUACAUAUUAUAUGAUUAACAAAUCAAUACGGCAUUUAUAAUCUAUAAAACAACAUUAACAACAUUAACAAAAUAGCAACCCAAAAAUAAACUAAGCAGUUAUGCUCCAAGUCGAGAAAACCCUCAUCCACAGUUCCAGCCUUGCCGGAAACACACCCCCAUUCAGCAGUCCAUCAUUCCCUCAGUCUCCACCUCCCCAUCUUCAAUACAAAGGUAAGAAUCUUGACCUAUCCUACAGGUGCAGAUUGCUGAGAGAAGUGCAUGAACUGCUUUGAAUACAUGAAUGUUUCAGCCAUUUGAAUCACAUGUAAAAUUCUCAUUAUUGCUCAGCACCCUUCAAAACACACAAAUGCAAUGUGCCAUCAGUGUACAUGAUGCUUUAUGUAGUAACAGAAAAGCCGCAUCAUUUUCCUUGUGACGUGUGCAUAUGUACAAAGGUAAGAUUUUGCAUUCAGUUUUGAAAAGGGCCAUCUGUUGUUGAAGUGAUGAAAAUAUGUUAUCUGUUUAGCAGGGAACUCAGAGCUACCAACACCUUCCUAUUUCAUAGCAAAAAACCCCCUCCUGUUUUCUGUGAAAGUGUAUUGCAUUCUCUAACUGUUCUGCUUUUAAAAUAUACUACUUGUUUCCUUUAUCACAGACUUGGAUCUGCCCUGUGGGGGUGGGGUGGGGGUUAUUCUAUCUCUCAUUUGCUUUGUUCUCUCCCUGCUCAUUUGUUUUCUUGGCUGUGGAUACAGCCAGCUCAUUUAUCUAAGUAAAAUUGUCCUUGAGUGGUUGUUCUCUCUCUUUGUUCUUUCUUUUUUUGCUGGUCACUUUGUAACAUGGAAUCCCUGUAAUAUUCUGUUGGGCUCAUUAACACACUACAUUUAUGGUUGUAAAGAAAGAGGAACAGACAAUCAUUUCAGCAGAGCUGCUUUCAAAGUUAAUGUCACAGAUUUUUAAGAAAUCACGCUGAUUAUUCUAGUCUUAGGGAACAAUUAUGAAUUCAUAAAUAUUAAGAUAAAACAGGUAUAACAGUACAUACCUAACUCUGAAACACAAGGUUCACUUGGCAUUGGCAAUGAGUGAAUCUGUCAAUUUCUCAAUUUCUCAUUUUUUUCACUCUUUAGUUCUCCGCAUUUCCACAUCAGUUUGCAAUUUUUUAAAACACACACUCAAAUUGUCACAAAAAUUCAGCAAUAUUUUAGUGUCAAUUUUGCCCAAUAAGCACAAAGUUAUGCAAUUUUGGCUAAUGUACACAUUUUUGGGGAAUGAGGGAUUACAUUUGGAAUUACAAUUUUCACUUACAGAAAUUGCAUUUUGCAAGUAUUUUUUCACAAAUAUGUGCAUUUUAUGUGCUCUUUACCCUAAAGAGGUGACGGGAGGGGGAAUUACUAGGCAUUGCAAAACAUCAGGGGAAAUCCAGCCAAUAAGGAGACAGGACAGAUGCCCUUAUUGGGACAUGCUGCCCAGUACUCCAGACUAUUUAGACCAGCAUGGUAAGGAGGAACAUCUGCACCAUGAAGCCUUCUUGGGCAGGCUCAAGCUGAGUCCUGUAAGAGGUAAAUAGUGUUUGGUCUGGAAGCAAGCACUUCUAUCACAGUGGCAGAAAAGAAUACCCCACUAUUUCAGGGGUUGAAUACUUUAUGAACAGAGGGGUGAUGAUUAAUGCUGGCUGGGUAUUUGGCGUCCUUCCUAUUCCAACACUGAGAAGUUCACCUGUAGGCAUAGUACCAAAGAAUUCAGAUUGAUACACAAUAAAUUAGACUCCAGAGGCUCACCCACCAAUGACUACUUACAAAGUGAACUUAGUUUGAUGCAGUGUCAAACUUAGUUUGAUUUUAACAAGAUGAUGUGCAUGGUCAAAUCAGGUGGAAGGGUAGCCUUGAUGGGCAAAUGUGAGCUCAAGUCAGGUUUUCAGAUGUUUCCCAUCUACCUUCAUGGUUUUUCCUGCUAAGGUUUGGGUUUGAGGGGAAAUAUGGGUACGAGGCUUGAACUUGGCUUUCUCUACAUUUAGCUUCAUGCUGGACUCAGCCCUGAUGGAUAGGUCCAGACAUGAAAUGGGACUCAUUACCAGGGUGAGUCUUUGUUUCCCCAAGCAUAGAGACUAAUUGCACAAGUUUUAUGUACCACUUUACAGAGUUAAAUGGAUUUUAAAGGGUAUCUCUGGCAGAGGGUAAAAUGGAAGGGCCUCUUUCAUGUUCAACCUUUUUGAGUACUGAACUGGAUAUAGUUCAACAGACUAGACAUCUGCCUGAGGAAAAGGCAGGGCAGUCUGGAAGAGAUUCAACUUUUGCUACAGGGCAAAGAAAACAGCCUUUCUUUAGCUUCAAGAGCUGCUAGGCCAGGCCACCUCACCUUUGCCUGUGAAGUGAUUGCUUCAGGCUGAGACUUCCUUUCAAGGCUAUGUGAUGCAACAAAAAGGAUGGUAUCUUGUCACUGUCGCAUAUGGGUUUCAGGACAAAUGUGUGUCAACAUUUCUAUGUAGAAGGAACUUGUGGUGCAUCAUAAUGUGGUAUCCUUUGCAUUGGAUCAGAACCUUUGUUUCACAUUGCUUUUGUUUCACAGAGAGCUUAGAACUUUAGUUAAAUGAUAGAAAAUGCCAAAAAAUGUUUUUAAGUUUGACUUUUCCCUGUACCCCAAGGUCCCAGUUCCUUCCUUCCUUCCUUCCUUCCUUCCUUCCUUCCUUCCUUCCUUCUUAAAGGUAUAACCAAGGUUGACCUUUGUGACCUUUGUUUCAACCAGCAUCCCGAUGGAGUGUAGAACACUACACUGUGUCAUUUUCACAGGCAAAGAUCUGUAACUGCUGUAAAUGACAAGUCCUGUGCUCAGGGUCUUCAGGUAGAGUUGGGAGAAGCUCCAUGAAGCCCUUGCUGUUCAGCCAAGAGGGCAGGAAGGGAGACUGCUUGUUCCAGGGCAGCAUAUAAGAGAAGCUACCUGCCUAUGAUAGUAGUCAAGGCAAAUUCAGAAUAGAGUUCCCUUUUGGUGGAAGAAUCGAUCUGCAUUAAGGCCUGUUCAGUGUAAUUGUUACCUGGUUGUGGAAAUAAGACAAGCUUGAGCAGCUCAGCAUCUUGAGGCACCUGGACACUGAAGGACUGUAUACCCAACAUACUUCUCAUUGCUAGGCAGCUCACUGGGAUGUUGGAAGAGAACAAUCCUAGAGUCCAUUAUAGCCCAUUGUAUAUCAGCCAGGAGAAGCAGGGACUAGCAAGCUGCACACCAAGGCUCAAUUUAUGAUGGGAAGACAAUGAAAGGCACAGAUCAGCAACAGGUUUGACAUGGUGCAUUUCUCCAGGAUGAGGCAACAGGAAAUCUUGCAGUAGUCGCCUUAGAUUUCGAAAAGCUUGCCUUUGAUUUAUAUAGAUCUGGUUAUGCUUGUUGAAUAUCCUUGUUGUUAACAAAGCUGUCUGCUAAUCCAAGCAACUGUCUUGCAUCUUCAUCCCAGUGCAGUUGGCACAAAUGAAACAGCAGGAGGAAUGUGUAAUUUUGCAUCAAAAUGCUCAAGUGUGGAUAGUUUUCAAUUUGAGUAAAGCAUUCAGUUCUCAAGAGAGACAAAUUUAGAGACAAAUACAUGUCAUUUUAAAUAAAUGCUCUACUGAUCUUAUGGUGUUAUUGAUAGAGACCUCAAAGAUGGAGGCUGGCAGAUUAAGGACAGAACUACAGUGGUGCCUCGCAAGACGAAAUUAAUUCGUUCCGCGAGUUUUUCGUCUAGCGAAUUUUUCGUCUUGCGAAGCACAAAAUCCCAUAGGAAUGCAUUGAAAUUCAAUUAAUGCGUUCCUAUGGUCAAAAAAGUCCAAACAAAGCCAAAUUUGGUACAACAAGAGUUUAUUAAGUGCUCUUUAAAGUCACACAUACUGUAAAGAGCAUUUCAAAAAUUGAAGGAACAAUAAAUUAAGUUUCUAAACAUGACAGAAAAACAUUUAAAAAUCAACAAAGUGUACAGUACAUUUUCUAAGACUCUGGGGGACAACUCAAAGAAGGGAGGGAGACAGUGCUCCUGAAGGUAGGAGUCUAUCAAUUGAUGAAGAUGAUCAUCCAAAUGUCAUAGACCAAAUGGAGCAAACAGCACACAGACCUAGUGGUGGGAGGAAAAAAUCCUUAAAUAAGAAACAAGGGGGAAUGAUUAAUGGACUUCAAUGUCUGUACACUAAUGCGCAAAGCAUGGGAAAUAAACAAGAUGAGCUUGAGCUCUUGGUACAGCAAACUAAAUAUGACAUAAUAGGCAUCACUGAAACCUGGUGGGAUAAGUCCCACGAUUGGAAUGUAAUAAUGGGGGAUACAAUCUAUUUCAGAGAAACAGACCAGACAAGAAAGGAGGAGGAGUGGCGUUAUAUGUCAGGGAUGUGUAUACCUGUGAAGAGAUCCAAGAUUUAGAACCUCAAAGCCAAAGUGAGAGCAUUUGGGUCAAAAUUAAGGGAGAGAAGAAUAACAGUGACCUCGUUGUGGGAGUUUACUAUAGAUCCCCAAGCCAAACGGAGGACAUGGAUGAUGCCUUCCUGGAACAGAUGGCCAAGCAUGCAAAAGGAAGGGAGAUAGUAGUAAUGGGGGACUUCAAUUACCCGGAUAUUUGUUGGAUGUCAAACUCAGCAAAGAGCAUAAGGUCAAACAGAUUCCUCACUGGCCUUGCAGACAACUUCAUUGUCCAGAAAGUGGGAGAAGCAACAAGAGGAACAGCCAUUUUAGAUCUGGUCCUAACCAAUGUUGAUGAUCUGGUUAGUGGGGUAGAAGUGGAAGGAUCAUUAGGCACGAGUGAUCAUGCUCUUCUGAAGUUUACUAUACAGCGGAAAGGAGCAGCCAAGCAUACUAGGACUCAAUUUCUUGACUUUAAGAAAGCCGACUUCAUAAAACUUAGGGAAGUGCUGGGUGAGAUCCCAUGGACAAUAAUACUAAAAGGAAAGGGAGUUCAUGAUGGCUGGGAGUUUGUUAAGAGGGAGAUACUAAAAGCACAACGUCAGGCAAUACCAAUGAGACGGAAACAUGGAAGGUGCUUAAAGAAGCCAGGGUGGCUAUCUAAAGAACUUUUAACUGAGUUAAGAUUAAAAAGGAUGUGUACAAAAAUGGAAAAGGGGGAAACCACCAAAGAGGAAUUCAAACAAAUAGCCAGCACGUGUAGACACAAAGUCAGAAAAGCUAAAGCACAGAAUGAACUCAGGCUUGCUAGAGAGGUUAAAAGCAACAAAAAGGCUUUUAUGGGUAUGUUCGUAGCAAAAGGAAGAACAAAGAAACAGUGGGGUCACUCAGAGGAGAAGAUGGUGAAAUGCAAACAGGGGACACAGAAAGGGCUGAACUCCUCAAUGCCUUCUUUGCCUCAGUCUUCUCCGAUAAAGAAAACAAUGCCCGACCUGAAGAAUUUGGAGCAAAUGAUUCAGCAAAGGAAACACAGCCCAGAAUAACUAAGGAGAUAGUACAAGAAUACUUGGCUAGUUUAGAUGUAUUCAAGUCUCCAGGGCCAGAUGAACUGCAUCCAAGAGUAUUAAAAGAACUGGCAGAUGUGAUCUCAGAACCACUGGCAGUCAUCUUUGAGAAUUCCUGGAGAACAGGCGAAGUCCCGGCAGACUGGAGGAGGGCAAAUGUUGUCCCUAUUUUCAAAAAGGGGAAAAGAGAGGACCCAAAUAAUUACCGCCCAGUCAGUCUGACAUCAAUACCAGGGAAGAUUCUGGAGCAGAUCAUUAAGCAAACAGUCUGUGAGCACCUAGAAAGGAAUGCUGUGAUCACCAAUAGUCAGCAUGGAUUUCUGAAAAAUAAGUCAUGUCAGACUAACCUGAUCUCGUUUUUGACAGAAUUACAAGCCUGGUAGAUGAAGGGAACGCAGUGGAUGUAGCCUACCUUGAUUUCAGCAAGGCAUUUGACAAGGUGCCCCAUGAUAUUCUUGUAAAGAAGCUGGUAAAAUGCGGUCUUGACUAUGCUACCACUCAGUGGAUUUGUAACUGGCUGACUGACCGAACCCAAAGGGUGCUCAUCAAUGGUUCCUCUUCAUUCUGGAGAAGAGUGACUAGUGGGGUGCCACAGGGUUCUGUCUUGGGCCCGGUCUUAUUCAACAUCUUUAUCAACGACUUGGAUGAUGGACUCAAGGGCAUCCUGAUCAAAUUUGCAGAUGACACCAAACUGGGAGGGGUGGCUAACACCCCAGAGGACAGGAUCACAC